rnacentral:lncRNA from 1 species
GGGGGUCAAAGUAGAAUUAACCCUUUUAUAAAUAAGUGGGGGAAGGAUUAACCUCUUCAUGCCAGUAAUGAAGGCCGGCGAAAAAAAAACUUAAUUGGAAUUAAGUGAACCCCAUAAAAAUGUGGAUGGAAAAUAUAAAAAAAAAAAAAGAUUGUCGAUGAUGACAAUUAAUUUUACCUUUCUUCCAUGCCAGGAUAGACCUAUUGUAGACUAGAGCUUGUCUAAUCUAGUGAAAGAGCCUGAAUACAGAUGAAGGCAAUCAAGGGCAAAGCAAUCAAGAUCAUUUGAAAGUUGUUCUAUUUCAAAUGAACAAGAUGCUUUCUUUCUUUCUUUCUUUCUUUCUUUCUUUUUUUUUUUUUGUCAAACUAUGAAGUACCGCCCACUUUCUGUAUACAGCGACAUACCCAUAAGAAGUCUUUUGUAGUGUUGUGACAAAUCCAGGCCUCUACCAUAAAGAAAUCAAGAAUUGCAACUCCUCCUUUCCAAUACCUCAUCCAGGAGUUCGUAUAUUUCUUGCGGAUUUAGGGAAUUCUUUUCUUUUGCUCAUAUUCCCUCUCAAAUGGCUUUGAUAGGAGGAGUUUCUACUUCUUACCUGUUCACUUUUACUUGAAUCGUUUCAUUCAAAAUCGUAUAACAACUCUGCUCGAUAUGCCACUCAUGCACCUCACAGAAAAUGUAAAGAAACACACAACCUUAUGAUAAGUUCCAUAAUUUUUCAUAUGGAAAGCAGUACAAGCUUUCAAUAUUACAGAGUCAUACAUUAUUCACUGGAGAGAUAGAGCAUACAUGGCUCCUUAUUGUGCUUGCUUAAAACUGAAAUUAAGUAGAGGUAACGGACUUGAGAAUAUCUUCAUUUUUCUUACUGAAGUACACCACGAAAGGCUGACCACCUAAAGCCAGUCGCCUGGUUCCAUCGUCAUCAUAAUAGAUGCCAACAUCUUUGCAAAUCGCUUCAGAACUGGAGUCACAAACUGCGGGACAGAAAACAAGCUUGUAAAAAGGGUUGAUCCCUUCAAUCUUAAACCAAUUGGCCUCGGUCUCACAUCCUGAGUUCCCUUCAACUCCGUCAGUCAGUACAAAGUGUUGUUCGAGUGCCUCGUUGAAAUGAACCUUCCACACAUUUGAUCCACGACAAAAAUUAAUAAAUGGUGAGAACUUGAUGUUUAAAUCAGUGGAAACACGAAUCACGCCUUCUUCCGGGUUCACCGGUGUAAAAGUUACUGGAUGGCCUCGAUUGAGAUCUGACAGCGCCUGAACAACUGCCAGAGGGCAAAUUUCAUUGUCUGGGCCCUUGCCAUAAGUUAAACCGCCGCCACCGCCACCAAAGAUGGCGGACACGACGUGGUACUCGACACCGGGGCGGAUUUCCUCCCCGUUGAUGUCGAGCACUGGAUUAGGCUCUUCAGUAGCAAAAGAAAGGAAAGAGUUGAAGAGUAGAAAUGAAAGGAAGAGUAGUAAUUUCUUCAUUGUGAGCGGCAAGGUGUGUACGAAGUCUAGGAAGUAUUCAGUGCAAUUGUGCUGAUGUCGAGCUAUGUUACUCGCUUUAUAUAGCUGAAUGAAUUCAGAGGUGAUGAUAAAGUUUUGUUUCGAACUACUGUGGUCCACCGUUACACGUGUGCUUGUACCGUUCAAUUGAUCUUGUAACUGCAUUUUUUCAUGGCAUUCAAACCGUUAGCGUCCAUUCGAUUCGAUGAAAUAUUGGUUUAUGAAGAAAUUUUCUGGAAAAUGCUUUACAUGAAGAAGAUUUAUUCUUGACAUCUUCUUGUGCUUGGUGUCAUUAAAUAUUUUUAAAAUUGAUCUCUAAAUUUGUAAUUUGAAGGGAAAAUAUUGUGAAUGGUGAAUGGUAAAUGGUGAAUUGGUAAGUAUUCAUUCAAUCAAAUAUAUACUACACUUAACUACAAGAUUACCAAAUUAUCUUUAUUUCAUACAAACACUAGCUAUUGGCCAAAUCUACCUAGACUAUUAGGUUUUUUUUUUCCAAUUAGAUUUUGUAUGUUUUUGUGUACAAUUGCCGAAUAACUAUUAGUUUGGAAAGUAAAGUACAUCUUGUGCUUCAGUGAUUUCUUUUGGUCGCUAUUGUUUUCGUUAUAUAUUUUCUUACUUUAAUUCUCAAUUUAGCAAUUUGUAUUGAGCGCUAUUUCAAUUUUCUAUCGUAUGAAAAAUUAAGUUCAGCCUUUAAAAUGAAUUUUCAAUGUAAGUUAGAAAACCUGGUAAGCUGAUGUCUUAAAUCCUCAACGAUAUUAAAUUUAUUAUUUCGUAAAAAUGAUAAUUAAGUGUUCACUUCUAAAUUUUAUUCCAAGGUUAUUGUUAAUUUUAGAAAAAUUAAUUUUGAAUCAAAAAAAUUUCUUUUAAAUAGGAAAAAGCUUUUAUUUUCUUUCUCUAAGAAAGAAAAAGCUAAGUGAGAAAAAUUUACCCCAUGAGAGCUUUAAAUGUAAAAUUAUAAGCCACAAAAGUUGGUUAAACAUUUAUGAACCUCAGGAGCUCAUUAAGCGUUUAUGAGCACGUGCUUGUUGUCAAAUGUCAAUUGUUAUUUAAUUACGAGAGGGCCAGCUGCGUUGUAAUAUAGGGACAGGUGUAAGGAUGGCAACGGGGGGACCUCAUUAAGCGUUUAUGAGCACGUGCUUGUUUUCAAAUGUCAAUUGUUAUUUUAUUACGAGAGGGCCAGCUUCGUUGUAAUAUAGGGACAGGUAUAAGGAUGGCAACGAGCUGCCCCCGCCCAUUCCCCCGUCCCCUGCUCCCCCCCCCCACCCCCGGCCCCUCGCAUUGUUUCUAGGUGCGGGCUAAUAAAAAUUUGUUAUUUAAUUUUAUUAUUAUUAAAUUUUAGUAAAUAAUUAAGUACUAAAAUAUUAACAUAUUACCAAAUUAUUAUUCAUUGUAAUUUCACAAUUGAAACUUAUAAAAACAAUCAAAUAAAAGUUAUUUGAAUACAAUACAACAUGAUGAAAUAAAUAUAACUAAAGUAGUCAACUUUUCACUUUUGACACAAAUACAAUUACUAAUUUAUUAUUGUGCUUGUGCCUUUUUUUGAGAAAAAAAUGUUAUUGUAUUAAGCAUAAUUAGGGAUUUAAUAUAAAUGUAUUAGGAAUAUAAAUUCAUUACCAAAUUAUUAUUCAUUGUAAUUUUACAAUUGAAACUUAUAAAAACAAUCAAACAAAAGUUAUUUGUAUACAAUCCAAUAUGAUGAAAUAAAUAUAACUAAAGUAGUCAACUUUUCACUUUUGACACAAAUACAAUCACUAAUGCAUUAUUGUGCUUGUGCUUUUUUGAGAAAAAAAUGUUAUUGUAUUAAGUAUAAUUAGGGAUUUAAUAUAAAUGUAUUAGAAAAUUUAGUAUAACCAAUUAAUAAUUUGUAUUAGUAUACAUAUAUAAUUAUUAGUAUAAUUGAUAAUAUUAAUUAUAUUACAUAUACUAAUAUACAUUAUAUAAUACAUAUAACUAAUAAUAUCAUUAUCAUAAAUUUGUAACUAAUUAAAUUAUAUAUUAUAUAUGCAAUUAUAUGCAUAUAUAUUUUAUAUAUUUAUUUUUUUAAAGCAGGUGGCGAGGUGGGGGUACACUCUCCCCCCCCCUGCCCCGUUUCUCAGCGGGGGGAAAAAUUUCCCCAGCCCCCACCUAACCCCCACCCCAUUAGCACCCCACGGGGCACCCAUUGCCAUCUUUAGAUAGGUGGUAUACUUUCAAUUGCAUCCGAUCCUCGGCCCUUAAGAAGCCCCAUUACCAGAUCUCACCCUAAAUAUUUGAUAUCUGUAAUAAAUUUGACAUCAGCAAACAAAUUUUUUUUUUCAUAAUAGGAGUAGUGAUUUUUUAGAAUUCUAAGUCAAGUAAAUCACAGUUAUUUGAGAGUGAUUUUCUGGAAUUCUAAAUCAAUAACAGAUAUUCAAAUUUAAAAAAGGGUGUAAACAGUGAUGGAAAACAUCAGAUGCUGCUGAGAGGGUUGAGAAUAAUUCUAAUUAUAGAUUUAUAGUUUAUAGAUUUUUGUUUGAUGUGAUUUGUCAUUGGUUGAGUUAUUGAUAGAGUGACUGGUUUCGUAAUAUUCAAGAGGAAGGAAUAACCAAAUUGAUUUCGGGAUAGGAUUGGAUUAAUAAAAUUAUGUGAGUUAUUUCUGAUGUCAAAUUUUUAGAAUGAAAUAUGACAAGGGAACUGAUGAUCGGAUACGAUUUUCAAUGGGAUCGGAACAAACUUUCAUAUCAAUCAGAUGUGCUUUUGUUUCUACUUAUAUAUUUUUGUAUCUGAUGCAGUCUUUACAUCCACGGCAAAUUCAAGCGCGUGAUUAUGCGAGACAAAAUUGUCCCUUUCGGGCAAUUAUUUGAUAAACCAAGAGGUGCAAGUUAUGCCACGUUUUCCUGGUACCAAUCCCCCCUCAAAUCACUGUACUGCCUCCAGGCUCUGGACUGCCACGGACCUCGGGCAGGAACGAUUGCACGGGCAAUCGUUUCUAAUGAUUUUGUGCAUUUUAUACAUCGCGUAAUUUUAUUUACACAAGGCGUAAUUUUGUUUGCACAACGUGUAAUUUUAGAAUAAAUUUUUGUGGAUCCUACACAUAUUUUUAAAAACUAGGUAUAAGAAAUGAUCUGAACAGUAUAAUUUUUUGGGGUCAAAUCUUAGCUGUGAACAGCUCAGGAGCGGUCCAUCUGAUGACCGCUCCUGCCCCUCAUUCGGACUCCCACCAUCCCUUAUCAACUCCGAAUCCUACUUCCUACCCUUUAUGCGGAUAUGGGGCAGGACCAGUCAUCAGAAGGACCGUCCCAGAUCAGUUCACGGUCCAGAUUUGAUAAAAAAAAAUUGUACGAUUUAAAUUUCAUCUUAUAUCUCAAUUUUAAUAAUAUGUGUGAGAUUUAUAAAAUUUUGUUCUAAAAUUACACGUUAUUGAAAAUAAGUUACACCAUGUGCAAACAAAAUUACGCGCUAUGCAAAAUGCACAUAACUACUAGAAUGGUUGCACCUGCAACCGUUCCUGCCCAUGUCCCCUUCAUGUAUACCCCAAUCAUCACCACUCCUUCCUUAUCUGCUCCUUCCCCAAAAGUCACUGCUCCCUUCGUACCCCAAUCAUCAUCACCAUAUUAUCCACACCUUAUUUCCUCUAUCUUCCCUCCCCAAAAAUUGUGACCGCUCCCUUCCUUCUCUGUGCCUCCAUAGACACCUACUCUUGAAAUCUUUCUCCAUUUUUAUAAGAAAAAGUUUACGUGGAUUCGAUUUGAUCGCUUACAAAUCGUUCACUAAUGUAACUCUUACAUCAAUAGCAAUUUUCAAACAAGCACCUUUCACUAUAAAUGUGGACUGUCAUUGUCAACUGACCCAACUUGUGUUGGUGAGAUCCUUCUCCGUUGGAACCACUGCCACUCUCCUUCUUCAUGAUUUCUUUCCCUCUAUCAUUUCCUAAGAUGCUUUAAGGUUAUAUAUAUAUAUAUAUAUUGUUUUGGGGUUAAGCUCAUAAUUACUGAACCCCAAAUAUAUAUAUCCAAAAUAAUAAACCAAAUCCAAGCAGAAAUUACCAAAAAAGAAAACUGAAGAUGUGGGGAGGGGGUUUUGGGAAAUCUUACAAGUGUGGGAUGGAAUUUGGGUAAGAAAGGCAAAAGAAACCUGAUCUUGAAAAUCGUUGCUUAUUAGAUUUUGAUUUGUUCUCGUAUGUAUUUCAAAAGAGAAAUUUAACAAGAUUUGGAAAAUAAGAAGAAGAAGAAGAUGAUGAAUGAGAGACAUGGGUGUGCAGAGCGUUGCAAAGUGAAGCAAAGACUUAUGCUGAAUGUUUUUACUUUUCUGUGAGUUUUGAUGAUAUGGCAAUUUCAUCGUUACCUAAGUGGCCCGUAGACCAAGUCUACACAAGUUGUUGCCAUCUAUCCUCAGCCAGCUAACUUGUGUGAUCGCGUCCGCAUUAGAUUGAUGCGCGAGGACCAAUUUCAUAUAUACAAAUAAUUUCUUUUGAAUCUACAAAAUGAUAGAAACCACAAGUUACGUUGUACAUGAGUAAUAAUUUCUUUUGAAAACUGUCACUAAAACUAGUUUUCAGUGGCACUUUUUAUGUUCUUUUUGGGUUUUUUUAUUAUGGUUUAGAAAACAAAUUUUGAGAUUUUUAUUACAAAAUUAAUUAUUUUUAAUUGUUGAAGAUUUCAUUGUCUAGUGGAUAAGUUUUUUUUUUUAAUUUUAAUUAGAGAUCUUAGGUUCAAAUCCCCUAUUCCCCUCCAUACUUCUUAAAUCACACCUCUCUUGCAAGAAAAUUAUUUUUUUAAAACAAAAAUAAUUCAUGUUCUUAAUAGCUAAUAGAGUACAGGAUGAUAUGAAUUUAAUUAAUUUUUAAAAAAUAUAGUUUACUUAAUUACCUUUACAAUCCUUAUUAUCUUUUGUAUUAAAAAAAUUAUUAAGUCUUGUAGCAUCGUAAGAUAUGUAAUAUUAAAUUUAGUACCACGACGUGGUCAUGACUCUAAGUCAUCAUGGUCAUGACACUUAAAGUUACUCUAUUGUGACACGCAUGUGAUAAAUGGCAUUAUCUUGUGAUACUUAUUAGUUAAAUGUCAUAAUAAUGUCACUAAAUCUUAUUUUUCUGACAAUUUAAACAAAGUGUCAUUAAGCAAUAACAACAGAUGCUGUUAUAAUCUCUUAUCUUGGCAUUAUAAUUGAAAAUAUCAUUAAUUUAAUGCCACUAAAUUGCUUUUCUCUGGCAAUGAGCUCAAGGCUACAGGUUAAUCUUGUUGCGUCAAGGAAUUUUCUGUAUCUCCACAAGUUAAAUAUUUUUCGCCAAUUUUAAGAGAAAUUUUCCUUGGAGCAAAAGGCCAAAAUAGUCCCAAAAAUAUUUUUCCAAAGCUGCAGUAGUCCUUAAGUUCCACCAUUACCCUGCUGGGAAAAAAAUUUAAAAAAAAAAGGCGCAAUAGUCCCUAAACUUUAAUUGGGGCUAAUUUAGUCCUUAAACUAUAUUUGUCUAGCGAAUUUAGUGCUUUUUGGGUUGAGCCACCAAUAAUGCAAAAUUCGGGGCAAAAAAAGAAAGCAUACAUUCAACAUUCAUUAAAAUCAUUAAACAAGAUUUUGACGGGACAAUAUAGCAUCGAUUGGAGGAUCGAAAGCACAGGUGCAUUUUGAAACCCUACAUCCAAAGUCCUUAUCCACCAUUCAUCUUAAAAUCCAUCCAAAAAGACACCAGUUAAUCUAAACCCAGAUCUUCGUCCGCUGCAUUAAUGAGCAACAAAGUGCAUAUAGGAGGUAGCAUUAAUGAGCUUUUGAAGAGUAAGUUUCCUCACUCGUAUACCUCCAAAUAGCAUCAAUUAGGUUUGGUGCAAUGUUUAUGAUUGCUCGUCUGGGCGUAAACAAUUUAUGAUGUUUAGUGCUUGUUCAUUGAAGGGAUUUGGUUAAUGUGGGUCAAAGUUGAAUGAACUAUGUAUCAGUGAAUUACUAAUUUUAGCCCACGGGAUGCGACUAUUUGUUUGAUUGUUUACCCUUUGCUUUCAUGUUCCUUUUUUUUAAGACAAUGUGGUUCUCAGUUCUAAUCGAGUGUAUCUCUAUUGUUUAUAACAGGUGAAGGUGGCAAUAAUGUCUGCCUUAAAGUCCAUCAUGGUGGGGUGAUUGUGGAGGAAAAUAUCAAAAAAAUAUGCCUGUGGAUUUUUCGAUAGUUUGGGUGGGUGUAAUGUUGAAACAAUGAACUUGUCCAUAUUGGAACAUGGUGCCACCGACAGUGGCGGAGGGAAUGGGGAAGGGACCCCUAAGUCUUGAGAUUACUUUUUAAUCCCUAAGAAAUUUUAAUAACUUUUAUUAGAGAUCUUUUCUUUGUCCCCUCUAAAAUAUUAACAAAGUUUAAUCACCUAGUUUUUGCCUUCUGAAAUUUUGAACUGUUAUUCAUCUUUGAAUAUUUUUGACCUUGCAUUAUUGUUAGUUGAUUACUUAUCAAUUGUUUUAGUAUUAUAUUUUAAAUUGUUAAAAUUUUAUUGUCAUCUUAAGAAAAAUCUCGUAUAAGCUAAGUUGCGGACACCUUUCAAUUAACUGUUUUAUUUUAAUGUUCAUUAUUGAUCAGCCACAUUUCAUAGUUAAGUACUUCAUUCUACAUUAUGCCAGCUUUUCGUGUAAAACGAGGAAACUAAUAAGAAGUAAAUUUUAGAUAUUCUCUUGCUAAACAUUUAAAACCAACAUUUAUCGCUAAUUAAUAAUGUUAUCUCUUUACUUCUUUUUUUUUUUAACUUUGAGAUAUGAUUGCUCUCCAAAGUUUGAUAUUACAAAAUAAUCAAGUUAUAUUUUGUCUCCUUAAUAAUGUAAGAAUAAAAAGUUGGAAAAUUGAGUAGUUGUAUUUAAUUAAUAUAUUAAUGCAAAUUUUUAUUUAUUACACAAUGUAUAGCUUCCUUAUUAUGUUUCAUUAAAUUAAGUAUUACUAUUACUUUGUCAAAAAGUCCAAUGACAAAACGAACUUGUUAAUAUAAAAUUUUAAUUAAAAAUACUUUUCUUCAAUUGCAAUUCAAUAGCUAGAUUGAAUAAAAAAUAUAUGAUGCAAAAUAUGGGUUGCUUAAGGGCCAUGUUUCAAGUUUCAAGUAGUUCGAGUUUUUAUUAAUAGCUUACUAGUUUAUUUUCAAGAUUUCUAAUUAAUUUGGUAGGAACAGGUCCAAGAUCUCAUGUUGAGUUGGAUCCGAAUUAGUUGUCAAGUCCAUUGGUUAAUUGAAUCAUUUUGUUAGUUAUUUCCUUGUGUAAUAAUCAGCCAGCAAUAAGUUUGUUAAUUGGGACGUGAGUUGGUUGAUUUAGCUAAGUUAAUUGAGUCCAUUAGUUCAGGUAUAGUAGGGUUAUAAAUAUUUGUAUCAUUCCAUUCAAAAAAAAAGAAGAAAGUUGAAUAAACGUUUUUCAAAGAGUUUUCUCUUGGCUCGUUGCCAACGCCCCCUUUGAAUACUUUAGAUUGGUUCUUGAGUGUUCAUCUGUGGCUUAUUAAUUAAAAAACAUGUUUGAUUGUGGCACUUUUCUACUGAUAAGUAUAUAUUUUACGUGAUUUUAUUGUGUUUUAUUAGUUAGUUUUGGUGUGUUUUAUUUAGUUUCAUAGCUAAUUAACAAAGAUUCUAGUGAAAAUAUGCAUUUUAUGGUUUAAGUGGUAAAAAUUACAUUUUUAUGGAUUUUAAUGAUAAUAGGUUUAAUGAUUUAAUCAUCAAAUGGAAUGAAUUGAGAAGAGAAUUGGAUGAUUAUUGAUGAUUUGAAGUGAUUCAGAGAAGACAUGAAGUGCAAAACAUUCAAAAGAAGAAAUGCAAGUGAAGACAGUUUCGAUACCUUAUGGUAUUUCGGCUAUAUAUUGAGCUAGAAUGAUCAGAUUGAGGUGAUUCUUGAACCAUUUUGAAGCUAAGAGAUAGAUCUAUAUUUGGUAUGAAGAUAUCGAAGUCCAGUUCAGCCAUUUUCAUUGUCAAAAUGUCAAAAUACAAAAGUACGACUCUGUUGUCAAAAGCUGAAAUAGAGCUCUAACCAGUUGAUGGUAUUUUGAUCAUAUCUCAAUCGACAGAGUUCCAAAUGGGAUGAUUCAUGAGGCAUUGGAAAGCUAACUCAAAGGGUUAUAACUUUCGUGUUUUGUAAAAGAACUAGUUCAACCUCCAUCAUUGAGAAAAUAGUAGUUGAAGUGGUACCAAAUGCAUAGAAGUGAAAACACGACUUCAUGAUUACGUGGCUUGAAGUCGCGUAUUCUCACUUGAUUGCUGCAAUUUGCCCAUCAACUUACCUUGCUUUCACACAACUUUUCCAACUCAAUUCCACCUAUCAAUCUCGGCUGUAUCUGAUCAAGAAAAGGUUGGAAAGUUGGAAAGACAACUCAUAGAAGUUUCAAGAGUCCAAAAUGACAACUAAAAACAACUCAUUUGGCUCUUGAAUUCUCCACAAAUAGAGGCCUUUGGAGAACAUUUUCACAACUUUGGAAGGCUAGAGAAACUGUGAGGACUUGAAAAUUUGCUUAUAUUUUCUUAUAAGUCUCCUUUAUUUUGAAUAAGUUAAUUUAUAAUUUCUUUAAUACUAAUUACUUCCCUUAAUAGUUGUAAUAAAUAAUAGAGUCGAGAGUUUUACUUUUACUUUUAAAGUUAGUGUUAGUUAGGGUUUUGGUGCAUUGUUAUAGUGUGAUCAAUUGAUGAGGUGUGUGUACUAAAUUUGGUGGAUAAGAGCGGAUAUUAAGUAGGAGGAAGUAUGUGAUUAAAAGUGCUAAAAGUACAUUAGUGAAUCAUAAGUUAAAACAAAAGUACAAGAGAGACAAAAAAACAGGUUUGAACCGACUCGCGCCGUUUGUACCGAUCAAAGACACCACUUGACUGAGACUUUCUUUUUCUAAUCUUCUUAUUUUUCUUUUAUUUUCCCUUCCCUAAUUUUGCCCUAGGGUUGGCUGAAAUUCUUGACCAAAAAAGAGAGGAAAAGAAAAAAAAAAGGAAAAAUGAUUGAAUGCCAAGUGUUGGCAAUCAAGGCCAACUUUGACCAAACCUUUCUUCCAUUCUUAUCUUUCUUUUCACUAAAAAUUCCCUUUAUUUCCUACUAGUUUGGCCAACCCUUAGAGAGAAAAAAAGAGAGGAGAAAAUUUCACAAAUCAUCCUGAUCUUGCCUUGAUUUAGAAAGAAAUCAACAAUAACCACAAAUCUAAUCCGAACAAAGGUGCAACAAGGUGACAACGAAGCUUGAGGUGGAGUGAUUUUGCAUAGGCAGCCUUGGUAUUGUAUUUUUCCUUGAGGUUUAAAGGUAUUAAGUUGGAAAAUUUUCUUUCUCUUUCUUAUCUUGCAAUUUAUGGGGAAGAUGACUUGAAAUUGGAAGUUUUGGGGAAAAUAACCUAGAUUUGUGAAGAUUGGUGAAAUUUCCCUCCUAGGGUUUUAAUUUGCAGCCUUGUUUCUUAUUUUUCAGCUAUGGUAUGAUGGUAUCUAGCCUUGUUAAUGACUUGUAUGAAGAUUAGGAAUUUCCAACUUUAGUAGAGAAUUUUCCAGCUUUGAUAUGUGAUGUUUAUAUGUUAGAGAUGAGUUUAAAUUAGUUGGUUUGGUGGUCUUGUAUAAGAACCUCUUUUUCCUUAUAACUUGUGGACUUGAUUUGGGUUGUUUUGCCAUGGAGCUUAACCUUGGAAAUUGAAGGGAAAACUAGGAAAAAACAGGAGAGAUGCUAGUCGUUUUUUUUUUCUUGUAGUUCAUGUGAGUGGAAGCGAUAUUGAGGUGUGAAUUUAGGGCAUUUUUGUCUUCCUCUUGCAUAUGAUUUUACUCAAAACACUUGUUACAGGCUAUUUCUUUGUAUGUGUGUUAGUUUUGAGCCAAAACAAAGAGGUUUAAGAAAAGAAAAACCUAGUUUUUCAAACUAAUAGUUUGUUGAAAAAUUUUCGCAAGAAACCCUUCGCAGUUUUGGGAAAUUAACUAUAACUUCGUAUAGGAAAGUUAGAAUUGAGUUCCGUUUAUUGCGUUUGAAACUAGACUCAUAGAGCUUUCAACAGUGUAAAAAUCAAGGGUUGGUUCAACUCCUAUAAAUACCAGCAAAUCUACAAAAUUUCUUGAAAAACCAUGACUGUUCUGUCUUUGAACAUGAGACAGUAGUGAAUUUGAACUGAAAUUUGACUAACUUAUGAGUUGAAUUUCAUGAAGCUGUCUUCUAAAGCCUAUUAUUAGUUCAGUUUAUUUUCUAACGGUAUAAGAUUUAUGAUUUUUUGACUUACGGAACUCAAAUUAUACUUUUUCAAAAAAUGUCACCAAAGCUGGAAAUUUUAUCAAAUGGAUUGAGUGGGACUUGGAAAACUUUGGAAAAACAUUUUCUGGGUUUUAAACCGUAUUUUGGUGAGAUUUUGGAUGCUUAAAUUACUCUCCUCACUUUUAGAAUACAUUUAGAUUUUUCCUUGAUUUGCAUCUUCAAAUUUGCCCUUGAACCCUACGUGUUUGAGAGGCCAUCUUGUAUAGGCUUGUGGCUCAUAGUUGAGCCUAAUAUGUGAAUUUUGUUCACUUAAGUUUUGGAUGGUUGGACUAUAAUAUCUUUAUCUUGGUUGUUCUUAGGGUUUGUUGGUGAGCACGGGCAUUACCCGGGGACGAGCUUUUGACAUUUACUCUACUAACAUCAGUGAGUGUUCCUUGCAUGUGUGUGCUUUAAAUGACUAUGUGAAAUGUUGUGAAUGUUGCCAAAAUGUUAAAUGCUUUCCAAUGAUUGCUAAAUAGAUUUUCGAUGAGCGAAUGUGUACUUUAUCGCACUCGACCCAAGCAAAAGUGAAUUUUCAAUGAUUGAAUGCUACUUGUGCAUGAAUGUAAGCCUUUUGGCUGAACUGGACACUUGCCCUUCAUUGCCAGUCGACUCAAGUCAGAAGUGGACUCGGUCGGGCGGUUGGUGACCCUGGGACAAUGUUUGGUAUACUCGAGUAUUACCGCGAAAUCUGGUGGAGAACUGGCUAGUGAAUUCAAUGCAAUGAAAUCAAUGAAUGAAUGACAAGAACACUGAAGGAGUUUUCACUUGCAAAUAUUUUCUAAUGUCGGAGGGAUAAGGAAAAUGGUUGGUAAAUGAAUGAAUGACUUGAAUGAGUGGCUCCAAUUAAACACGUAUCCUUUCAAUGAAUGAAUGAUUGAUUCUUGAAUGACUGCUUAUUACUGUGCUAAGUGUGCAAAGUACUAAAUGUAAAUGUUUCCGUGUUUCGCCUGCUUGAAUGCUUAUUUGGGAAAUUCACUGGGCUUUUAGCUCAUUUCAUUAGUUUAUUUUCCUUACAGGAGUGGAGGCUGGAGCAAGUAAGCGUGAACUAGUGUGUAUAAGUUUCUUGUACUUGCACUUUUAUGGAUUGAAUGUAUGUGGAAUAUUUGGCAAUGUAAAGCUACGUUUUAUUUUUGGCUUGUAAAUGAAGUUGAAUUAUGGUUGAUUUGAGGACCUUCUAUGCUAAUCUAGAGGCGUGAAAAACUAUUUCCAAAAUAUAAGUCAGUGAGUCCUGGUGAAAGUUGGGCAGGCGGUCCGCCAAACCCUUGGGUACGCCUUAGAGGAAGGUGGGGUCAUCGCAGAAACUUACUAAAAAUGUAGUCUUCACUAGAGUUUCCUUUAUUCAUUAGUUAGGGUAUUAUAGAGUAGUUAAUGUAGUGUUUCCUUCUUGUAUUUGUAAUUAGAUUUGGAUUCAGAUUGAGGAGCAAAGAUAGAGAGUUUGAAACUCAUGUGACAAGGGUGACAUCUCUCCUAUCACUUUCUCUUUUGUAUUUAAGUUCAUGUUUAGCUAUAAUACAAGUUUGGAUUUGUUUUUCUUCAUGUUUUGCUAAAAUUUAUGCCUAGAAUUAUAGUUGAACUUGCUAUAUCUUGUUAGUGAUAUUUAUUUGGUUAUUUGGUAAUAUUAUGUUGAGCAAGUUAUUUAUCACUUUUGCUUAUCUAAUCAUGAUUAACCGGCCAUUAGUUGUGAUUAUCUAAAGGUGUUAAGUUUGCUAUGAAAAUUGAAAUUUAACACUAGUUCAAGGAAGUGAUAAACCUAAGUAGUACACUCGCAAGAGUAGAGGUACACCUUUGUGGCUUAAGUGACUUGUUCCAUGUAAUUUCAUAGAAAAAAUGAGCUUGUAGUUAAUUUCAUAACUACGAGAGUAGGUAUGGUUUAGCUACAAGUAUAGUUGAUUUACUACGAGAGUAGGUUUCACAUAUAUUAGGAAAUUACGCCAUAACUAGACAAGAUAAUAGCAUUCACUUAACCAAUAAUCUCAUUAGCGAGAGUAAUGAGGAAUUCCAUACCUCUAGGAGUUUUCUAGUGUUAAUUUUAUUACUUUUACUUCAUGCUUAUAUUCUAAAUAAUAAAGGAGUUUAAAAAUUACCGGUAAUUGAAAAUCUUUCCUGUGGGAUCGACCCUUAAUACCUUAUACUCGCUCACGAUUCGUAUGCUUGGGAAAAAUUGCGUAUGGAGCAUUUAGGAUUUAUAAAUGUAAAAUUUGAUUGUGGAUGAGCUAAUUGUGUAUGUAUACCACGCGCACGUCAUCUACCAACCUUAAUUCGUCUUGAGCGGUCCCUGAUCGAAUUAGGUUCCAUCCCUUAUACCAAAAUUCAUUAACCACAUGAUUAAUGGGUUAAGGUUCUUUUGUAUUUAUAACCUGGUCAAGACAGAUCCUUCAACCCCCCUUUGAAUACUUUAGAUGGGUUCUUGAAUGUUCAUUUAUGGCGUAUCAAUCAAAGAACACGUUUGAUUGUGGAGCCUUUCUACCAACCUUAAUUCGUCUUGAGCGGUCCUUGAUCAAAUUAGGUUCCAUCCUUUAUACCAAGAUUCGUUAACCACAUGAUUAACGGGUUGAGGUUUUUUUGUAUCCAUGACUUAAUCAAGACAGAUUCUUCCGCUACCUGAUCGAUUCGAUUUCUUCUCGAUGGUCCUUGGAAAAUCUUAUUCGUAUCAGUUGAUAUCAGAGUUUUGGCUCUUGAUCCAAGUUAAUAUCCCUUUUUUUUCUUGUUUUCCUAUUUGUUUUUUAUACCAAAACCCUAGUCGUCUUUUGAUUUGAAAGAAACAAAAAAAAAUUUCCAUUCUUAUUUUCUUGAUUUUAUCGUUUGAGUCUAACAUAUCCCCUUGAUUGAUUGAGAUUGGAAUUUCUUGAUGUGAUUAAGUUCUUAGAAACAAGUUUUCUAAGGGUUUAACUCCUAUUAAAUUUCUUUCAAGUUAAGUCGUAACCCUGUGUUGAGUCAUCAAAAAAAUUUUUUGGGUAUUGUUCAUGUUAAUGUAGUGAUUGCUAUUCAUCGUUCCUAUUGCAUACUGUUCAUCAUAUUGUAGCAUCACUCAUCAUCCGAGUUACUGUUCAUUUGAAUAAAAAAAAAUAUUCUGUUUGGGGAUUUGUUUCCUAUCGCAAGUUGUGUUCUUGGUUGUUGUCCAUUUCUAGUUUUCUUGUUGUUACCCGAAAUUCAGUUUGUGUCUUAUUUUUAUUAUUAAUCAUUGUCUUGUUGUCUAGAGUCUUGAGUUGUUUUAAAAAAAAAAGAAAUUAGUUGUACCAUGUGUUUGUUCUUGUGUCAAGCUGCUGGAAAUUAUUGAAUUCUUGAACUUUGUUUGAGAUUCUUGGUGAAAUCUUGAAAAAACUUUGGACUUUCUUGAUUCCAAUCUUGAAAUCUUGAAGUUCUUGAAUUAUAUUCUCGGAUUGUGGUAAAUCUUGGGCCGAAUUUUGAUUAAUCUUUGAGUUCUUGAAACAACUACAAGUUCUUAAAAAAAUCCGUGGCUGCUAGCUUUGUCUUGAAGCUGCAUCGAGAAAAAAAAAAAAAGAAACAGAAAUGAAAACGCAACUCAAUUCAUUCAGUUGAAAGCCGUGAGCCCUAAACUUUUCAAAUCAGAUUUGGAAACAAAACGUUGUCACAUUCCAUUUCCUAGCCGCACAAGGAUUUGAUUUUCAGCCUUGUUGACUUCAAAUUUCACUCCUAUUUGGGCUGGGAUUGAAAUCGUUUCGCACCUGAUUUCCAAAGGGGAAAGAGUAUUUUUCAACCAAAACAACUGCCCUUUAAACACCAUAACAGCCAAGUACAACAAACACCAAAAAUUCCAGCUUCACCAGCAAACCAUUGCUUCGGGUUUAACUAUUCAAAAUUCCUGUGAAUUGUCCAGCAAUUUUUACUUCAAUUUAUGAGUAUUUUUCAGUCAUUAUAGUGUCCUAAAGUCAUUUCCUUGAGUUAAAAUCAGUCCAGAUCAGUUGCAUUCUUAGCUCAAACCUGCUAUAAUCUUACUUCGUCUAAAGGUGAUAAGUUGGUCAACACUAGAAGGAGUUCGAAUUUCUUCAAGGUGUGGAUCAAGCGGCCUUGCGAACUUAAUUGGUGAGAUCAUUAGAGUGUUAGACAAUUUGAGUGAUACACGAGGGUUGAGUGUAAACACGUGAGGGAGCUAGUGAGGAUAAAAAUUUUCUCUACUAACUGUUUUGCAGGUUAGGUCAACAUGUCAAAGGAAGGUGAAACUUCUACUUUUGAUCCUAUGCUUCUUAUGGAUGCCAUGACAAGUCAAUUGCACAAAAUGAUGGAGGAGGAGCAAGUAUACUACUCAUUCUUUCUUUCACCAUUUUUGCCCAAGAUUUGAGUACAAAUCUUAUUUUCAAGAGGAGAGGAAUGAUGCAAAAUAUGGGCUACUUAAGGGGCCAUAUUUCAAGCUUCAAGUAGUUCGAGUUUUUAUUAGUAGCUUAAUAGUUUAUUUUUCAGAUUUCUAAUUAAUUUGGUAGGAAUAAAGUUGGUCCAAGAUCUCAUGUUGAAUUGGAUCCAAAUUAGUUGUCAAGUCCGUUGAUUAAUUGAGUCGUUUUGUUAGUUAUUUCCUUGUAUAAUAAUCAUCCAGCAAUAAGCUUCUUAAUUGGGUCGUGAGUUAGUUGAUUUAGCUAAGUUAAGUGAGUCCAUUAAUUUAGGUAUAGUAGGGAUAUAAAUAUUUGUAUCGUUCCAUUAAAAAAAAGGAAGAUAAACGUUUUUUAGAGGGUUUUCUCUUGGCUCGUGACCAACCCCCCUUUGAAUACUUUAGAUGGGUUCUUGAGUGUUAAUCUAUGGCUUAUCAAUCAAAAAAACACAUUUGAUUGUGGUGCCUUUCUACCAACCUUAAUUCGUCUUGAGUAGUCUUUGAUCGAAUUAGGUUCCAUCCCUUAUAUCAAGGUUUGUUAAUCACGUGAUUAACGGGUUGAGAUUUUUUUGCAUCCAUAACCUGAUCAAAACAGAUCUUUCUGCUGUCUAAUCGAUUCGAUUUCUUCUCGAGCGAUCUUUGGAGAAUCGUAUUCGUAUCAAUAUAUAAAACAAAUAGUUGACAUGCAAUUUAUAAGUCUGAAAAUGAUGCACAUAAAAAAUAUUUUUUUUUACACAAUGUACACCUGCCCCCUCCCUUCUGCCUCCCCUGCCCCUGCCGCAGUAAUCUUGACUCCGCCACUAACCACCGAUCUUGGGUAUCCAGAAACUACAAAUUUGCAGUAUAGAGAUCUUGAUAAAGAUGUAAAUAUGAUUCUUAGAACUCUAGAGAAUGAAGGGAGUGUUAGUUACAAUACAUGGUUGCUCAAAGGGCAAAGGAAAAAGGACUAAGGAAACUACGCAUGCGCUUUCAAUGCUAAAAAAUAUGUUACUUCAUUUCUUAUUUACACGUGCUCAUUUAUGUGCAUCUUUUGCAGGCUCGUGAACCCGAAAAUGCCACUGAAGAGUGAUUGUAAGGGCUCUAAUGUAGCUUCUAUAGAUGUUGCUGAAGAAGUUAAAGUCUAAAGGGAAUUUUGUUUUGGCUAGAAACUUCUAUUGUAACUACAAACCUUUGACGUAUGUUUGUGGCCUUGUAACUUUCUAUAGUUAUAUAUAUUUUUUAUGGUUUUUAACUGAAAUUGAAUGUAGACUUUAUUUUAGUCGCAUGCAGACUUGUAUUCUAAUAACUAGAAUUUAUAUGCAUUGCUAAAUUAUACACUACUUGAGUGAUGAAUAAAUCUUACCUAUAUAAAGGAGAAUAAAUAUAUUGUGAAUAGUAAUGAACACUAGAUGGGCCAAUUAUACAGUUGUUUGCGUGAGUGUCCACGGGGGUUAAUUUCAUUUUGUUCCCUCAAACUAUAUGCUAAAUUUCAUUUCAAUCACUAAACUUCAAAAUGGAACACUUAAACUAUAAAAUUCGUUCUAGUUAAGUAAAAUCGGUGACAGAAUCCUAAAAACUAACUAUCUAUUAAGAGUUUGGACAACACGCUCGGUCGAUGUUGUUGUGCAAGCGUUAUAAACCAAAAUGAUAGGGACAUAAAUGUAAUUUCAUUUUUUUCCUUUUUCAUCCUCCCUUUUUUCCCUAUUUGUUUCAUUUGUGAUUUCCCUGUUUGUUUCUUUUUUUUUUUGUCGAAACGAUAAGAUGAUUUCAUUGCUUUCAUGGUAAAAAAAAAUUACAAGUGCGAGCAACGGCUCGAUCGGAACUCUACAAACAAGUGUUCAAAGACACUGAGGAAGCUGUCGCUCCUCAUCCACAAUAAUGCUUAACGCAUCAACACUCAAUGUUUUACUGACUGUCAUAUUUUCUUCCCUAUCCAAAACAAAAGAGCACAUGCAAAACAAUCUCUGUAACUGAGAGAUGUCUUCAAGUACUGUUGCCAUUUUGCUGUUUGCUGGGCUCUGAUAUUUUAAUUGUCUCCACAGUUCUUUGUUACAAAAUCUCAGCUUAAGAUUGCUCCACUUGCGUUGUACAGCUUUACACAACACCAGCUUCAGUGCCAACGCUUCAUCUAGGAUUUUGUUUCCAGAACUAAUGUCUUUCAGUGCCCACCCUAUCAUCGUGUUCCUUGCAAAAAACUGAACUGUGACUCCAAUUCCCACAAACAACUGCCCUUGCUUCGUGGUUGUAUUCACCUCCAUUAGCACUUCUCCUUCAUUUACAUAAUUCUGAUGCUGAACAUCUUGCCUAGGGACUGUUUCAAACGUGCUCUCUUCUUUUUCUUUGUACUCUAUCUGCUGCUGCUCUAACCAUUCCAAAUGAGCUUUCCUUAUAGAUUUGAAGGGGGGAUCGAAGUUAGCAUUCUCGAAUUCUAUUUUGUUUCUUUCCUUCCACACCUGCCACAGGAUGUUUGCAGUUAAUCCAAUGUGUUCCAUCCCUUCUGACCUGUGCCUUGCUUCAGAGAUUCUUAACCACCACCUUUUGAAAUCUCCCUGCUGCUCCUUUGCUCCAUCCCACUGAAUGGGAGAUGCCUUCCAUAUGUUUUCCGAGUGGGGGCAAUUCAGCAAAAGAUGUUCGACUGUCUCCUGUGCUAAACCACACAUCUUACAUAUCGGAUCACCCUCCCCCGUUCGUCUAUUUACUGCUGCUUUCACAGGCAGAGCACCUUGAAUGCAUUUCCAGAUGAAGAAUUUGAUUUUAUGUUUGAUGUUUAAGCUCCACAGUGUAUUCCACAUCUGAGCUAACUCCGAAUCACUUGCCGAAUAGCUAGAGCUAGCUCCUUCCUGCCUGCACCUGCCUCCCAUCCUGUGUUGCUUCAUCAGAAACUUAUAACCAGAAUUGACAGUGUACAUCCCUCCCACCUUUGGUUGCCAAUAAAAGCUAUCUUCCCUAUCAGCUAAACUCAGAGGAAUAGCUAAAAUUUUUUGUGCAUCAUUGCUAUUGAAGGAUCUGAAUAUGAUGUUCCUGUUCCACCUAUGCUGACAAAUAAGCUCCUCCACUUUUUCCAGCUCACAAUGAAUCCCUCGACUAGUAGUUGGCAUCCCUGUAUCAGUGUCUGGAAUCCACUUGUGGCUCCAUAUAUUUGUACUCCUUCCAUUUCCUAUCCUUCUUAUAAUUCCAGCAUUGAUUAAAUUUCUUGCCCCCAUGAGUCCUUGCCAGAUCCAGGAUGCAUUUCUGGGGAGACUACACUGUAGUAUCGAUUCCUGAGGAGAAUAUCUGGCUUUCAACACCUUACUAACCAAUAGAUUUGGUUUAGUAAGUAUCCUCCAAACUUGCUUCCCUAACAGUGCUUGAUUGAAAGCUUCGAUAUCCUUAAAUCCUAAACCUCCUGCACUUUUUGCCAUUGCCAAUUUUUCCCAAGACAGCCAGUGCAUUUUGUUCUUACCAUGAGCUUCACCCCACCAGAAGUUGGCCAUCAAAGCACAUAUAUCUUUACACAAUCGUCUGGACAGCUUAAAACAAGACAUCACGUAUGUGGGCAUUGCCAUAACAACUGCUUUCAGCAACACUUCCUUACCUGCUGGACUCAAAAGUUUGUUCUUCCAAUUCUGACAUCUUCUCCUUAUAUUAUCUCUCACAAAACCAAAAAUCUGCUCUUUAGAUCUUGAUACUACCAUAGGGAGUCCCAGGUAUUUGCCUUGCUUAGCCUCUACCAUUCCUCCUAAUGCCAGGCAUAUCUCCUUCUUCUGCACAUCAUCCACAUUUUUGCUAAAAAACACUGCUGACUUGUCCAGAUUGACUAACUGUCCCGAGGCAUUUUCAUAUGUAUUUAGCACCUUCAUAAUUUCCACAGCCUCAUUCUUAUUAGCCUUACAAAAUAUUAUAGAAUCAUCCGCAAAGAACAGAUGUGUUAACACUGGACCAAGUCUGCUGAUUUUGAGUCCCUGAAUUCUUUUGCUUUCCUCAGCCCUUCUUAGCAAAUUGGAGAAGCCCUCAGAACAUAUUAGAAACAGGUAUGGAGACAGAGGGUCCCCCUGCCUUAUCCCUCUUUCUGGUGUCACAAAGCCUUUAACCUCACCAUUACAGUUGAAAGAGUAACUCACAGUCUUCAAACAGCUAUGAAUCCAGUUAAUCCAUUUAGAGCAAAAACCCAUCUUUUCCAUCAUUUUCAACAAGCAUUGCCACUCCACCCUAUCAUAAGCCUUUGCCAUGUCCAAUUUGAUAGCCAUGUAUCCCUCUUUCCCUUGUCUUUUAUUUUUAAGAAAAUGCAUGUACUCGUGAGCAAUGAUCACAUUAUCUAGAAUCUGUCUUUCUGGGAUGAAAGCAGAUUGAGUUUUGCUAAUACACAGAUCCAGGACAGAUUUCAGUCUAUUUGCCAGAAUUUUUGAUAUGAUUUUAUAAAGCACACUACACAGACUGAUAGGCCUGAAAUUUUUCAGAUUGGUUGGGUUCAAAGUUUUGGGAAUAAGGGAUAUAACAGUGUGGUUGACUGAUUUGAGCAUGUGGCCUGAGUGGAAAAAAGCUUUAAUCGCAAAAAUGAUGUCACUUUUAAUAGUAUUCCAGAAUUUCUGAAAAAACAAAGGAGUCAUUCCAUCUUGUCCAGGGGCUUUUUCUGGAUUCAUAGAGAACAAAGCAUCAUGAAUUUCUUCCUCCAUAACUUCCUUGGAUAACUUAUCAUUCAUCUCCUGAGUAAUAUAGUGUGGAAUUCCCUCUAAGAUUUCUGUCAUCUCAUCCUUCCCACCACUCGUAAACAGGUCCUUAAAAUACUCAGAAAGUUCAGUCACUACCUCCUCUUCAUUCACAGUCCAAGAACCAUCCUCUCUUUGUAACCUGUUCAAUCUAUUACUCACACGCCUCCCCUUGACAAAAGAGUGAAAAUAUUUAGUAUUUUUAUCCCCUUCUCUCAACCAGUUGAUUCUGGACUUCUGGCUCCAGAAAGCUUCUUCCUCCUUGUAAGCGUUAGCCAGCUGUCUUUUGAGAUCCUGACAUUUCUCCUUUUUGUUCGCUAAACCAGCAUUCCUAGUCUUCUCAAGAUCCUGCUUAAGACCGUCAAUCUUACUCCUAGAGUUAGUCUGGGCAUUAUUUCUCCACUUCAAGAGUUCAAUUCUGCAAUUCCUAAUUUUUCUAGUCACUUUGAACAAAUUUGAGCCCUGUUCCUCCCUACUCCAGGCUUGCUCCACUACUUGCUGGAUCCCCUCUUUUUGGAGCCACCUCUUGUCAAAGUAAAACCUCUUUUUUUUCCUUUCUAUCCCUGGAUUGGUGUCUAGCAAAAGCAACGAGUGAUCAGACGCUAGAGUCUCAAUGUGGUGACACUUAGCACUCUCAAAAUCUUGGAACCAAUCCAUACUACCCAAGGCUCUAUCAAGCCUUUGACGAAUCUCCCCUUCAUUGUCCCAGUGAUUGCUCCAAGUCCAAGGGUGGCCUUCAAAACCAAUAUCAACAAGACUGUUCAGCUCAAUGAAAUGUCUAAAGUCCAUAAAACUACUCUCCUCCCUAAACACCCCCCCCACUUUUCUUCAUUGGACAAAAUGUCAUUAAAAUCCCCCGAGAUCAGGAAUUUAGACCCCCACAACCUACUUCUAUCCGUAAGCACUCUCCAUUGUUCCUUCCUGAUCCCUCUAUCACAACUAGCAUACACUCCAAUGAACCACCAUGCCGCCUGAGAUUCAUUACCUUCAAUCUUAGCUUCGAUAGUAAAAGCAGUAGUGACCACCUCUACAAUUUGUGUAUCCUUAGUCCAAAGUAAGGCCAUCCCCCCUGUUCUAUUCAUAGCUUCCACGGUCACACUGUUAUCUAGCCGUAACCUUCUAGCUAUUCUAUCUAUGACUGCCUUCCUGUUCUUAGUUUCACUUAGGAAAAAAAUAUUUGGAGAGGAGAGGUGAUUAACCUCCCUCAGCUGGGGAACUGUCAAGGGACUCCCCACCCCUUGGCAGUUCCACACCACAACUCUCAUUUACACCUGGAGGUCCCAUUAAGGAAGGACCUCUCCUCCUUUUCCUUAUCCCCCUCAAAAUACAGCUCCUCCAUCUGUUUAGUUUUUUUCCACUGACACGUAUCCUGAUUUGUUUCCUCCAUCACUUCAUCUCUAAGCAGGAUCUUCCUCUUCCCCACUUUCACCUGAGAAUUUGCAUUACCCUGUAUCACCUGUAGAGGACUUCUGGUUCUAGCUGGAGUCUUUAACUUUCUAAAAGUUCUCCUGGUCUGUCUGUCCAGUAACCCCACCAUCUUAGUAUCACCUGGGGUUUCCUGAUGAAACACUACUAGCUCUGAUUCUUUCUCUAAGACUCUAGAUUCCUGGAAUUGGUUGUGCACUACUUCAACUAAAUCCUCCUCCAUCUCUUCCUCUAUAUGAGAAAGCUGGAGAUCUUCCCCUCCUUGAUUAAAACGAGGUAACUCUACGUCCUCCUUGUCGCCCAUCACCAGACCCUCAAUUCUACUGUGAGAGACUACCUUAAGAGCCUCCUGUUGAGUAGAAAGUCCCCCAACCCCCUCCAUACUAUGAUCCUCCCCUACUCUUUCACCAUCCUGAUUACUACCCCCACCACUGCCAGUGGCCUUAAGGACCUCCAGCAGACUCUGAUUGCUAUGCCUUUUACUUUUCUCCUGUUCGACCAACUCCCCAUUCCUAAAGGCCCAGUAACGUCUAUCACUAUGUUCAGAGACUCUAGCAUUUUUUUUCUGAGGGGAGACCCUGACAUUUCCGGCUCUCAUCCAGGGACCAUACUGAUUCUCAUCAGUAUUCCCUCCUAGCAAUCUCCUAUCUUUACAAGACCUUUCACUAUGUCCCACAAUUCCGCAAUUAUAACAGAAAUCAGGACACCUUUCGUAUUUGAAGGCUAUCCAUUUGCCAGUUCCUGCUAUCCUGACCACAGUACCUCUAAGAAGAGGUUUAGAUAGAUCAGCCAUAACUAAAACCUUCAAAUGCCUACCCUCUUUGCCUCCCACCUGAGGGAUCACAACAUCUCUAACUUCCUUAAAAACUCUCCCUAUCUUUCUACCAAUCUCCUUAGACAACCAAUGAACUGGCAAAUUCCAGAGCUGCACCCAAAGAGGUGCGGUCACGAAAGUUUUAUAGUCAUCUUCAAUGCCUUCCACCCAUCUUUUAAGCACAAGCAUCUGGUUAUCUAUAACCCAAGGCCCUCCCUCCACUAUUCUAUCUUUAUCUUCUGAGUUUUGUAAGUUAAACUGAAACACAUUUGGUCCCAGUUCCACCACAGACAGAUUCCUGGGAUACCCCCAGGCCACAGCCACAAAGUUUUUAAUACCAGUGAAAUUAAUGACUUUUUCUCCUAAAACUCUCCCGAUGAUACUGUUUUCACAAGCUCUCACGCCAGUUUGAAAAUCAUCCCCCUCUAGCGUGAGUCCAACCAGCUCAUUCCCUUCAAGGGAAAACUUCUGUAAAAUAUCCGACAGCUCUCCCUCCAUGGAAAGCUCAUAAAAAUCUAAGAUGGAAAAAAAACACUCUAUCCACAGGAGAUAAAGACCAGAACCAAAACGUAGAGAACGGAAAAGAGCACAGAAACAAAACAAACGGAAAGACUAAGAAAGAGGAUCGAGACAGAAAAAAGAGCCUGCUGAAAUACCGGACCACAACUGAUAAAAUAUCAUUGCUCCCUUAUACGCUUAAGAAAAACAGGGAAAAAACAGAGCACUGACUCACCUUGUCCAGACAAAAGCUUAUCAUAGCUGAAGAUUGCGACGCUUGAACUCCCUUUCUUCAUGCACUGACUAGCUUCCAAGAGAUGAAGCCCCCCUUAGCUUUGAAACAAACAAUCUCCCGUUCAAUUACUGGCGGAAGAUCAAGCUCCGGGAGUGCGGGAGAAAGCAAAUUUUGAAAGAAUUUGAAAAGAAACAACCUUCCCACCAAAAAGGUGGGUGAGCUCCUAUCCCAAGAGAGAGCACAGCUACCUUAGAGUGAGAAAGCCUCUACGUUAGAGAGAGGAUUUAAGGUGGAUAUUGCCUUUUUUCCUUUCUUCCAUUUCCCUGUUUGUUUCGUUUGUGAUACAUACUAGUAGGUAGCAGUACCUCUUUGAGGGUAAAUGCAAGAGUGCUGGAAGUGAAUUUUUCCAAGCUAUCAUGAGCUUUUCUUAGACAAUCCACCCCAUGAAUCUGUUAAAGGAUGCCUUGUCUACAGCUACAGCCCCUUUUAUCUUAAUCUGUGGAUUUUAUUGCUUCAUGAAGCAUACAGCAGCAGCAACACUGCAAUUAUUCACACUGCAAUUGCAGUGGUACAAGGAUAAACUCAAAUAAAAAAACAUAUAAUCCUAUAUCUAUAUAGCUACAAGCUUACAACCUUGACACCAGAGCAAGAAAAGAAAUCAGUCAACCGAGUUUGUGAGCAGCAAAAUGACUUCCUUCUGCCAUUAGCCGCAAGAAAAAUAGAUGGUCUUUUUAUUUCACACAACAUGGCUUGAUUAAUUUCCUCAAUUCAAGGCUCUUUCACAUCAACCCAGAUGCUUUCUUCAGAUCUCUCCUCCCAUCGAGGAAACUCCUCCAUCUAGGCUGCUGUUCCACUUCCUUCUGAUGACUUUUUGACUUUAAAAUUAGAUUUAUGCCAAUCUAAUAAAGCCUUUUGAGAUUCACCAUCAACUUGAACCUGUUGAGGGGGGCUUUUCUUGACAUUAAGCAGAGAGCAGUAUUUCAUCUUGUCCUUUUCUUUAACCUUGGUUUUCAUUGUAGUAGUUUUAUUCUUUUCCCAACUCCAACUCUGCUGGUGCGGCGCCACGAUGAAUUCUUCAAUGCUGGCUGUUUGUCUUGGUCAAAGUUAUGCAAGAGUUGUCUAAUAAAGCAGAGGAAUUAUAGCGAUUCUUUUCUUCUUGACAACGAGUAGUGCUUGGAUGUGAGACUUUUAAGGAGGCAAGAAUUUUGUGAUUCGCAUACAACUUGACAAAGUGGUUGAUACAUGAUAGUAGUGGUGGAGGUGGAGGAAGGGGGCAACAAGAACGGGAUCUGUAGGAGUGAUGGGGUGCGGCAUUGUUGUGGUGGUGGUGGUGAUGGAGAAGAUGGUGGAUUUUGUUGGGUGCUUUUUAAGGAGUCUGGAAUCCAUGGAUGAUGAUACAACUUUUGGCUUCGGUUCUAUUAGGGCUGCCGACGAGGAUAAGUUGUAUCUUUGGACAGAAAAAUUGAGAAAGCGCAUGAGGAAAGAAGAAGAAUAAUAGGGAAAAAAUUUUAAAAGGGAGAAAAAGGGAAGGAUGAAGAACAAAGGGUGAAAUUACUUUUACAUCCCCAUCUUUUUGGUUUAUAACAAUUACACAAAUAUACUAAUGGAGCGUACUACUCACGCUCUUGAUACACUAUUAGUUUUUUAGAUUUCAUUACCGAUUUUACUUAACUGGAACGGAUAUUGUAGUUUAAAGACUUAAAUGUCCCAUUUUAAAGUUUAGGAAUUGAAAUGAGAUUCCAUGUGUAGUUUGAGAGGACAAAAUGGAAUUAACUUUAUUGUGGUUUUUUGGUGUUGGGUGGGACAAACUUGUUUGGUAAUUCAUGAAACUCGUGUGGGUGGUUGUCGAUUUAGAGGAAUUCAAUGGGUUUUUAGUUAUUUUACUACUCUUUAAGUGCCAGCAAGCAUGUAAGAUACCUUUGCAAUGGGAGAAAGGACAAUGGGGCUUCUUCCAUAGUUAUUAAUUUUCAAAGGUGAUGAAUCAUUGUCUGGGCUACAGAAGACAUUGAGGAACACUUGCGGUGCUCAAAUAUGUAAAAUAGUGAAACGUUGUCAAGGCAAGAAGUCUGUGUAUCUAAGCCCAAGAUGUAACAAAUUUGAGGCCCAAUAUGUCUUCUCAUGUAUUUUAGAAUGAAAAAAUUAUUCAAAACAUUUCUAAUAUUUUGUUAAAUAAAUUUUUUCAUCCUUUACUUUUAAAAUGAUAAUUUUACCUUUCUUACAAAGUUAAAUCAGUAAAAUUUGGUCAAAAUAUGGAUUUUUUUUUAUCACUUUUUAUCUUGAAUUUAUUACAUAACUCACAUAUGAUCAUUUUUUAAGGUUAAAAAGGUUAGAUCCUAUUUGCUGUUAAAUAAAUAACCCAAUUUGUAUUCAAUUUUAAACCUAAAAGUAAGAUCUAAUCUGCAUCAUAUUUAUUUUUCGAUCUCCUAAAAUGGUAAGAUUUGACUCAAUUCAUAUUUAUUUUUCUCCUAAAAAGGUAAGAUUUGACUCAAUUCAUAUUUAUGUUUGCCACUGAAAAUGUAGUAUUUGACCUUUUGCAUAUACAAAAUGACUAUAUGGAUCACGUAAUGAUUUCAAGCUAAAAAGUGAUCGAAAAAUUGAGAUUAGGACAAAAUUAUACUAACUUGAAUUUGUAAGGAACGUAAAAUAAAUAUUUUAAAAAUAAAGGAUAAAAAUUUCAUUCGAUGAAAUGUGAGACGUUUUGAAUAAUUUUUUACUUUCAGAAUUACUAAUGCAAUUUUGUGGGGACUCUUCUUUUCCUCCUCGCAUUCAUCCAUGCUUACCAAAAAGGUAUAUAUUUCUAUUUCAUGUUCGGACCUACUCAGUGUGGGUAAUAAAUGGAGAAUAUAAUUGGCCUCCAACUUGCUGCCAUUAUCAUGCUAUGCUUGAAGGAAAACCAACUCUCAAACUAUAGGCUUGGUUUGCUUGCGUAGGUCUUCAUGCAAUGAAUAUGACUGCCAUCCUGUUCUCUUUGGUUUGGAAACUUGGAAUGAAUUUAACUGCUAUCCUUUUGUCCAAACUGUAUAACUUUGGUGUGUCUAUACUUUCCAAAAUUUCCUAAAGCUCUUCUUCCUGCAAGCAAAAAUCAAUGUCAGAAACUAAAAUAUUGAAAACAUUGAAAAAUUUUAGUUUUUACUUACAAUGGUAGUUUUUUGAUCUUACACGUUGUGGCCAAAAACAGGCCGCAGCUUGUGGUGCCAUCAUGUCCAUCUCUCACAACUUUCUGUAUCACUGACAAGUGUACUGAAUUUCGUUAAAGUACAAUUCUCAUAUGAAAUUCUGAUUAAGAGUUAUGACCAAAAUGAGCAAGUUAUAAUUAAGAUUCUUUCAUUAGCAUUAUCUCAUUGAGGGUUAAAGAUUAAAAGAAAGAAUUGAAUUCUUUUAUAAUUUAUGAGUUAUUUUUUACACAACGCUGCCCUAAAAGUUGAGCCAUGUUUUAUGCCAAAAGUUUCAGUGUGCCUACUUAUGGAUAAAAAUAAUCGUUGCCAAAUCCCAUGCGGUUUUGACAUGGACGUUGAUUAAGUUUCUUCAGAGUUUCAAGUCAAGCCUUUUAUUUGAUUGAGGUUUCUUGGUGCUAACAUUGACAUAGUCUAUAUGAUGCCUUCUUAAAACUUCAUGGAUACAAGUGCAAUUUAUCUGUUUUGCUCUUCCAUGAAUGACAUGAAAGAGCUUAUGUGCAUAAAAUUGUUUGUCUCGAUUAAAUAAUUCAUGAAUUAUAAUGAAUGGUAUCACCAAAGUGACCUUUAUUAUAUUUAUAGAAUUAUUUAACGUGGAUCGUGAGAUGUUCAUGUUUUGAAGUUCUAUGUUGAUUUUCAACUUGGUUUUUAUCAAAAGUUGAAAUUGUUACUUGAGAUAUGAACCUUUGGUAUAAUAUUUGGGGGUAGUUUUCUUGGUUCAUGUAUUUAUAAAAUAUGUCAUAUAUUUCUUUUGUCAAUGAUUUCAAAGACACAAAUAAAGUUUUUAAGCAAAUUGGACAAAGGGUUUGGGAUUUCUUUUGAGGAAACAAGUUUUAGUUUGCCAAUGUCAUAGUUAGAUUUAUUAUAUAUCUAUUGACGUGAAAUUUUGUUUCAAUUGAAUGACUUAACGGAUUAUUACAAUUAGUACCACCGAAGUGGCUAUUGUUUUAAUUCAUAAAAUUAUUCAAUAAGGAUUCUGGGAUGUUUGUCUUCUGAAAUUAUUAUCAUAAUUACCUGCCUGAAGGAGGUAUUUAUGCAUAUUAAUUUUGGAAGGGUUAAGUGAUCACCAUGGAUAUUUAUGGUCAUACAGUAUUUAUCUCAAUUAAAUGAUUUAUUGAAUUAUUAUAAUUGGUACACCAAAGUGGCCAUUAUCAUAAUUCAUAAAUUUAUUAAUAAGGAUCCUGAGGGGUUUGUCUUCUAUCAUUGUAUUAUAGUUAUCUACCGAAGGUGAUAAUCAUAUAUAUCAAUUUCAAAAGGGUUGAGUGUCCAGUGAGGGAAAAUUAUGAUCUCGAAAAGGGCCUAUCUAUUUGAAGUAUAUCAGUUCUUCUAAAGUUGUCUCACUGUUUUACUUAAGUGGGAGGUUUAAAUAUACUUUCGCUCCUACGUGAAUAUUGCCAUUAGUUGUUCACACGUCUUUAUUGCACAAGUUGUAUGAUUAUAUCUUCGUAUAUAAUUUUUUUUUUAAAUUUGCAAUAUUUGUGUGAACAAUUGUCAUUUAUUAUUAUUAUUUUUGGCAAUAUUGCUUUGAGAUGGAAAAGUAGACUCGAGUAUAGCACUUGACUUGGUUGAUCUUGUUAUUGUUAUACUUCAAGUAAAGUUACUAAAGUUCCAGAAUUACAGUUUAAUGAAAUAAGACUUGUUUUAAAGGAUAAAUUAAAAUAUUAAAUUUAUGUAGAAAUUUGCCCUUUGGCAUUUUUCAAAGUACCAUGGUAUUUCAAAUUGUUGAUCAAAAUUUUGUUUGAGUCUAUUGAGGAAUAGUUUCAAGAAUAUGGAAGAUCUAAAGUUAUAGUUUCAAUGAGCAUUAAUAGAUAGUGUUGUUUGCUAGAUCAUUAGAGAAGAACUUUUCUUCUUGACCAUUAUAAAGUACAAUUUUUAUGGUUCACCAAAUUUGAAGGGUCCACAGUUUUUCAGUGUUUGGGGUUUAAUUUUGUGUUUAUAUUCAAGUGUCAAUAAGUGGUUGACAUGUAUUCUCCAAUUGUGGUGAAUAAUAAAUGAGGGGAAGUUGAGAAAAAUUCCAUGGGUCCAACUCAUAAUUUUGAACGUCAGAAAAUUUUAACACUAAGUAAAGACUUAUACAAAAAUAAGACUUAUAGAAUAACAAAGAUGCAAGAGUUCCUAACUAUUAUGUUAGAGUACUGUUGACCCUAGCAUAUACGGCUAGUUUGAUUGUUUGAAAUUUGAUUUCUUUGGCCGGCGCCUAUGGUGGUGUAGCCAGCCCUUCAGCAGAAGGCUGAAGGGCUUGCCUCCCCUUCCAUGAAAUCCUUUGCAGAAAUUCUGAUGCAGCAUCCUAAACAAUCAGUGGCUAAGGAUGAAUUGUUGCAGGCUUUCUUGUUGUCUCAUCAAUCAUCCAUAGCUAAGGAUGUCUCGAGCUUUAAGAGGCAACUAGUAGUGUUUUUUUUUUUUUCUGAUGGUGAUAUUCAAGUUCUUUAUGCUCCUUUCAAGUUUGCUUUGGUGGGAAAGUUUUCACGAGGAUGACUGAACAUGGAUUCUCUAUGGAAACAAUUCAGGCUGUAGGGUUCAAGGGAACGUUUAGUCUUGGCCUUCUUAAUUCUCGUCAUGUGUUGAUUCAGUUUGCUCUGGAAGAGGACUACUUGCACUGUUGGCUUUUGGGGGUUUGUGGUCUUUUUAGGGUUUCAUCAUGAGGGUGUUCAAGUGGACCUCUUCUUUCUCGGUCGAUGCGGAAUCCUCCAUUGUUCCAGUUUGGGUGUCACUUCCAAAUCUACCCAUACAUUUUUUUUUGACAAGGGGCCUCUCUUUUCCAUCGCAAGACUAAUUGGCGAGCCAUGAAGGUGGACGCUUCGACUGUCACUUUGAGUAGACCGAGUGUGGCUCAAUUCUGUGUUGAAAUUGAUCUUCUCCAUGAUUUACCGGACAAGAUUUGGAUUGGAAACGGCUCACAAAGGGGUUUUUGAUAGAUGAUAGAAUAUGAGAAUUUGCCUCAAUUAUGUUCUGCUUGUAGUAGGUUAGGAAACAAUGUUUCUUCAUGUUGUAUGGGGCUUCCAACUAGUGCAGAAAAUGAGAAAGCACAAAUUCACCAAGGCAAAGAAUGGAUACCCAAGCAGAAGGAAACCGGAGAGCAGGAUAUCAUCCCGUCGGAUCAACCAGCAAUGGUAGGGUCUUUGAAAAUGGUGUUCUGGGUAAAUCCAACUGCGGCAACUACUAGCUCCUCUAGACUAUGGGAGGAGGAGAAAGAGUUGAUCCCUAAGGGCGUGGGUAAGGGCGGGCAUGUUUUAGCCCACACAAAGGAAGAGAUGCCCUUGGACUUGUGACAGGUCACUACGGUGCAGCGAACUUCGGAUGUUGCAAUAAAGGGGGAUGGGAAGGUACCACGUGUGCUCAAGUUCUUGGUGGAAAGACCAAGGGUUUUUCAAACACAAAUGCUUUCAUGAUUUUAGAGAAUCUAGAGGAGCAGCGUACAUCAACCAAGCCUGAUGGCAUCAAUUGGUAGCAGCCUCUAUGUUGGAAGUCUAGCUUGUUGUCGCCAGUUAAGAAAUUGAAGGUGGAUAACGGAAGACGGUGAUCAAUGGGGGAUGGCUCAAGUGAAGUGUCAUUGGAUGAACUCCAACAGUUCCAGAGAGAUUUGGAGGGUAGGCUUCGGUCCACUAGUAUUAUCUCCAAUCCUCACCAACUCUUUUCGGAUGCUGACCGCUACAGGCGAUUGGUGACAGACCAGCAACCGGUAACACAGUUUAAAAAACGUGGCCGGCUUUCUACAAAAGACAGGCGUGAUAAUUCGAGUCUACUCCAACAAGGGAAAAUCGGUUGCAUGAAGUGUAGAGAAAGAUUAGCUUCGGCACACAGCAAAAAAUCUGGUACGCCAGUGAUUCCAACUCCAGCUAACGAAUUGUUGAAUUUUUUAUGGUUGUACCGAUAACCAUGUUGAUUUGGAAUAUACGAGGGAUCUCAUAACAAAAUUCCUUGUGGUAUUUGAAAGAGUUAUGUUCAUGAAACCAAGUUCAGUUUUUAGUGAUUAUUGAACCUCUAACUAUCUCGACUUCAAUUCAAACGUUUAGAAUCAAGCUCCAGUUUGAUUUUGCUUCAUACUUUUUGGAGGGCAGAAUAUGGUUCUUUUGGCAACACUUAGUCUGCUCCUUUCUUCCUCUUGUAAACCAGCUAGUGCAUGUUGACAUUGUGCUUUCUUCUUCCUUAAAGUUCAUUUUAUAGCAGUGCAUGGCAAGUAUUCUAGGUCAACAAGGCAGCCCAUAUGGAUAGCUUUAGAAGCCAUUGCUAGGGAUAUGGAUGCGCCUUGGAUGGUAGGGGGUAUUUUAACACCAUUACUUCAGCCAACGAACGGAGGGGAGGGGCAAAUCCUAGGAGGGGUGAUAUGGAGAAUUUCCAGGACAUGAUUCAGAUGACGAAUCUUUUUGAUUUACACUUUGACGGUUCGCAAUUUAGUUGGACAAAUGGGCAGGCUUGGCAAUGUUUGGAUAGAAUUCUAGUUAACAGUGCACGGAAUUCAGCUUUUAGUCUAGUGCAUCUAUAUCACCUGGUUAGAGGGCAAUCAGAUUAUUCCACGUUGCAGGUUCGGUCAUCUAAUUUGUCCGGGGGUAAAAGUUCUUUCCAAUUUCUUAAUGUUUGGCCCCACCAUCCGGACUUUAAACAAGUGGUGCAACAUUCGUGGGGCCAACCAAUUAUUGUGGGAGGUAUGGUCGGUUUCUUUGCAAAGCUGAUGCGGUUGAGGAAAGCUUUGCGUAAGUGGAAUUGGCACACGUUUGGUCACAGCGGACGGAAUUCGAAGAGGGCGGAAGAAGUGUUGCUACGGCAACAAUAGUUAUAUGAUCAACAUGGGGGUGAUAUGUUGUGAUGUAAUCGAAAUGAAAUUAGAGCUGAACACACGCGUUUGGUAGCAGUUCAACAGGAGUUUUGGUGCCAAAGAGCGUCCAUUAAAUGGUUGCAACAGGGGGAUGCUAAUACAAAAUAUUUUCAUGCACGAGUGAGACAACGAUGCAAUGUGAACUACACUAGUCACAUAAGAAGGGAUGAUGCAAGCUGGAUAGAUUCGCUCACGGAUAUUUAAAAUUCAGCAAUAGAGUUUUUUAGAUCUCUGUUUGAUUAUAGAGAUUAUGUAACAGCCUUGGAGAACAUUCCGUUUCGUAUUCCUUCCAUUUCUCACCAACAUAGAAAGGAGCCAGAUUCUCUACCUUCGGAGGAGGAGGAGGAGGUGGUAAAAGAGGUAGUGUUUGGUAUUAACAAGGAUAAUGCAGCGGGCCCGGAUAGCUUUUCAGUAUUAUUUUAUCAUUCUUGCUGGGACCUAAUUAGAUAGGAUAUGCACACGUUUGGUCACAGCGGAAUUGGCACACGUUUGGUCACAGCGGACGGAAUUCGAAGAGGGCGGAAGAAGUGUUGCUACGGCAACAAUAGUUAUAUGAUCAACAUGGGGGUGAUAUGUUGUGAUGUAAUCGAAAUGAAAUUAGAGCUGAACACACGCGUUUGGUAGCAGUUCAACAGGAGUUUUGGUGCCAAAGAGCGUCCAUUAAAUGGUUGCAACAGGGGGAUGCUAAUACAAAAUAUUUUCAUGCACGAGUGAGACAACGAUGCAAUGUGAACUACACUAGUCACAUAAGAAGGGAUGAUGCAAGCUGGAUAGAUUCGCUCACGGAUAUUUAAAAUUCAGCAAUAGAGUUUUUUAGAUCUCUGUUUGAUUAUAGAGAUUAUGUAACAGCCUUGGAGAACAUUCCGUUUCGUAUUCCUUCCAUUUCUCACCAACAUAGAAAGGAGCCAGAUUCUCUACCUUCGGAGGAGGAGGAGGAGGUGGUAAAAGAGGUAGUGUUUGGUAUUAACAAGGAUAAUGCAGCGGGCCCGGAUAGCUUUUCAGUAUUAUUUUAUCAUUCUUGCUGGGACCUAAUUAGAUAGGAUAUGCUAUUGGCAGUGGAGGAUUUUUUCUUGGGAGGCAGGCAGUUAAAAGGUUUCACUAGCACAAUGGUGAUUCUUAUCCCAAAGAAGACAGAUGAUGUGAGAUGGUCAGAGUUCCAACCUAUCAGUUUGUGCAACAUGAGUUCCAAAAUCCUGUCGAAGAUACUGGUUAACAAGAUCAAUAGGGUACUGCCCGAUAUAAUUUCGCCGUUUCAGCCUGGUUUUGUACCAAGCCGACACAUAAAUUAAGGAUAAUAUCUUGUUGGCUCAAGAGUUGUUGACUGAUAUUAGCAGGAAGCUGAGAGAACUGAAUGUCGCUCUUAAAUUGGACAUGGAGAAGGCCUAUGAUAAACUGGACUGGUCUUUUGUUAUGUCCAUGCUCAGGGCAAUUGGCUUUGGCCACUGGUAUAUUGAUUUGGUUUAUCGCUCUCUGUCGAACAACUGGUUCUCAAUUCUGAUAAAUGGAGAACCGGUGUGCUUUUUCAAGUCAUAUCGGGGAGCACGUCAGGGUGACCCAUUGUCUCUGGCUCUGUUCACUAUAGCGGCCAAAUUUUUAAAUUGGGGAAUUCACCAUUUGCUGAAAAUUGGAAGGCAUAUGUUCUACAACGCUGCUGGAGGUCAGAUCCCUAUGCUAUCAUUUGCAGAUGACACAAUGAUCUUCACGUGUAUAUCCCGACAGGGUUUAAGAUGAGUGAAAGACUUUUGGAUUUGUAUCAGCGGGUUUCGGACCAAAGGAUAAACAUCUCAAAGUGCUCUUUCAUUUGGUCCCAUAAAUUGUGUCAGUCAAAAGUUUAGCUAGUUAGCUCUAUCUUUGGUUUCUGUAGAGAACAAUUGCCUCUUCGAUAUUUCGGGGCUCCCUUAUUUACAAGUUGCCUGCAAAGGAGGAUAUUUGAUGGAAUUCUAGACAGGGUAAGAGCCCGAAAUGUAGAGCUGGAGUUGUAGGUUUUUGUCGCAUGGAGGGAGAAUAAUCCACCAAAUGCAAAGGUACCAAAUGCAAAGGUACCCAUGCAUCUCAAAUAUGGUUAAGGCAUUUGGGAUGAAAUUAUGGGUGAGACUAUGUGAGGGUAUUUUGGUUUGGGCAAAAUUCAUAUGACAAAAAUAUUGUCGGCAAGUGCAUCCUAUGUUGGUAGAGGGGUCAAAAGGGUCCAUUAUUUGGCGGCAGCUGUGCUCUGUACGAGAAGAGGAAAAGUAGAUUUUUUGGCAAGAAAGGGACGCCUUGAUAGAGCCUCUGAGUGAGGCUUGCCAGCUGCAACACUAUCCUCAAAUGACCGUGGCGUCUUUCUUUCAAGGGAGGGAGUGGGAUGUUCGAUGGUUAUAGGAAUGGGUACCUUUGCAUUUGGUGGAGAUGAUUCUGAAAGUAGCCUUCUGGCCAUCUUGCAAGGAUGUUUUACUAUGGAACAGCUGUCCCUAUGACUUGGCACGAGAGAAAUGUGGUUCUUCACUUGUAUUGUGAGAGGUUUGGAAUUCGAUGCUACUGGUGAAGAUCUCCUUUUUGGCCAGAAGAGUAGUGAACAACUUUUUGCCGCUUGAUAGUAUUCUGUAGUGUCAUGGAGUUACCUUAGUGUCAAGAUGCCAGUGUUGUUCAUCGCUGGAAACAAUUCGACAUGUUUUUUUUGACAGUGCUAUGGCCCAAGAGGUGUGGAGGUACUUUUGCUCUCUUUUUGGGAUUCGUUUCAUUCAACCUUAUAAUCUAGGUGUCGUUAUUAUGCACUAGCUUUUGUCGAUCGAUAAAGGGCAUCCAUACCAUGUCAGAGGUCUAGUCCCGAUAAUUGUGGUGUGGUUUAUUUGGCGUCAGAGGAAUGCAGCUAGGUUUGAUGGGAUUCAGAUGGAUGUGGAGUGUAUCACUAGGGGGGUGCUCCUUUUCUUAAAGCUGUUAGGAACUGCAACCAGGAUUGACAAGAAGUAGCUAAUAGGGGAUUUAGAUUCGCCUAUAUCUCCUUUCUUCAAAUUUAAGUGUUGCAAAAGGAAAGUAUGUAUUCCAAUAAAAUGGACGGCGCCAAAAUCGACUUCCUUUAAACUUAACACAGAUGCUAGCGUAAAUAAUAGAGGGCAGUUGGAGGGGGGUCAGUUGGAGGGGGGUCCUUCGCGAUCAUCAAGGCAAAAUCAUCAUGACAUUUUAUAAGGAAUUUGGAGACAUGUUGGUGCUAAAGGCUAAGGCCCAAGCUUUGCUUUAUGGGUUAGAGUUAUGCUGCAGUGGGGGCUGGAAUCGGAUUGAAGCUGAAGUGGAUUCAAAGGCUCUCUACCUUUCAAUAAUAUCAAACCUGUCAUCUACUUGGCCACUUUGUAACAUCAUUCGGAAGAUAAAGGUCCUACUAGAGAACCAAAGUGGGAGCUUACAUCACAUCUAUGGGGAAGUGAAUGCGAUGGCAAAUGCCUUGGCGGGUCUAUCGGCUAGCAGCCAGGGGUUUUUUAGUUCCUUGUCAAGUAUACCACAACAUAUUCAGUCGCUAGUUAGGCUUGAUAACUCUUCUUAUGUAGUAGUUAGACGUAUCGAGGAGUAGUACUUCUUGUUUCACAGCUUUUCUCAUGUAUCAGUAGCUUCUCCUUUUCUGAUUAUUAAUAAAAACUAGGUGGCGCCCAUCCCCAUGUAUGGGGUUCGGCCAAAAAAGAACUCAUAAUUUUGACGUUAAAAAUACUAAAUGUCAAUUUCAGGGUGAUUCAAGUUUUAUGAGUUCAAGUUGUAUGAAAAAUUAACAUAAUUUAUUUUUCUUUUGUUUGUUUUAAAUCCUUCAUUUGUUAGUUGAUAUUUUUAUCUAACUUUUGGGGUUUGAUAAUAUGGUAUCUGUCAUUGGUUAAUGUCAUUGAUAGUACAUACACAAAGUCAAAUAAAGGGGAAGGAAAUGUUAAUUUUUAAAGGCAUGAAUUUUCUUGCAAUAAAGAUUUUCUAAUUAAUGCCCACUUAUUUUGGACCCUAUUACUUAUCUUAUGCUAUAAAAAGUUAUCACUUCUGUAAUGAUUGUAGGGUCAAUAAAAUUCUUGACACUCUAAGAUGAAUAGUGUGGUCAAAUGAUUUUAAAAAAUGCUCAUAAAGAUAUGGUCAAGUGUAUUACGAAUAGUUUUUGUCUAAAUCUCUUUAAAAUGGAACAUGAUAUAUAUAGCCAUAUGUAUCUUUAGCUUGCCAAACAAUUUUGUUCCAAAAUUUUCUAAUAAGAUUUAGAUUUGGAGAAGAACUAGUUUCAAAUACAUUGUGUUUGGAAUUAUCUAGUUGAGAAAGAUCAUAUGUUCAACAGAAACUUAGACGUUGUAUCAUAUAUGGUAUGUUUCUGUAAUUAAGUUUUUUAAAGGGCCUUUAUGGAGUUACAAUUUUUCACUAUGGCAUUUGAUAUCAUUCUUAAGGCCUGUGGGAACAAAUUUAGUUUUGCCCAUAUUCUAUCGUUUGGUUAAGAGAUAUUAUUCCAAGAACUUUGAUGUAAAAGAUCUUGGGGGAGCUAGCAUACUUUUGAUAUUGUGAAAAUAAAGAAUGGUUGGGACUUAUCCUUUACAUUGAUUAUAUACUUAAAGUCAAAUGUGAAACUACAUGUCAAUUUGUCUCAAAUGGCUAAAGAUAAAUUGCGGCUAAAAGCAAUACAGUAAAAAUAACCUUUAAGAAUUUCAUGAAAAAUUUGAUACAAUUUGUAACGAGUAAUCUUUAUAUUAGUUUCUUGUAUAAGACCCGAUAUUAUCUACAUAGUAAUUGUGUUGGUGGAUAAAUUUGGCAAAUAUUGGUCUAUGCAUUAUGUAUUUGCUAAUGAAAUAAUAAGGUUUAAGAACUAAAGAUCACUUGUUUUUCUUUGAGCAUUCGAAAAUCUUAAAUGUAGUUUAGACAGAUAUUGUACACACUAGUCUUAUAGGGCAAUUAAGUUAUUUAAAAUCCUCUAGAAUGGCGGUUAUAUCUGUCUUAAUUUAACGCUCAAAGGGCUCAUGUUGAGCAUGUUUUGUUUUAAGGGCUUAUGUUUUUUUUAUUCUAUUUCUGGAUCAAGUUUGAUGUUUCCGCUGCUGUGUUCGCAAUAAUGAGCACUAAACUUUGAAUUGCCUGAUAUGGAUGUUUAUAGUUUUUCCAAUUUUUUUUAUGUAAAGUAAGGGAAUGGGUUUAUAAGUGUAAUGUGGUUUAUGAAUUCAUUACAAUGAUUAAACAUUCAGUAAUUAUUAACCAAGUCACUUACACCAUAAUAGUCUGACAAAUAUUUCAAAUGUGUGGUAUGUUUUAUAUGGUUGUACUUGGUCAGUGGGAGUUAUAAAUAACUCAUAACUCUCAUGUAUGUAGUUUAUAGUUAUUUAAGUUGAUAAAGUUUUCAUUCCUUGAUCUAUGCAGUUAUCAAUAUGAUUUACUCAUAUAUGCGCACAUUUGAGGAUUAUACUGCACAGAACUGAUAUUAAAUAUUCAAUAAAAGCUAUACACUAAUUGCUUCAUAUGUGAAGUGCUUUCGGAUUUGAAACGGUAAAGUGGACGAAGUCCUACGCAUGUUUCCUUUGUGAAGUGGCUUCAGUUUAUAAGCACUAAAGGGGACGCCAAUCUUGUAUAGAAUCGGUUUAAGACUAUGAAGUGGACUGAAUGUUACCUUGACUUGAUUAUAUUUCUUUUGGAUCAUGUGAGUCAAAUCACAGCACUCUUUAUCACACUGGAAUUUGGGUCUAUGAAGUAUUAGUAUUUGUAAUUAUGGAGGUCCUAUAUUAAUAAAUGAUGUAAUAACAUCUAUAGAUCGAUACAAGUACUCUCACUGGAUAAUAAUUGUUUGUUUUGCAUAUUUUAAGCGUGUUUAUUUGAUUACUAUUGGUGUGAAUAAGGGUUUUUAAGGAUGAAACUUGCUCUUCAAUCUUCUAUAUUUACAAGUUUCAUUUUAUAAUCAAAACUUGCAUUUGAGUAGUUUAAUGUGCAAAUUUGGUUGCAUUUGUAGGAUUUGAAAAGCAAUGAUCAUUUUGGAUCAAGGAGGAUUCAUGCAAUUAAGUUGGACGCAAUUCAAGGAUGAUUUGGAGAAUAUUAGACCAACAAAUGUAGUUCUUUAGGCUUAAAACGCGAUCUCAAUACGUGGGCAUCUCUAUUUUUAUCUCCUUGAUGAUAUUGGAGUAGAAAAUGACAAAAAAAUACAGGGGAGGCAAUACACACCCUGAAUAUGCAACCUUGAACAUGCAUAUUCAGCAUGCGUAUUUUGAAGAUGGCCGUACAAUUUGCACUGCCAAUUGCUCAGCUUUCACAUAGCUUUUUCAACUCAUUAACAGAUCAAUUUUGGCUACAUCUUACAAAAGUAACAUUAGAAACUCAAAGAAGCAUCUUUUGGUGAGUUCAAGACACAAGUUGUACAACUUUAACAUGAUUGAUUGGAGCUUAAUUCAUCUACAAAUAGAGGUCUUGGAGAACAUUUUUCAUAACUUUGGAAGGCCAGAGACACUAUCAAAAUAUAGUUUUUACUAGUUUUUUUUAGUUCAUUAGUUUAGUAUAGAAUAAUAUAGUUUCCAUCCAUUCUUGUAUUGCUAAACUUGAAUGAGAUAGAAGAUGAAGAUGGAGAUGCUUGGAACUCAUGUGACAAGAGUGACUUCUCUCCUACCAUUUUAUUUCUUGUAUUAAUUCUUAUGUUUGGCUGCAAUACAAGUCUGAUAUUUGUUUUCAUAUUUAGCACAAUUUAUGUCUAGAGUUAUGGAAGAACUUUCUAUAUUUUAUUUGUGAUAUUGAUGAUAUUAUUUUGAACAAGUUAUUUGGCACUUUUUGCUUAUCUAAACAUGAUUAACUGACCAUUAAUUAUGAUAAUAUUAAGGUGUUAAUUUUAUAAUGAGAAAUAAAAUUUGACACUAGUUUAAGGAAGCGUUAAAUCUAGGGAAUACACUCACGAGAGUAGAAGUGCACCUUUUGUAACUAUAGUGCUUUGUUUCAUGUAAUUUCAUAAAAGAAAUAAACUUGUAGUUAAUUUUAUAACCACAAGAGUAGGCAUGGUUUAAGUACAAGUAUAGUUAAUUUACUACGAAAUUAAGUUUCACAUAUAUUAGAAAAUUACACCACAACUAGCCAAGAUAAUAACAUUCAAUUAACAAAUAAUUUAACUUGCAAGUGCAGUGAGGAAUUCCAUAGCCCUAAGAGAUUUCUAUUAUUAUUUUUAUUACUUUGUUUUCAUGUUUGUAGUGUAGAUUUAAUCUCUUGCAUUUGUGGUAGUCUAAAUAAUAAAGAAAUUCAAAAAUUAUCGGUAAUUGACAAUUUUCUCUUAUGGGAUCGAUACCUAAUAUCCUUGUACUCGAUAAACAAUCUGUAUAUUUGCAAAAAAUGGGUUAUUUAGAUUUCAUUAAAAUUUGGUGCAUAAUAGAAUCUCAUUAAAGAUAUUUUCUUACAGUGACCAACAAAGUUAUGUUUAACUCGAGAGUCACUUUCUAAAAUUAUUUUGAAAUUGACAUUUCAAUUGCUUUUAAACUCAAGUUUCAAUUAAUCAGUUGCCCAAGUGGGAGAAUUUUAGAAUUAUUUUUAAUUUGGGUUACUACUGAUUAAUUUUGUUUUGUUAAAAAUGGAUUAGAUGAAGACCAGUAAGCCCCACUAUAGUAUAAUCCACUACAGUUGGGGCCUAAGUCUGUCUCAGUCAUCUAUUUGGUGUGAUAUGCAAGAUUUAGGGUCUGUUAUUUUAGAUUAGGGUUACCUUAAUAUUGGGAGGCUCCACGAUAGUUAUAAAAAGACCAAGUCCCUCUCUCUCAUCUAAUACUAGCAUCGUAUUGCUAGUGUGGCUCGUCCCAUUGAUAGUCAUUAUACAAAACUUGGAGAUGGAGAGAGAGCCACCUAUACCAAGCACACAAACUAUAACGUGCUGAUCAAGGUUGUUAGGCAUCUCUCCUCGAUCUAUCUUCGAAGAACAAUAUGCGUUUAUAUUAUAAUUAUAUUCAAACAUCUGAUAUUGGAUCCUAAAAAUUCCUGCAAAGUGGUUUCUUUAUUGUGAGCUGCAAUGUGUGUAUGAAUUCUAAGAGUUAUUUGGUGCAAAUGUGCUGAGAAUUUGAUUUGCUUAUAUAGUUGAUGUUAGAAAAUUAGCUUAAUUUCUUUUAGACAUGUUUCUUGUUUCGUGUUGAAAAAACUAGUUUCCUAAUUUGUUUUAGUUACUUGAAAUAGAAACCACGGAAUUUCCUAUUUGUAUAAGUUUAGAAAUUAGAAAUUAUUUUCUAUUCUUUAUGAGAUUAGGAUUAGUGGUUAUUUCCUGUUAUUACAUGGGUAUUGAUCAGCUAAUGUAACUUAUAAAUAGGUGGGUUUGGCAUAAUACAGAGGAACAUACAAGAGCAACAUGUAACCUUAUACAUCGGGUGAGAGAUGAUUCUUGAAUAUGAGAGAUGGUAUAUAAGAUUUGGGUUUGGGUUUAAAUUGUAUUCUUGUAUAGGAUUUUUCUCUCAUAAUGAAGAACAUGCUUCUCUUCAUGGACGUAGGUUCAAUGAUAGGGGUGAACCAUGUUAAAUCUUGUGUGUCAUUUAUCUUUUAUACUUGUGGCUUAUUUGUCAUUAAAUUUUUGUAUUUUUGAUGUCCCAAUAGUUGUUUGUUCCGUACUUGGAUCCUAACAGACUGGUAUUUGAGCAAGAUUCAUGGUUCACGAAUAAUAAUCCUUGAAGUAUCACAAGCAGUUGCUACAAGAAAAAAGUGAUUUAAUGACUGAUAACUGUUCAUUUUGUAUGUUUUUAGUGUGUUUUAUUGCUUGAUUUUUAGUAUGUUUAUUCAUUUUAAGAACUAAAUAAUUAGAUUUUUAGAGAAUUUUUUAUUUUGUGAUUUAAGUAUGAAAAAUUGCAUUUCUAUGGAUUUAAGUAGUGAAAACUUCAUAUUUUACAGGUUUUAAGGAUUCAAUCAUCAAAUGGAGUAAUUGAGAAGAUACUUGGAUAGUUCUUGACAAUUUGAAGUUAAUUUCAAGUGACAUGAAGUCCAAAAUGAAAACGCAAUCAAGUGGCAAUAGAGAAAAGCAUUGGCAACACUGACAUGUUCUAGUAUUCUAGCUAUUGAGUUAUAAGUAUUAAAUUGAGAUGAUUUUUGAAUAUUUUAAAGGUAAGUGUGACAGCCCCACCUUCCCCUAAGGCGAACCAAAGGGGUUAGCGGACUGUCUGCCCAACUCUCGCCAGGACUAACGGUGCAGUUUAGAGCGAUCUAUUGCGUUCCGGAACUUAUAACGCACGUAAACAAGUCAAAAUGGCAAAAUAACCAAAAAUAAAAAAAAAAGAAAUCCGGAGUCGGCCAUAAAUAGUAACCGACCCGUCAGAACCCAAUCAAAUAUCAAAAUACAUACACCACAUAACAUUUAGCAUUUACAAGCCAAAAUGGCAUACAAAAGUGAUACAAAAGUUACUACAUGUAUGGUUUGCCAAAAUCAAAAGUGAAACGGCCCUAAAGGUACAUUUAGGGUUUCGAUUCAUAAGCUAUACAAAAGAGACAUUAAUUUAGCUCAUUCGGCAACCAACUAGCAAGAAUCAUUCCAAAAGUAGUCAUAUGCCUGUAAGGAAAACAAAAGGAAUGGUGUGAGCUAAUUGCCCAGUGAGAUCAUACUACCCAAGCAACCAAGUUCAUGUAAACAUAAAGCUUUUCGGUGAAUAAAAGGCACACAUCCCAUGUGGUGAUAAAAGGAUACGGAUGGCUCUCAAGAGCCAUUUUCCUCGUUUGCAUUUCUUGAUCGGACGUCAUUGACUCUCCAUCAAUGUUCAAAAGUAACCAACCGUAGACUCCACUUUACUUCCAUUCCUUCCACCUAACAUUCCCCAACCGGGCCCGAAAUCCAAACACUUGCAUUGUGGUAUUACUCGAGUAAACCGGAAUCGAGAGUCUCUCAUACUACAAGAUUCCAUAUAACAUGUCCCCAAGGCACAUUAAUUGGCACGACCAAGCCCUCACCGGGUCAAUUCAAUCAAUUACCAAUGGGGUUGAGAUCAAGGAUAACAAUUGUAGUCGUUGGAUACUCGUCCAAAUGACACCAAGUCAUGUGUUUCAUUUCAUAUAACAUUCCAAUAACUUUCCAAUAACAUGCUAAACAAUAAGUGAGAGUGAUAAAGUACACGCUCACUUUAAUCAAUUAACAUUCAACACCUCAAGUUCAAGUAUCAAAAUCAUAUAAUAACACACAAGUGAGUAGUACACUCACCAAGCUUGCAAAUGAGGUUUCAUGCACUUCCGUCACAAGAACGUCGUGAACCACCGUCAUGCCCUAAAGCAUGCAACAAGUAUAAUGAGACUCGAUAAUGAGUCAUAAACCAAUGCCAAAUAUGACCCCAAUAGGGUUCCAUAAGCAUACACAACCAUUAGAGGAAACCAGAAAAUUCAGAAAUGCAAUUCGCUUUGGCCCUGAAAAAUAUAGUUUUUGACCACCUUUUGCGGUAAUGGCACCAAUUGCACUACGAUUAUCAGAUGAAGGUGUAAGAUACACCGUUUCGAAGAUAAAAGAUAGGGCUACAACAUCACAGAAGGUCAGAUGAAGGUGUAAGAUACACCGUUUCGAAGAUAAAAGAUAGGGCUACAACAUCACAGAAGGUCACUCAACCCAGUUUUGAGUGCAACCAUGUCAAAAAUGCAAGAUACUACACCAAAACCGCAAUAACAGUUUCACAGAACGCAUUCUGGUGUAAACUUCAUAACUCAGCCUACCUAAGUCCAAAUCUAGAAUUCCAAUGCCACUCGAAAGCUUAGAAACAAGGCUACAUUUCAUCAGAAGACCUCAACAACCAAUUUCGAAGCAAUUCCAGCCAAAACAACCAAUUACAGGCGCAAUUCUUACAUUCGGACAAAACCAGGAUAGCAAGGGUAAUUUCAACUUUUCUCAUUCUACGCUACUCCGAUUGAGCUAAAAUUUUGUAGGCACCUCUAAAACAUCAUUCCCUACAACUUUUAUGUUUUAAGCCAAGGUCAAUUCGGCCUCUAACUAGUAGCUACAAAAUCGGGCAGAAUGUUCCCACUUAAAACCCUAACUUUCUACAAUUUCUUCCAAAUCAGAAAUUGGUUGCAAUUAAUCACUUUUUCCACCUCCUAGAGUCAUUAAACAUCAUUUUCAAUCAUCAUAGAUAGCAACACAAUCAUGUUCAUAUUAAAACAGAAAAAUCACUAAUAAAUAGAAAACUUCACUAAUCCAACCAAAAAUCAAGAUGUAAUCCAUAAAGUUUCAUCUCAUACCACUACUAAUCAUAAAUUAGGCAUCAUUAAAGGAAGGAAAGUGAUUCUUCACAACUCACCUUAGGAACAAGAGAGAGAGAGCAAUAGGUCCUCUUAACUUUCCAAAUAACUCCACAAAUCAACUCACUAACACUAAUUGAAGAGGUUUUAUGGAGAAAUUGCAAGUUUCAAUGGUUGGUUGGAUGGAUUUGAGUUAAAUGGAAGCAAAACUUGAAGAGUUUCUUUCUUUCUUUUUGAGAGAGAGAGCCGGCCACAAGAGAAGAGAAAAUGGAAAAAUUUUGGUUAAUUUUGUGCUUUAUUUGGUCAAAUAGAAAAGGUGAAUAGUAGUCUUAUUGUAAGAAGCAAUCCCAUGGUGACAUUUGUCACCUUUAUUAAAUGCUUACCUAACUUGUCUCUCUUAUACCAAUCCACUUAACAUCCUCUACUUGUCUCUUAACACCCGGUAAAUUAAUUCCAAUAUCCAAAACUUAAUCUAGUUGGCCGAAUUUUUUCAAACUUUUUGCACUUGUGGGUCCCACUUUCGGUAUACGCUCUUAAUUUCUCAAAACCUAUUCAAUACUAGAAAAAUCAUCUAAAAAUUAUAUCUGCUCCUUAAAAUUAUCUAGAAAUGUUCCUAAUCCCGAAAAUACAGAAAACAAGCCAUGAAAAAUAAUAAAACCUAGAAAAUGAGGAAAAGUACAGGUUCUCACACUCUCUCUCCCUUAAAAGAAUUUCGCCCUCGAAAUUUCUCACCUUAACUCACGAAAAGUUCAGGGUAUUUCUCUCGCAUUUCUUUUUCCACUUCCCAGGUAGCUUCCUCUACCCCAUGGUUUCUCCACAGUAUCUUUACUAACGGAAUCUGCUUGUUUCUUAGCUCCUUGACUUUCCGGUCAAGUAUUUGGACAGGUUUUUCUUCGUAAGCAAGCGAUUCGUCCACGUCGAUCUCCUCUGGUUGUAAGAUAUGGGAUGGGUCGGGAUAGUACUUCUUGAGGAUCGAGACGUGGAAAACGUCGAAAAUUCUCGAGAGACUUGACGACAGGUCUAAUGUAUACGCUACCGCACCUAUCCUCUGUAGGAUCUUGUAGGAUCCAACAAACCUCGGUUGGAGCUUCUUUCCUUUGCCUGCCAUGACACUCUGUAAAGGUGUGACUUUAAGAAAUACGUGGUCUCCAAUCUCGAACUCUAAAUCUUUUCUUCGAUUGUCUACGUAGCUCUUUUGUCGACUUUGAGCUGUUUGGAAUCGUUGCCGUAUCAACUUGACCUUUUCUCGAGUUUCCUCCAUCCAAGGAAUAGUUGUUGGAUCCAGUGCCUUCCUCUCGCCAAUUUCAUCCCAAUAGAUUGGUGAUCGGCAUUUUUGUCCAUAGAGUGCUUCAUAUGGAGCCAUUUGAAUCGACGAAUGGUAACUAUUGUUGUAUGCAAACUCUACUAAGGUCAUGUGUUGACCCCAGUUGCCUCCAAAAUCCAAAAUGCAAGUUCGUAACAUGUCCUCGAGAGUUUGGAUAGUUCGCUCCGAUUGUACAUCCGUCUGAGGGUGAUAGGUAGUGCUCAAGUUGAGUUUCGUUCCUAUCCGAUUGUACAAAAUGAUUAGCUAAGGCCCUUUCCCUAUCCGCCCUAUGCACAGAAGCAAAACUAUCCAAAACAAACCCUAGAAGUCAUGACCUAGAUCGACGACGAGCUAUUAGACCCACCCGACGGAGUGGAUCCAACCUCAGCCUCAGGCCCCGCAUAUGAGUCCUCGUCACUCACGCCCUCGACCACAUCCGCGCAAAGGUUCAAGAUCGCUGCGGCUCAACCCUUAACCUUUCGAGCUCUCUUGGUCUCGCGCUCUUAGAUCUCCCAAAGUUGAGUGCAGAGGUCAUCAACCCUAUCCUCUGCCUCAAGCACGUCGUACUUCAAACCCUUAAUGCGCUCGGCCUGUCUCUCAUUGGCCGCCCUAAGUUGGGUCAACUCGGCCUCAAGUCUCGUAUUCUCUCCGGCCAACUCCUUACGCUCCUCAGCCACUGCAAAUACUAGAGUGUUAGGGUAGGCAUUCUUAUGUCGACACUCGCACCGUCUAAGGCGGUUAGACGGGCUCCAACGCACGACGGCCCCUCCCGGCCGUAUCUGGUACGGUAUCACUGGGAGUGCUCGACGAGGUCUCUCGCCCGGAGGACUAUCACUAUGCUCACCCUGUCCAGCCAUCCUACACCAAAAGAGCAAUUAACCAUAAAUAAGCUUAAAGGCCAUAAACAAAGAACCCUCACAUCGAGCAUUUCUAUUACACCCAGACUAAUUCAAACCAAGGCUCUGAUACCAUCUGUGACAACCCCACCUUCCCCUAAGGCGAACCAAAGGGGUUAGCGGACUGCCUGCCCAGCUCUCGCCUAGACUAAUGGUGCAGUUUAGAGCGAUCUAUUACGUUCCGGAACUUAUAACGCGCGUAAACAAGUCAAAAUGACAAAAUAAUCCAAAAUAAAAAAAAAGAAAUCCGGAGUCAGCCAUGAAUAGUAACCGACCCGUUAGAACCCAAUCAAACAUCAAAAUACAUACACCACAUAACAUUUAGCAUUUACAAACCAAAAUGGCAUACAAAAGUGAUACAAAAAUUACUACAUGUAUGGUUUGCCAAAAUCAAAAGUGAAACGGCCCUAAAGGUACAUUUAGGGUUUCGAUUCAUAAGUUAUACAAAAGAGACAUUCAUUUAGCUCAUUCGGCAACCAACUAGCAAGAAUCAUUCCAAAAGUAGUCAUAUGCCUGUAAGGAAAAUAAAAGGAAUGGUGUGAGCUAAUUGCCCAGUGAGAUCAUACUACCCAAGCAACCAAGUUCAUGUAAACAUAAAGCUUUUCGGUGAAUAAAAGGUACACAUCCCAUGUGGUGAUAAAAGGAUACGGAUGGCUCUCAAGAGCCCUUUUCCUCGUUUGCAUUUCUUGAUCGGACGUCAUUGACUCUCCGUCAAUGUUCAAAAGUAACCAACCGUAGACUCCACUUUACUUCCAUUCCUUCCACCUAACAUUCCCCAACCGGGCCCGAAAUCCAAACACUUGCAUUGUGGUAUUACUCGAGUAAACCGGAAUCGAGAGUCUCUCAUACUACAAGAUUCCAUAUAACAUGUCCCCAAUGCACAUUAAUUGGCACGACCAAGCCCUCACAGACUCGAUUCAAUCAAUUACCAAUGGGGUUGAACUCAAGGAUAACAAUUGUAGUCGUUAGAUACUUGUCCAAAUGACACCAAGUCAUGUGUUUCAUUUCAUAUAACAUUCCAAUAACUUUCCAAUAACAUGCGAAACAAUAAGUGAGUGUGAUAAAGUACGCUCUCACUUCAAUCAAUUAACAUUCAACACCUCAAGUUCAAGUAUCAAAGUCAUAUAAUAACACACAAGUGAGUAGUACACUCACCAAGCUUGCAAAUGAGGUUUCAUGCACUUCCGUCACAAGAACGUCGUGAAUCACCGUCACGCCCUAAAACAUGCAACAAGUACAAUGAGACUCGAUAAUGAGUCAUAAACCAAUGCCAAAUAUGACCUCAAUAGGGUUCCAUAAGAAUACACAACCAUUAGAGGAAACCAGAAAAUUCGGAAAUGCAAUUCGCUUUGGCCCUGAAAAAAUAGUUUUUGACCACCUUUUACGGUAAUGGCACCAAUUGCACUACAAUUAUCGGAUGAAGGUGUAAGAUACACCGUUUCGAAGAUAAAAGACAGGGCUACAACAUCAUAGAAGGUUACUCAACCCAGUUUUGAGUACAACCAUGUCAAAAAUGCAAGAUACUACACCAAAACCGCAAUAACAGUUUCACAGAACGCAUUCUGGUGUAAACUUCAUAACUCAGCCUACCUAAGUCCAAAUCCAGAAAUUCCAAAGCCACUCGAAAGCUUAGAAACAAGGCUACAUUUCAUCAGAAGACCUCAACAAUCAAUUCCAAAGCAAUUCCAGCCAAAACAACCAAUUACAGGCGCAAUUCUUACAUUCGGACAAAACCAGGACAGCAAGGGUAAUUUCGACUUUUCUCAUUCUACGCUACUCCGAUUGAGCUAAAAUUUUGUAGGCCCUCUAAAAUAUCAUUCCCUACAACUUUCAUGUUUUAAGACAAGGCCAAUUCGGCCUCUAACUAGUAGCUACAAAAUCGGGCAGAAUGUUCCCACUUAAAACCCUAACUUUCUACAAUUUCUUCCAAACCAGAAAUUGGUUGCAAUUAAUCACUUUUUCCACCUCCUAGAGUCAUUAAUCAUCAUUUCCAAUCAUCAUAGAUAGCCACACAAUCAUGUUCAUAUUAAAACAGAAAAAUCACCAAUAAAUAGAAAAUUUCACUAAUCCAACCAAAAAUCAAGAUGUAAUCCAUAAAGUUUCAUCUCAUACCACUACUAAUCAUAAAUUAGGCAUCAUUAGAGGAAGGAAAGUGAUUCUUCACUACUCACCUUAGGAACAAGAGAGAGAGAGCAAUAGGUCCUCUUAACUUUCCAAAUAACUCCACAAAUCAACUCACUAACACUAAUUGAAGAGGUUUUAUGGAGAAAUUGCAAAUUUCAAUGGUUGGUUGGAUGGAUUUGAGCUAAAUGGAAGCAAAACUUGAAGAGUUUCUUUCUUUCUUUUUGAGAGAGAGAGCCGGCCACAAGAGAAGAGAAAAUGGAGAAAUUUUGGUUAAUUUUGUGCUUUAUUUGGUCAAAUAGAAAAGGUGAAUAGUAGUCUUAUUGUAAGAAGCAAUCCCAUGGUGACAUUUGUCACCUUUAUUAAAUGCUUACCUAACUUGUCUCUCUUAUACCAAUCCACUUAACAUCCUCUACUUAUCUCUUAACACCCGAUAAAUUAAUUCUAGUAUCCAAAACUUAACCUAGUUGGCCGAAUUUUUUCGAACUUUUCGCACUUGUGGGUCCCACUUUCGGUAUACGCUCUUAAUUUCUCAAAACCUAUUCAAUACUAGAAAAAUCAUGUAAAAAUUAUAUCUGCUCCUUAAAAUUAUCUAGAAAUGUUCCUAAUCCCGAAAAUACAGAAAACAAGCCAUGAAAAAUAAUAAAACCUAGAAAAUGAGGAAAAGUACAGGUUCUCACAGUAAGACCAAGAGCUACAUUUCUUAUUAGAUACGAUAUCUAAUUUACAUGUUUUUGAGGGUCAAAAAGUAAAAAUGCAGUCAUGCAUUCAUGUUGCUACACUCUGGAAAAGGCUGCUGACCAAUUAGGGAUAUUUUGGUUAUUUCUUAGCUUCUAGAGCUCCAAAUGACAUGGUUCUUGAUGUAUUGAAAAUUAAUCUCAAAGGGUUACAAAUUCCACAUUUAUGCAAGAGUUAGUUUGGCCUCUACCAUUGAGAAAUUUGCAGCUCAAAAUUGAUGCAAAAUAGAUCAAUUUUGACGAUUCUUCAAAAAGUGCAAAACUUGCCACACUGUGGAUCCACGGCAUGUUCCACGGAUCUUGCCCCAUGGAUCCAUAUUUCGGCUACGUACGUUGCUCAGCUUUUUUACAGCCUUUUGACCACUUUUUGUGAAAUAAUUUUAGUUGUCUCUGUAGAAGGAAGCAUGGAGAUUUCAAGACGCAAUUUUUUGGAAUGUCAAGGAGCAUUUUUUUUUAUCAACUUUAACAAGUUCUUGAUGCUUUCUUCAUCUAUAAAUAGUGACUUCAUGAUAUAUUUUUUCAACUUUGGAAGGCUAGAAAUCACACCAAAAUAUAGUCUUUUUUUAAAAUUAAUAUUUUUAUUGAUGAAUCAAAACCAAACCAGAAUUACAACGUAUCCCCAACACACCCUGCCGGCUCCUCUUCCCCUCUCAUCCUCCUAACAGAUAACAUGCCUAACUUAUCUAGUCGGACCUCCACCUUUGCUAUUUUUGGGAACAUGCUUAUGUUAUCAUAGAUAACACACCCCUAAUGCGGGUGAGAGACACCCACAUUAGCUAGAAUAUCCGCCACUCGAUUGGCUUCUUUGAAGCAGUGGGAAACUCUUGCCACGUCCUCUACCAGGUCCCAGAUUUGCUCUACCUCAUUUCGGAUCUGCCACGGGCACUGAAAGCAUCGUUGAAGAAUUCCCACCAACACCUGAGAUCCGAUUGAAUCUCCACAUUGACAAACCCUUUCUCCAUACACAUCCGAAGGCCAGUUAAAAGUGCAAGGGCUUCCUCGUGUAAACUCGAUCGUCUUCCAAAGAAUGUUGAGAAAGCCAACAUAAGCCGUCCUAAAGAGUCCCGUAAGAUUCCACCGCCGCCACUCCAUCCUAGAUUACCCUUGGAACAUCCGUUCGUAUUCAGCGUCAAAUAACCUGCCUCCUUUGCCUUCCACCGCACGAGCUGAAAUCUAAUCUUGCCGCCUUGACAUCCCAACCAUUCAUAAAGUUGACGGAAUGAGGUCAUACCAAGCCUCAUAUUAAGAUGAAUCUCCAACCUGAAAUUUAUGUCUGCAAUAAUGGCUUGACAAAUAGUAGUCGGGUGCAUUCGGGUCCCGUCAAACAUCGAUUCGUUCCUUGCCCUCCAAAUGUGCCAGCAAAUGAAACUAGGCAUCAUCGUGAAGAUGAGGCGCCUUUUUGCUGAUCUCGAAGGUGCCAUCCACCACGCCACUACCCUAGCCCUCAAAGAAGACCCCUAAUGCGUGAGACCGUACAAGCUAGUAAAAUUAUUCCAUACAUCUUUAGCAACCUGCCCCUCUAAAAAUGCAUGUUCCACUGUCUCACUUGCUCCAUCAAGACAGCACAAACACUUUGAAGGCAUCAUCUGAAACCCCAUCCUACACAAAACAUCAGGGAAUGGCAACUUACCCAACACCAAACGCAGCAUGAAGAGGGAUACUUUCAAUGGGAUGCGAGGGUGCCAAAAUUGAGAGUGAACGAACGAAGAGCUGCGAGCUUGUUGAAUCUCCUCGAAAGCCGAUGCUAAUGAGAACUCGCCAGAUGAAGUCAACCUCCAUAUUGGCUCAUCAGCCUGCCCACCUCACGGAAUCGGGAGCAGUAAGACAGAAGGAAUUAAGUCAAGAGAGAGGGCCAGUGAGAGUAAAUUUGUGCUCCACUUCCCAUUCUCAAUGAAGUCUUUGAAAGAGAGAGUUGGGCUCACCGUAGCCUUAAGGAACAACGCGCCACUCCCCAACCAAUUAUCAUACCAAAAAUGACAUAAACCCCCAGAAUCCGCCAGACUAUAGAGAGCUCCGCUUGCCUACUAAUGUUUAACAUUCUCCGCCAUGUUCCUGAGGCGUGUCAACUCAGUUCAAUCUGACAUGGGCGAAGGUCUUGAUAAUAUUUAGCCCACAUAAAACUCGUCCAGAGUGAUGCCCCAAUCCUAAACUGCCACCACAAUUUACACGAAAAGGCCACACAACUAUCACUCAACCGUCUAAGUUCCACUCCUCCCUCUUCAACUGGAUAGCAUAAUUGGGACCAUCCAAUUCAGUGAUACUUCGUGCCUUCCUCCAAGAUACCCCAUAGGAAGUUUGCACACACCUUUUCCACCAGUUUGAACAGCGAGGCAGGUAACAUCGCAACUGAUAACAAGUCCACUGGAAUAGACAGCAGCACAUGCCUAAUCAGCUUUCCCUCAAGGGAAAGAAGUUUUGAUUUUCAGGACAGGAUUCUGUUUAAAAUCGCCUAAACUACUUCCCCAAAAUACGAUGAGUUACACCGUCCGAUAUAUAAGGGAAAUCCAAGAUGUAGACACCAAAUUUUUGGUGUUUUAUUAUUUAUUUAUUUGCUAUUCACAAUUAGUUUUAUUUAUUUUUAGUUUUAGUUAUUUUAGCCAUUUUAGCGUAGAAUUUCUCAAAGGAAAAAAAGCAUUCAAAAAAAUAUGAUUUAGUCAUUUGUAAUUUAAAUUCAAUGCUUUCUUGAAAGUAAAAAAAAAGGGAAAAAAAGUGAAAAAUGAUGAAUAAUGAAAAAUGAUGAAAAAGAAAAGAAAAAACCGCAAUUUUGUUAUUUCUAGUUGGUUUAUUUUUGUCCGAUGUUAUUUAAAAUUGUUGUUUUACUUAAUUUUAUUUCUUACUUUUUUUUAAAAAAAAAAAAAGGGAAAAUUGAGUCACAAUUUAGGUCUCCCCGUACCCGUCUUGCUUGCAUUCCCUAGGCUCAUGCAUUCUAAAUUCACUCUAUCAUUCUACACCCUUACUACACUUUCAUUUUCUCCUCCUAUUUUCACACAUGCACCUUUAUAUCCCUUCACUUGCACACAAACACUUGGAUUUUUUCAUACAAUUUCAAACAUGCACCUUUUCAUACACUUGCACACAAACACUUGGAUUUUUUAUACAAUUUCACACGUGCACCUUUUUAUACACUUGCACACUUGCACUUUAGCCAUCAUUUGCAUUAAUCGACCUCUAUAAGAUUUUUUUUUAUUGGCCGCCACAACUCAUGUGGUUGGGACAAAAAACCUUACAAGAGACAUUUUAGAAUCUAGGUUUGCAUUUUUUCUUUCUUUUCGCAUUCAUCUAGUCAAAUCCAAAACAUGCAAUACAUAUUUUUGGUAGAAAAAUUGGAAAGGUGGGGCUAAAUCACGCAACUAGCCUUGGCUAGGUCGGAGGGGUGCCUUGAAUUUUUAUCCUUGCCUUCCCCUCCGUCAAAUGUGACUCCCGAACCUUUUUCGUUGGUUUACGUGGACUAGGAGUCGUUUUAAAAAGGGUUUUUUACUACUUAUCUUUAAAAAACACUUUUUGGGUGACUUGGUACACCCUAAAUCUAUACCAAGUGGCGACUCCGUUUUUAUAUUUAAAAACCCUUUUUAAAUUUCAUUUGGCCAAAUCGUCGCUUUCCAAAGUCCCAUGGCCUUUUAUUUUCCUUUUCACACGUUCACAUAUUCUACACUAUUCACACACCACCACACACACGCACACAUCAAAAAGUGGGGCGCGACACAAGAUAUCGAAAAGGGAAGACCUAUCGUCUAAAUUGCGUGACCCUCUCAAUCAUCUUUCUGCGGACAGGAAGUAGUGACGGAUGAACUAAAUAACCGCUCUUUUGAGCAUUCACCAGUUGCCCCGAGAACUGCUGAUAUACGCCCAAUACUCGCAUAACGCCUGUUAACGCCACAUUAGACCCAUUUGCAAAUAUUAUUACAUCGUCUGCAAAAGCGAGAUGCGUGACAGUGGGACAACUCCUUGGGAUCCGAAAUCCCACAAAAUUCACUUGUCAAGCUAAACUAUUUAAAUCCCGUGAUAACAUCUCUGCUCCAGUAACAAACAGGACAGGGGAUAAGGGGUCUCCUUGUUUGAGACCCCUGCUAGACUUGAAAAACCCAUGUGAUGCCCCAUUGAUGAUCACUGAGAACCAGACAUUCGCCAAUAGUCACCAUACCAUGUCAAUAAACCUUUCCCCAAAGCGAAAUUUUCUCAGGACCAUAAUAAUAUGUACCCAAGGCAUCCGAUCAUAUGCUUUCGUCAUGUCCAAUUUUAACACUACAUUGCCUUGUCUUCUUAUCCAUGCCCGUGAGCAGUUCCUGGGCUAGCAAAUAAUUUUCAGUAAUGCUCCACCCUUUUAUAAAACCCGUUUGUUAGGUAGAGAUGAUUUUCGGUAGAAUCUGUGAGACCCGAAUUUUUAUUUUACUUAUUUUUAUUUUAUAUUAUUGGUUUAUUUAAUUAUUUAUUUAUCCAUUUAUUUUGAAUAAUUUAUUUUAUCCAUUUUAAAUUCAUUUGCACGGAAAAAUGUUUCAUUUAUAUUUUUAAAACGUUUCGUUAACGAAUUUAAUUUUUCUGCGGCUCAUUUAGUGAGAAAUAGCGAGUGCACAUUUUUGAGGUAAAUUCGGUCCGAGAGUGAAAUAAUCUUGAAGAAUUAAGGAUGAUUAAUAGUAGACUAAGAAAAAUUAACGGAGGAAUUAGAGGUGAGUGAGUUAAAUUAAACUCAAUUAGGAGCAUCGAUUGUUGACUUUCGGGCACCAAGAACACCUUUAUGUCAUUCUUCUUGUCACACCAUCAAGUCACCCAACUACCACCCAAAACCCUUCUUUCUCCUUUCCCUCUUGGCCGACUCCCCCUUCCUCAUUUCCUACCAAAAAUUUCAGCUCUCUUGUCUUCCAUUUUUCUCCAAGAAAACUUUCCAAAUUUGCUUCUUUCCUUGGUUCUUCAUACAAGUUUGGAAGGUGACUUGAACAAGGUAGAAACUUUGGUGAUUCAAGAGCUUAUACUAGUGGUUGUUCUUCAUUCUUGGAAGCAAAGGUAAUCCUCCAAGUUUUCAUCUUUUCCCUCUCAACUAUUAGUAGUAGUUAGUUAUGGUUAGUUAGUUGUUGGGUUGUUGAUAGGUUCAUAAAAACCUUGACAUUAGGUAGAGAAUUUAAGGUGACUUUAUAAGUAGAGGCCUUGAGCAUUUUGUAUGUUUACUUGCUUGUUUGAUGUUUAUUUUGAGAAGAUAUGGCUUAGUUUUAGUUGAAAAGUUGGAAAAGAAAACUAAAAGAUGAAGGAUGCUUGCUGUCCGAAAUUUGGCUUGAUGAAACCCUCAUGUUAAUUUUGAAUUUUAUUGUUGUUUUGGUGCUAUAAUGUUUGUUAUAUGACGGUGUUUAUGUGUGUUAAAUAUAUCCCAAAAAGCUUUACAAUUGGUUGACUUAAAGUAGGGUUUAAGUGAGGAAGAAAUCUGAAAAAUUUUCUGACCAGGAGUACCGACUAGUGUUCCCGUAUUGGGUCAUAACUUUUUGUCUGGUAGUUGAAAUCGUGUGCCAUUUGUGGUAUCCGAAACUAGACUCCGAGAGCUUUCCGUCGGUAUAAAGUGCACCUCCUAAUUCGUUUCCUAUGAGCCGUAGUGAACCAGCAAAAUGACUUAAUUUUCUCACUGUUCUCAUCUGAGAAACCAGCCUACCUGCAGUUUGCAGCUCAAUUUUGCCUAUCUUGCAAAUCGAAUUUUAAGACAGUUCCUUCUAGUGAAUUGUAACCUUUUGAAUCUAGUUUUCAACACCAUAAAUCACGCUAAAUUUGAGUUGUGUGGCUUUAGUUAUGGCCAGAUUUUAAAACUCUGUCAAGCCUUCAAAACUGGAAAUUCGUGCAACAGGUUCCAAAAUUCAGUUUUCUUAAAACCAUUGUAUCUUGAUGUAAAAAGGUCCGAAUUGAGUUCCAUUUCUUGUAUUUGAAACUAGAUUUGGAAUUCUAUUAGUGGUAUAAAAUUCAAGGGUUGAUUUCAUUUCUACAAAUUUUACCGAAUUUCCAAUCUUUACUGAAAUUACAAGCUUGUUUUGCUCUGUCCUGUCUAGUAUAGUGACUUUGAACUAAAAUUUGAAUGAUUCCGGAUUGGAGUCUGAGACAAGUGUCUUCUAGAGAGUUUUAGUGUUUUGAGUCCAGUUUCCAAUGGUAUAAAGUUUCCAAUUUUUGGACUUUCGAAACUCGAGAUACGAUUUUUUCAAGUAGUAUCGCACCAAACUGAAAAUUUUCUCGUUUCAACCAAAGUACUCUUUUCAGCACUUUUAACCUUCCUUUGAGAAUGUUGGUCUGUUUUAGGACUAAUUUCAUGGUUGGGCACAAAGUUCCUUUAGAACUUUAAAUCUUCAUUUUGAAUCUUGGUUUCAAAGGAUUAAACCUCUCUUAAUGCGUUUUCUUAGUUGUUCAACUUCCUUAGUUAAUGGCACCUCUUUUCAUACUUGAAAAAUGAACUUCAACCCCUAGUUUUAUACUCUCAAUUUUCAUGAGUUUGAACUUUAAAAAGGGAGCAUUUUGACUAGAGUAAUUCUUGAAAAAUUUCACUAGUUUAUACUUGAAUCUUGGAACCUUUAGUUUUGACAUUUUCUAUGAAAUGAGUGGAGUUUUAGAUAAGUUUUGACUCCAUUAGUUUAGAAAAUAUGAACCCCUUUUACAUUCUAAAGUUUGGAUAUGAGAUGAGAAGUUUUGAAAGAUGAACACUAUUUACCUUUUUCUCAAUUUUCGUGCCGAAAAUGGAAAUGAUACUUUCUUUUGGAAUUGAGAUUACGUACCAUGACUUAAAUAAAAAAUGACCUUGAGCUCUCUUUGAGCAUUAUUUCAACGAUUUAGCAAGAAAAACUUCUUUUAAUUUGACUCGAACUUGUGACCUUGAGAGUGGGUAGUGAAAGAAUAUCUUUUUUAUUAACCUUGGUUGAGCACCUAGGCAAUCGUGAAUGUGUAUGUCUCAGAUGGUCACGAGGACGCUGCAGAGCUCGUUUGACUUUUCACUUUGCUCUUGUUUGCCUUGACUUUCGAUGAGUAUCAAGUGCAUGUUCAAUGCUAAUAUGAUUGAAUUGAUAUUUGUAUAAGUGCUAUAUGAUAUAUGAAUUUAUCGAUGCGAGAGUGUACUUUAUCGCCCUCGUCCUCUCUUUCUUGUAUUUGAAUGAUACUUGUUAAAUGAAUAUAUAUGAUUUGCACUUGUACUUGAAAUGUUUUAACUCGUGAGCACUGAGUGGCUAGAUGUAUCACGCCCUAUUUGGGUGACAGGUACCGCUCAUCCCGACUCAGUGCUAUGAACGAUUUUAAGUCGAUUGGAGCGUUGAAUUAUCGACCAAUCAUGUUUGUAGGGAUGCCCCAAUCCAUUGGCUAACCUUGUGACUCGAACCGGUAAGGGGUUGGUCGAGAAGCUUGGUGAACCUUGGGAAAUGAUAAAGGUUGAUCUUCUGAAAUCUCGCUAGGCAUACUCAAAUAGUAUCACCAUUACAUGAAUGUUUGGUUACAGAUUCGAGUGGGUGUUGUUGGAUGCAGGUAGUAAGUGGAGCACUACGGUCAUGGUACUACAUGAGUUGACGGAGAGUCAACCCUAAAUUGCUUGAAUUCGGUCGAGACGUGGCAAGAGCUUCGGUAUCCUUUCUUGUGUGUUAUUUUCUACUUGUGCACUUAAAUGAAAUGUCAUGUUUAAAAGUUGUUUAAAGCAUGUUAUUUGAUUGAUUUGUGUUACUUGCUUGCCUGUUUAUUUUUCUUGGCCUCACUGAGCAUUUGCUCAUCCCUUUAAGUUUGUUUUCCUUAACAGGCUUUGGAGGUGGAUUGGAGGUUCUAGACUAGUGACUUGGUGGAUACUAGUAUACCUUUUGUAUGAACUUUUUGUGACGCUAAAGUAUAAUUUUGUUAUUGUUGGUUGGUGGAUUGUCAUCAUAACUUUUAGCUUAGAACUUGUGGCUUGUAUAUUCGAAGUAUUUUUUAAUUAAGUCGAUGGUUGUUUUGUGGCUCUAUAUUAAGCUUGAACGAGUGCGUAAGUCCUGACGAGAGUUGGGUAGACGUCCCGCUGAUACCCUAGGGUUCGCCCUAGGAAGAGGUGGGGAUGUCACAGUUGGUAUCAGAGCGCUAGAUUUGAAAUACCUGGAAUAGGGUUAGGAGUUCUUAGUCGUGAACUUUUGGUCAUAGAAAACCGUGGUAGACCUUAGGUUAAAUUCUUAAAUGGUAUCAGUGAAUAUAAGGACCUAACCUUUAGUUGUGAAUUAUUUAUAGGAUAUGGACAGCAGCAAUGAUAAUAAUAGAGUUGAGGGACCUCUCUCCGUGAUCCCGUAUCGUCUGGUUGGAGGUGGACCCCUUCUGCGAUAUUCACAUGCUAGGAGGGGUAGAUCGUACCCAUACCGAGCGAGAUACUCUUACCCUAACCGUUUGGUGUUAAAAGCAGCUGAGUAGUGGAGGCAGUUGGUUCGUGACCUCCGGAUAGCACUAGCGAAGAGAGAGGAGAUGGAGGCCACUGUAGAGGCCUAAACUAUCCGAAUCUAGGAAUUAGAGGCUAGAGUACAAGAGGAGGGUCAGAGAACUGACACCUCCCAUGCUCAGUAUCAGGAGACCGCAGGGCACCUUUUCCGGAUCUUCUAGGAGGCGGGAAAUCGCGUGGAUGGUAUCAUUGCUAAGUGUGGAUGUGACACCCCGAAUAUUAGGAGGUUGUUUGUAAAGAAGAUACUAAAGUGUAUUUCUUUGGAUUUGAUUUAAAACCUUAUUUUGUUUUAAAAGACUAGAAACCCUAAUUUUAAUCACUGAAAUUGUAAAACCCUCACGUUUUUCUUAAAAAUUUCCUUUUAUUUGAAAAUUCAUAAUUUAUUAAAGCCCUACGACCCAAUCGUUCCACAAUAAGUGCAAAUAAACCUAGAAAGUAGGGUUUCACUUUUGGUUUCAAGAUUGGAGCAAAAUUAGGGUUUUCGCGAUUUUUCGCCGGAUGAAUUUUCGGUACUGAGCAAGGAUCAAAUUUGGUGAUUAAAAGUGACUUUUAAGUGAGAAAUAAUAUGUGAUUAGGGGCAAUGAUAUAAGAUUAGUGAAUAGGAAGUAAAAAUCCUAGUACGUGUGUUUUUAAGAAAAACGGUGUGAACCGACGGGUACCGUGCACUACCGAUUGAACGCACCACUUGACCACCACUUUCUUACCAUACAAGCUUAUUGAUAUUUGAGCAAAAUAUCUUCUUAAUUGUCAGCUGCCUUUGACCGAAAAUUGAGAAUAAAAUAACAAGGAAAAGGAAAGAGAAAAAUGAAAGGUGGUGGUGGCGACAAGUGUUGUCGCCACCCUAGAGUUUCUUGACCAAGAGUUGGUUUUUCUUUUUAUCUCCAAAUUUUGCACUUUUCUCUUCAUUUUUUCUGCUGAUGGUCGACCAAAAGAGAGAGAGAAAGGGAGAGCAAAAGAAAACUUCUUUCUUCUUGAAUCUUAGCCAAAUCAAGUGAGAACAUCGAUUUCCAAACCGAUUAAAGUGUUAAUUGUGAGUUGGGAAGCUAGAGGAACUAGAAAUUUUCAAAGGAGGUGGAUUAUCACUCAUCCAAGCUUGUCUUUGAGGUAUUAAAUCUGAUCAUGGUCCUUGAUCUUUUAAAUCUUGCGUUAAGAUGUUAUUUAGCUUAAGUUUUGGCUUGAUUUCAAGAUGUGCAAGUGAUUGUGAUGAUUAUUGGAUGAAAUAAACAAGAUAGGGUUUUGGGGACUUGCUGCCAAACUUGAUGUAUGAUACAUAUAGGUUGUAUUUAAGGUUAUAUAAGGGGUUUUGGUAGUGUUGGAAGUAAGUAAUCAAGGAAGGUUGCAUUGAAUUCAAAAAAUUCCAGAUUUCUGGAAUUUCAGGAUUACAUUCUGUCUGAUUUUAAUACUCAUAGUUAGAGACAAAAUUAGGUUUAGUCUAAAACAUGAAAGUUGUAGAGAAUGGUAUUUUAUAGGUACUUACAAAAUUUCAGCUCAAUCGGAGUAACGUAGCCCAUGAAAAGACCAACAUACCCUCACUGUUUUAAGGUUUUUCCCAGUAGUCCGUUUGGUUAGUUUAUCCAGUUUAUGACGUUUAUUCACCAGGAUCCGUACUGAUUUAACUUUUUGCCAAAACAUGAAAGUUUUAGCAUUCUAACUUAGCUUUUAAACACCUCCAAGAACACCUUAAUCGGACCUUGGUAACCUGAGAUAUGACCAUUCCAGUGCAGAGCGGUUAAAUAGCCGACUAGUUAGAUUGUGGUUCUGUAAAUUGAGGAUUUUACUAGGUUGCAUUGGAAAAUGGACUAAGUGAUCUUCAUGAACAUUGUAGCCCUGUGUCUUAACUUCGAAACGGGAUAAGUUGCGCCUCAAUCCGAUAAGCGUAGCCUCGGAUGUAUUAUUUCCGCAACCACACGUCAAAUCUGUCUUUUGCUAGGUUACAUUUCCGCACUUGUUAUCACUUUGAUUUUGUUCGUAUGAUUGUUAUGAACCUAUGGAACGGCUAUAUACUUGAAUCUAUGAUAUGUAUGACUUUGGGAUUGGCUGCUGGAAAAUUAGGUAAAGACAAAGGGCAUGCUGCCCAAAUUUACGCUCGAGAACUAUAAAAAUACACUUGCGACUUGGGUCGAGUUGAUAUGAAUAGUACUUGAAUCAUCUAGGGUACUUGAGUCUUCUUGUUUCGAGGUAUAUAAGUAAGGAUUUGGGCGAACUUGUACCCUUGAAAAAUGUAAUCAUGAUUGCUCGAAGUAUGUUUUCCUUGUACUUCCAACUCGCAUGACAAUUUCAAGUAUAAAUAUUACAAAGUUUUACUGUUUAAAAAGGCAAGCAAGUGUUUCACGACUACUCUCUAAGUGAAUUCCAAUUUCUUGAUUUUUAUUGAAUGAAACGUCUAAGUUUCGAAUCUUAGUCAUGUUUCAAAGUUCUCAAACUGAGUUUUAUCGCAGAUUUGGACUCCGAACCCGGAGUAUAACCUGAAAGUGACCAGUAAGGCACUAUAUCUUGUGGUGAGUGCUUUCAAAUACCGAAUUGCACUAGAUACGUGACCGAUAUGAGUACAUGUUAUAUACGUGAAUUGAUUGGGUAAGAGUGUACUUUAUCGCACUUGCCCUUACGUGAUAUACUUGUUUAUUGAUUGCAAUUGACUUGAUAUACUUGUUUAUGAUGUGCGCACUUCCUGGAAUUCCAGAAACCCUGUGGCGAGUUACUCUAGUCGAGCCGGCAAGCGCUUGGUCGAUUGGGUAACGAACCCUGGGUCUCUUGUUUUGUCGAGUGGAGUGAUAUCUCCUCGACUAAUCGGUAUACUCGAGUAUUACCACCCGUGUUUAUUGAGAAUUUUGGGCCCAGCAGGGGGUGUGAAUGGUGGACGGAGAGUAGUGUAAGUGGUGCACUACUGGAUUGGUUCAUUUACUUGAAAGUUGAUGGAGUGUCAACUAUUACGUGAUCAAGCUCCUGAUGAUGAAAUGGGAAGUUGGCUCCUGAGAGCCAUCCGUAUCCUUAUGCUUUGGAAUGAUUAUUGUUUAUUGGAUUAUUGUUUCUUCUGAAAACUUUUACACUCGCUCAUUUUGAGAUUGCUACUUGAAGUGUUAUUGCUCACUUUUAUGAACUCUUCAUGCUCGUUACUUUGCUAUAUCGAAAACUUGUACUUAUAAAUAAUGGUCAAUUUUCUAUUUGGAACCUCACUGGGCUUUUAGCUCAUACCACGCUAUUUAUUUUCCUUACAGGGGGUACGAGCGAGGCGUGAGAGGUGAAAAGACUAGCGUAGUCUAGUUGUUUUUGACUUUUGACUUUUGACUUGUACUCGCGCUAUUUCUCGAAUAAAAUGUUUUAUAUAUUGAGGCUUUGUACCUUGAUUUUCAUCAAUGUAAAUUCUAAACUUGAAUUGCGAUGUUAUUUAUGGUCCAUGAAUGAAUGAACGUGAUACGAGCGAGUGAGUCCUGGCGAGAGUUGGGCAGGCGACCCGCCGAACCCUCUGGUUCGCCUUAGGGUGAGGUGGGGCCGUCACAGAUGGUAUCAGAGCUCCUAUUGAGCUCGUGCCGGGAGAGGAUUCUCGGACUGUGGGGAUUGACUUGUUAAGUGUGGAACAAUUGUCUAUUGUUGUGGACCUUAGAUAUGUAUGUUUGGUAGGAAUCUCUAAUAUGGGUGAUUUGCUCUUGAGCCUGGCCAGCUUGAGUGGUGAAUUAUCAUAUUUUAGGAUUCUUGUCCCCGAAUACCAAAGAGUGACACCUUUACGAUAAGUUGAGAUCUCGCGUAAUAUUGGGAUAAGUUUGGAUUGUGAAAGCAAAGGCAAGGGGAAUGCGAAUUGCCUGGACUUGUAAUAUAUUGAAGAUAUUCAUGGGAUUCAGGAUCCUUCUUAUUCACGUGUUUCGAGCCUUGAUUAAGUGUAGUGCCUGAACGAUACCUAGGGUUAAUGCUUUAUAAGUUAUGUGACUUGUUUUGAUUGAAUGUGUUGUAUUGCCUUGUUUUAUGAUUUAGAGGGGUUUAUGAUUUGCAUUAUUCUGUUUUGUGCUGUUUAUAUUUAUAUAGUUAUUUAGUGGCUAUAUUCUAUCAUUGAUUAGUUGAUUAUAUUGUUAUAGUUGAUUCGCUACGAACCAUGGAGGGUAGAAGAAGUCAAGCUAGGGGAACUAACCGAGGACGCGGUCCUAAUCGUAGCCGUGGGGGUAGACAAGCCCAGGAACCGGUACGAGAACCGAGAGAGAGGAAAGAGAGGCAACGGUUGAACCACAACCUGAACCCCAAGCUGCAGGGGGAGAUCAAGUGGCAACUGCCAUUCAGCAGAUGACUAACAUUCUGGCUCGGUUAGUGGAACAACAGGGUCAAGCCCCUGUACAUCAACCUAGGGACCCUAAUAAUGGGCAAGAUAGGGCCUUAGAGAGAUUCCAUAAGUUCUCUCCACCCAAAUUCCUAGGAAGGCCAGACCCGGAUGGGGCCGAGAAAUUGCUGGAGGCCAUGAUAAAUAUUUUUGCUGCCUUAAACUAUACGGAGGAGCGGCAAGUUCAAUUCGCUGUUUUCCAGUUCGAAAGGCCAGCUAGGGAUUGGUGGAACGUAGUGAGGGCCAAUUGGGAGAGAGAGGCGACUGCAUGGACCUGGUUAAAUUUCGUACGGGAAUUUAACGAAAAAUACCUUCCACCCAUCGUCCAGGAGAAGCGAGAGGACGAUUUCAUUAAAUUCCGCCAGGGAAUGUUGAGUGUAACUGAGUAUGAGACUCAGUUUACAAAGUUGUCUAAAUUUGCCCCUGAACUGAUAGCUACGGAGCAAAGAAAAGUACGGAGGUUUGUGCAAGGGCAAAAUGUGGAUUUACAAGAAGCCUUAGCUGCAGCUCAAAUUAACACGUUUACGGAAGUUUUGGAGAAGGCCCAACGAAUAGAAAUUGCUAGGGCACAAGUGAGGGCUUUUCAUGCAAAAAGGAGAGGUGCGCCUGGUGGAAGUCAUAGGCAAGGACAAGGUGAAGUAGAUAUGCCACCCUUUAAAAUAGGACGAGGAGAUGGUGGUGAGAAAACUUCAGGGUUGUGUAAGGAAAGUACUCCAAGGGGAGUUUCGCGUGGUUGGGGCCAAGCAAGAGGUGUCUAACAAGGAGGUCAGACCUCAGCCCCUCAAGUAUCUUGUGGGUACUGUGGGAAGGCCAAUCAUGUGGAGAAUGAUUGUUGGCGAAAGGCAGGAAAAUGUUUAUGGUGUGGUAGUACCGAGCACCAACUUGCAACCUGUCCCCGUAGAUCACACCUAAACCCUGAACAAGCGAAUGUAAGAGGGAACCACUCAAGAGUGCCAGCUAGAGUGUACGCCUUGGAACAAUAGACAUUACCUGAACCAUCGGAGAUAGUAGAAGGUACGAUGCGUGAUUUCUAUUGUUUAACUAAGUUUUGGCUAUAGUGAGACCUGAGAGCUAGAAACGGAUAUACAAGGAAAUACCCUAUGUUAUUUCGAAGUGCAUGUAUGAAUUUCAAAAACGAAAUUCUUUUAAGGAGGGGAGAUUGUGACACCCCGAAUAUUAGGAGGUUGUUUGUAAAGAAGAUACUAAAGUGUAUUUCUUUGAAUUUGAUUUAAAACCUUAUUUUGUUUUAAAAGACUAGAAACCCUAAUUUUAAUCACUGAAAUUGUAAAACCCUCACGUUUUUCUUAAAAAUUUCCUUUUAUUUGGAAAUUCAUUAUUUAUUAAAGUCCUACUACCCAAUCGUUCUACAAUAAGUGCAAAUAAAUCUAGAAAGUAGGGUUUCACUUUUGGUUUCAAGAUUGGAGCAAAAUUAGGGUUUUCGCGAUUUUUCGCCGGAUGAAUUUUCGGUACUGAGCAAGGAUCAAAUUUGGUGAUUAAAAGUGAAUUUUAAGUGAGAAAUAAUAUGUGAUUAGGGGCAAUGAUAUAGGAUUAGUGAAUAGGAAGUAAAAAUCCUAGUACGUGUAUUUUUAAGAAAAACGGUGCGAACCGACGGGUACCGUGCACUACCGAUUGAACGCACCACUUGACCACCACUUUCUUACCAUACAAGCUUAUUGAUAUUUGAGCAAAAUAUCUUCUUAAUUGUCAGCUGCCUUUGACCGAAAAUGGAGGCUAAAAUAACAAGGAAAAGGAAAGAGAAAAAUGAAAGGUGGUGGUGGCGACAAGUGUCGCCACCCUAGAGUUUCUUGACCAAGAGUUGGUUUUUCUUUUUAUCUCCAAAUUUUGCACUUUUCUCUUCAUUUUUUCUGCUGCUGGUAGACCAAUAGAGAGAGAGAAAGGGAGAGCAAAAGAAAACUUCUUUCUUCUUGAAUCUUAGCCAAAUCAAGUGAGAAAAUCGAUUUCCAAACCGAUUAAAGUGUUAAUUGUGAGUUGGGAAUUAGAGGAACUAGAAAUUUUCAAAGGAGGUGGAUUAUCACUCAUCCAAGCUUGUCUUUGAGGUAUUAAAUCUGAUCAUGGUCCUUGAUCUUUUAAAUCUUGCGUUAAGAUGUUAUUUAGCUUAAGUUUUGGCUUGAUUUCAAGAUGUGCAAGUGAUUGUGAUGAUUAUUGGAUGAAAUAAACAAGUUAUGGUUUUGGGGACUUGCUGCCAAACUUGAUGUAUGAUACAUGUAGGUUGUAUUUAAGGUUAUAUAAGGGGUUUUGGUUGUGUUGGAAGUAAGAAAUCAAGGAAGGUUGCAUUGAAUUCAAAAAAUUCCAGAUUUCUGGAAUUUCAGGAUUACAUUCUGUCCGAUUUUAAUACUCAUAGUUUGAGGCAAAAUUAGGCUUGGCCUAAAACAUGAAAGUUGUAGAGAAUGGUAUUUUAUAGAUUUUUACAAAAUUUCAGCUCAAUCGGAGUAACGUAGCCCAUGAAAAGACCAAAAUACCCUCACUAUUUUAAGGUUUUUCCCAGUAGUCCGUUUGGUUAGUUUAUCCAGUUUAUGACGUUUAUUCACCAGAAUCCGUACUGAUUUAGCUUUUUUCCAAAACAUGAAAGUUUUAGUAUUCUGACUUAGCUUUUAAACGCCUCAAAGAACACCUUAAUCGGACCUUGGUAACCUGAGAUAUGACCAUUCCAGUGCAAAGCAGUUAAAUAGCCGACUAGUUAGAUUUUGGUUCUGUAAAUUGAGGAUUUUACUAGGUUGCAUUGGAAAAUGGACUAAGUGAUCUUCAUGAACAUUGUAUCCCUGUGUCUUAGCUUCGAAACGGUAUAAGUUGCGUCUCAAUCCGAUAAGCGUAGCCUCGGAUGUGUUAUUUCCGCAACCACACGUCAAAUCUGUCUUUUGCUAGGUUACAUUUCUGCACUUGUUAUCACUUUGAUUUUGUUCGUAUGAUUGUUAUGAGCCUAUGGAACGGCUAUAUACUUGAAUCUAUGAUAUGUAUGACUUUGGGAUUGGCUGCUGGAAAAUUAGGUAAACACAAAGGGCAUGCUGCCCAAAUUUACGCUCGAGGACUAUAAAAAUACACUUGCGACUUGGGUCGAGUUGAUAUGAAUAGUACUUGAAUCAUCUAGGGUACUUGAGUCUUCUUGUUUCGAGGUAUAUAAGUAAGGAUUUGGCUGAACUUGUACCCUUGAAAAAUGCAAUCAUGAUUGCUCGAAGUAUGUUUUCCUUGUACUUCCAACUCGCAUGACAAUUUCAAGUAUAAAUAUUACAAAGUUUUACUGUUUAAAAAGGCAAGCAAGUGUUUCACGACUACUCUCCAAGUGAAUUCCAAUUUCUUGAUUUUUAUUGAAUGAAACGUCUAAGUUUCGAAUCUUAGUCAUGUUUCAAAGUUCUCAAACUGAGUUUUAUCGCAGAUUUGGACUCCGAACCCGGAGUAUAACCUGAAAGUGACCAGUAAAGGCACUAUAUCUUGUGGUGAGUGCUUUCAAAUACCGAAUUGCACUAGAUACUUGAACUUGAUACGUGACCAAUAUUAGUACAUGUUAUAUACGUGAAUUGAUAGGGCAAGAGUUUACUUUAUCGCACUUGCCCUUACGUGAUAUACUUUUUUAUUGAUUGCAAUUGACUUGAUAUACUUGUUUAUGAUGUGCGCACUUCCUGGAAUUCCAGAAACCCUGUGGCGAGUUACUCUAGUCGAGCCGGCAAGGGCUUGGUCGAUUGGGUAACGAACCCUGGGUCUCUUGUUUUGUCGAGUGGAGUGAUAUCUCCUCGACUAAUCGGUAUACUCGAGUAUUACCACCCGUGUUUAUUGAGAAUUUUGGGCCCAGCAGGGGGUGUGAAUGGUGGACGGAGAGUAGUGUAAGUGGUGCUCUAUUGGAUUGGUUCCUUUACUUGAAAGUUGAUGGAGUGUCAACUAUUACGUGAUCAAGCUCCUGAUGAUGAAAUGGGAAGUUGGCUCCUGAGAGCCAUCCGUAUCCUUAUGCUUUGGAAUGAUUAUUGUUUAUUGGAUUAUUGUUUCUUCUGAAAACUUUUACACUCGCUCAUUUUGAGAUUGCUACUUGAAGUGUUAUUGUUCACUUUUAUGAACUCUUCAUGCUCGUUACUUUGCUAUAUCGAAAACUUGUACUUAUAAAUAAUGGUCAAUUUGCUAUUUGGAACCUCACUGGGCUUUUAGCUCAUACCACGCUAUUUAUUUUCCUUACAGGGGGUACGAGCGAGGCGUGAGAGGUGUAAAGACUAGCGUAGUCUAGUUGUUUUUGACUUUUGACUUGAACUCGCGCUAUUCCUCGAAUAAAAUGUUUUAUAUAUUGAGGCUUUGUACCUUGAUUUUCAUCAAUGUAAAUUCUAAGCUUGAAUUGCGAUGUUAUUUAUGGUCCAUGAAUGAAUGCACGUGAUACGAGUGAGUGAGUCCUGGCGAGAGUUGGGCAGGCGACCCGCCGAAACCUCUGGUUCGCCUUAGGGUGAGGUGGGGCCGUCACAGAUGGUAUCAGAGCUCCUAUUGAGCUUGUGCCGGGAGAGGAUUCUCGGACUGUGGGGAUUGACUUGUUAAGUGUGGAACAAUUGUCUAUUGUUGUGGACCUUAGAUAUGUAUGUUGGGUAGGAAUCUCUAAUAUGGGUGAUUUGCUCUUGAGCCUGGCCAGCUUGAGUGGUGAAUUAUCAUAUUUUCGGAUUCUUGUCCCCGAAUACCAAAGAGUGACACCUUUACGAUAAGUUGAGAUCUCGCGUAAUAUUGGGAUAAGUUUGGAUUGUGAAAGCAAAGGCAAGGGGAAUGCGAAUAGCCUGGACUUGUAAUAUAUUGAAGAUAUUCAUGGGAUUCAGGAUCCUUCUUAUUCACGUGUUUCGAGCCUUGAUUAAGUGUAGUGCCUGAACGAUACCUAGGGUUAAUGCUUUAUAAGUUAUGUGAUUUGUUUUGAUUGAAUGUGUUGUAUUGCCUUGUUUUAUGAUUUAGAGGGGUUUAUGAUUUGCAUUAUUCUGUUUUGUGCUGUUUAUAUUUAUAUAGUUAUUUAGUGGCUAUAUUCUAUCAUUGAUUAGUUGAUUAUAUUGUUAUAGUUGAUUCGCUACGAACCAUGGAGGGUAGAAGAAGUCAAGUUAGGGGAACUAACCGAGGACGCGGUCCUAAUCGUAGCCGUGGGGGUAGACAAGCCCAGGAACCGGUACGAGAACCGAGAGAGAGGAAAGAGAGGCAACGGUUGAACCACAACCUGAACCCCAAGCUGCAGGGGGAGAUCAAGUGGCAACUGCCAUUCAGCAGAUGACUAACAUUCUGGCUCGGUUAGUGGAACAACAGGGUCAAGCCCCUGUACAUCAACCUAGGGACCCUAAUAAUGGGCAAGAUAGGGCCUUAGAGAGAUUCCAUAAGUUCUCUCCACCCAAAUUCCUAGGAAGGCCAGACCCGGAUGGGGCCGAGAAAUUGCUGGAGGCCAUGAUAAAUAUUUUUGCUGCCUUAAACUAUACGGAGGAGCGGCAAGUUCAAUUCGCUGUUUUCCAGUUCGAAAGGCCAGCUAGGGCUUGGUGGAACGUAGUGAGGGCCAAUUGGGAGAGAGAGGCGACUGCAUGGACCUGGUUAAAUUUCGUACGGGAAUUUAACGAAAAAUACCUUCCACCCAUCGUCCAGGAGAAGCGAGAGGACGAUUUCAUUAAAUUCCGCCAGGGAAUGUUGAGUGUAACUGAGUAUGAGACUCAGUUUACAAAGUUGUCUAAAUUUGCCCCUGAACUGAUAGCUACGGAGCAAAGAAAAGUACGGAGGUUUGUGCAAGGGCAAAAUGUGGAUUUACAAGAAGCCUUAGCGGCAGCUCAAAUUAACACGUUUACGGAAGUUUUGGAGAAGGCCCAACGAAUAGAAAUUGCUAGGGCACAAGUGAGGGCUUUUCAUGCAAAAAGGAGAGGUGCGCCUGGUGGAAGUCAUAGGCAAGGACAAGGUGAAGUAGAUAUGCCACCCUUUAAAAUAGGACGAGGAGAUGGUGGUGAGAAAACUUCAGGGUUGUCUAAGGAAAGUACUCCAAGGGGAGUUUCGCGUGGUUGGGGCCAAGCAAGAGGUGUCUAACAAGGAGGUCAGACCUCAGCCCCUCAAGUAUCUUGUGGGUACUGUGGGAAGGCCAAUCAUGUGGAGAAUGAUUGUUGGCGAAAGGCAGGAAAAUGUUUAUGGUGUGGUAGUACCGAGCACCAACUUGCAACCUGUCCCCGUAGAUCACACCUAAACCCUGAACAAGCGAAUGUAAGAGGGAACCACUCAAGAGUGCCAGCUAGAGUGUACGCCUUGGAACAAUAGACAUUACCUGAACCAUCGGAGAUAGUAGAAGGUACGAUGCGUGAUUUCUAUUGUUUAACUAAGUUUUGGCUAUAGUGAGACCUGAGAGCUAGAAACGGAUAUACAAGGAAAUACCCUAUGUUAUUUCGAAGUGCAUGUAUGAAUUUCAAAAACGAAAUUCUUUUAAGGAGGGGAGAUUGUGACACCCCGAAUAUUAGGAGGUUGUUUGUAAAGAAGAUACUAAAGUGUAUUUCUUUGAAUUUGAUUUAAAACCUUAUUUUGUUUUAAAAGACUAGAAACCCUAAUUUUAAUCACUGAAAUUGUAAAACCCUCACGUUUUUCUUAAAAAUUUCCUUUUAUUUGGAAAUUCAUUAUUUAUUAAAGUCCUACUACCCAAUCGUUCUACAAUAAGUGCAAAUAAACCUAGAAAGUAGGGUUUCACUUUUGGUUUCAAGAUUGGAGCAAAAUUAGGGUUUUCGCGAUUUUUCGCCGGAUGAAUUUUCGGUACUGAGCAAGGAUCAAAUUUGGUGAUUAAAAGUGAAUUUUAAGUGAGAAAUAAUAUGUGAUUAGGGGCAAUGAUAUAGGAUUAGUGAAUAGGAAGUAAAAAUCCUAGUACGUGUAUUUUUAAGAAAAACGGUGCGAACCGACGGGUACCGUGCACUACCGAUUGAACGCACCACUUGACCACCACUUUCUUACCAUACAAGCUUAUUGAUAUUUGAGCAAAAUAUCUUCUUAAUUGUCAGCUGCCUUUGACCGAAAAUGGAGGCUAAAAUAACAAGGAAAAGGAAAGAGAAAAAUGAAAGGUGGUGGUGGCGACAAGUGUCGCCACCCUAGAGUUUCUUGACCAAUAGUUGGUUUUUCUUUUUAUCUCCAAAUUUUGCACUUUUCUCUUCAUUUUUUCUGCUGCUGGUAGACCAAUAGAGAGAGAGAAAGGGAGAGCAAAAGAAAACUUCUUUCUUCUUGAAUCUUAGCCAAAUCAAGUGAGAAAAUCGAUUUCCAAACCGAUUAAAGUUUUAAUUGUGAGUUGGGAAGCUAGAGGAACUAGAAAUUUUCAAAGGAGGUGGAUUAUCACUCAUCCAAGAUUGUCUUUGAGGUAUUAAAUCUGAUCAUGGUCCUUGAUCUUUUAAAUCUUGCGUUAAGAUGUUAUUUAGCUUAAGUUUUGGCUUGAUUUCAAGAUGUGCAAGUGAUUGUGAUGAUUAUUGGAUGAAAUAAACAAGUUAGGGUUUUGGGGACUUGCUGCCAAACUUGAUGUAUGAUACAUAUAGGUUGUAUUUAAGGUUAUAUAAGGGGUUUUGGUAGUGUUGGAAGUAAGAAAUCAAGGAAGGUUGCAUUGAAUUCAAAAAAUUCCAGAUUUCUGGAAUUUCAGGAUUACAUUCUGUCCGAUUUUAAUACUCAUAGUUUGAGGCAAAAUUAGGCUUGGCCUAAAACAUGAAAGUUGUAGAGAAUGGUAUUUUAUAGAUGCUUACAAAAUUUCAGCUCAAUCGGAGUAACGUAGCCCAUGAAAAGACCAAAAUACCCUCACUAUUUUAAGGUUUUUCCCAGUAGUCCGUUUGGUUAGUUUAUCCAGUUUAUGACGUUUAUUCACCAGAAUCCGUACUGAUUUAGCUUUUUGCCAAAACAUGAAAGUUUUAGUAUUCUGACUGAGCUUUUAAACGCCUCCAAGAACACCUUAAUCGGACCUUGGUAACCUGAGAUAUGACCAUUCCAGUGCAGAGCGGUUAAAUAGCCGACUAGUUAGAUUUUGGUUCUGUAAAUUGAGGAUUUUACUAGGUUGCAUUGGAAAAUGGACUAAGUGAUCUUCAUGAACAUUGUAGCCCUGUGUCUUAGCUUCAAAACGGUAUAAGUUGCGCCUCAAUCCGAUAAGCGUAGCCUCGGAUGUGUUAUUUCCGCAACCACACGUCAAAUCUGUCUUUUGCUAGGUUACAUUUCUGCACUUGUUAUCACUUUGAUUUUGUUCGUAUGAUUGUUAUGAGCCUAUGGAACGGCUAUAUACUUGAAUCUAUGAUAUGUAUGACUUUGGGAUUGGCUGCUGGAAAAUUAGGUAAACACAAAGGGCAUGCUGCCCAAAUUUACGCUCGAGGACUAUAAAAAUACACUUGCGACUUGGGUCGAGUUGAUAUGAAUAGUACUUGAAUCAUCUAUGGUACUUGAGUCUUCUUGUUUCGAGGUAUAUAAGUAAGGAUUUGGCCGAACUUGUACCCUUGAAAAAUGCAAUCAUGAUUGCUCGAAGUAUGUUUUCCUUGUACUUCCAACUCGCAUGACAAUUUCAAGUAUAAAUAUUACAAAGUUUUACUGUUUAAAAAGGCAAGCAAGUGUUUCACGACUACUCUCCAAGUGAAUUCCAAUUUCUUGAUUUUUAUUGAAUGAAACGUCUAAGUUUCGAAUCUUAGUCAUGUUUCAAAGUUCUCAAACUGAGUUUUAUCGCAGAUUUGGACUCCGAACCCGGAGUAUAACCUGAAAGUGACCAGUAAAGGCACUAUAUCUUGUGGUGAGUGCUUUCAAAUACCGAAUUGCACUAGAUAUUUGAACUUGAUACGUGACCAAUAUUAGUACAUGUUAUAUACGUGAAUUGAUAGGGCAAGAGUUUACUUUAUCGCACUUGCCCUUACGUGAUAUACUUUUUUAUUGAUUGCAAUUGACUUGAUAUACUUAUUUAUGAUGUGCGCACUUCCUGGAAUUCCAGAAACCCUGUGGCGAGUUACUCUAGUCGAGCCGGCAAGGGCUUGCUCGAUUGGGUAACGAACCCUGGGUCUCUUGUUUUGUCGAGUGGAGUGAUAUUUCCUCGACUAAUCGGUAUAUUCGAUUAUUACCACCCGUGUUUAUUGAGAAUUUUGGGCCCAACAGGGGGUGUGAAUGGUGGACGGAGAGUAGUGUAAGUGGUGCUCUAUUGGAUUGGUUCCUUUACUUGAAAGUUGAUGGAGUGUCAACUAUUACGUGAUCAAGCUCCUGAUGAUGAAAUGGGAAGUUGGCUCCUGAGAGCCAUCCGUAUCCUUAUGCUUUGGAAUGAUUAUUGUUUAUUGGAUUAUUGUUUCUUCUGAAAACUUUUACACUCGCUCAUUUUGAGAUUGCUACUUGAAGUGUUAUUGUUCACUUUUAUGAACUCUUUAUGCUCGUUACUUUGCUAUAUCGAAAACUUGUACUUAUAAAUAAUGGUCAAUUUGUUAUUUGGAACCUCACUGGGCUUUUAGCUCAUACCACGCUAUUUAUUUUCCUUACAGGGGGUACGAGCGAGGCGUGAGAGGUGUAAAGACUAGCUUAGUCUAGUUGUUUUUGACUUUUGACUUGAACUCGCGCUAUUCCUCGAAUAAAAUGUUUUAUAUAUUGAGGCUUUGUACCUUGAUUUUCAUCAAGGUAAAUUCUAAGCUUGAAUUGCGAUGUUAUUUAUGGUCCAUGAAUGAAUGCACGUGAUACGAGUGAGUGAGUCCUGGCGAGAGUUGGGCAGGCGACCCGCCGAAACCUCUGGUUCGCCUUAGGGUGAGGUGGGACCGUCACAGAUGGUAUCAGAGCUCCUAUUGAGCUUGUGCCGGGAGAGGAUUCUCGGACUGUGGGGAUUGACUUGUUAAGUGUGGAACAAUUGUCUAUUGUUGUGGACCUUAUAUAUGUAUGUUGGGUAGGAAUCUCUAAUAUGGGUGAUUUGCUCUUGAGCCUGGCCAGCUUGAGUGGUGAAUUAUCAUAUUUUCGGAUUCUUGUCCCCGAAUACCAAAGAGUGACACCUUUACGAUAAGUUGAGAUCUCGAGUAAUAUUGGGAUAAGUUUGGAUUGUGAAAGCAAAGGCAAGGGGAAUGCGAAUAGCCUGGACUUGUAAUAUAUUGAAGAUAUUCAUGGGAUUCAGGAUCCUUCUUAUUCACGUGUUUCGAGCCUUGAUUAAGUGUAGUGCCUGAACGAUACCUAGGGUUAAUGCUUUAUAAGUUAUGUGACUUGUUUUGAUUGAAUGUGUUGUAUUGCCUUGUUUUAUGAUUUAGAGGGGUUUAUGAUUUGCAUUAUUCUGUUUUGUCCUGUUUAUAUUUAUAUAGUUAUUUAGUGGCUAUAUUCUAUCAUUGAUUAGUUGAUUAUAUUGUUAUAGUUGAUUCGCUACGAACCAUGGAGGGUAGAAGAAGUCAAGCUAGGGGAACUAACCGAGGACGCGGUCCUAAUCGUAGCCGUGGGGGUAGACAAGCCCAGGAACCGGUACAAGAACCGAGAGAGGAAAGAGAGGCAACGGUUGAACCACAACCUGAACCCCAAGCUGCAGGGGGAGAUCAAGUGGCAACUGCCAUUCAGCAGAUGACUAACAUUCUGGCUCGGUUAGUGGAACAACAGGGUCAAGCCCCUGUACAUCAACCUAGGGACCCUAAUAAUGGGCAAGAUAGGGCCUUAGAGAGAUUCCAUAAGUUCUCUCCACCCAAAUUUCUAGGAAGGCCAGACCCGGAUGGGGCCGAGAAAUGGCUGGAGGCCAUGAUAAAUAUUUUUGCUGCCUUAAACUAUACGGAGGAGCGGCAAGUUCAAUUCGCUGUUUUCCAGUUCGAAAGGCCAGCUAGGGCUUGGUGGAACGUAGUGAGGGCCAAUUGGGAGAGAGAGGCGACUGCAUGGACCUGGUUAAAUUUCGUACGGAAAUUUAACGAAAAAUACCUUCCACCCAUCGUCCAGGAGAAGCGAGAGGACGAUUUCAUUAAAUUCCGCCAGGGAAUGUUGAGUGUAACUGAGUAUGAGACUCAGUUUACAAAGUUGUCUAAAUUUGCCCCUGAACUGAUAGCUACGGAGCCAAGAAAAGUACGGAGGUUUGUGCAAGGGCAAAAUGUGGAUUUACAAGAAGCCUUAGCGGCAGCUCAAAUUAACACGUUUACGGAAGUUUUGGAGAAGGCCCAACGAAUAGAAAUUGCUAGGGCACAAGUGAGGGCUUUUCAUGCAAAAAGGAGAGGUGCGCCUGGUGGAAGUCAUAGGCAAGGACAAGGUGAAGUAGAUAUGCCACCCUUUAAAAUAGGACGAGGAGAUGGUGGUGAGAAAACUUCAGGGUUGUCUAAGGAAAGUACUCCAAGGGGAGUUUCGCGUGGUUGGGGCCAAGCAAGAGGUUUCUAACAAGGAGGUCAGACCUCAGCCCCUCAAGUAUCUUGUGGGUACUGUGGGAAGGCCAAUCAUGUGGAGAAUGAUUGUUGGCGAAAGGCAGGAAAAUGUUUACGGUGUGGUAGUACCGAGCACCAACUUGCAACCUGUCCCCGUAGAUCACACCUAAACCCUGAACAAGCGAAUGUAAGAGGGAACCACUCAAGAGUGCCAGCUAGAGUGUACGCCUUGGAAAAAUAGACAUUACCUGAACCAUCGGAGAUAGUAGAAGGUACGAUGCGUGAUUUCUAUUGUUUAACUAAGUUUUGGCUAUAGUGAGACCUGAGAGCUAGAAACGGAUAUACAAGGAAAUACCCUAUGUUAUUUCGAAGUGCAUGUAUGAAUUUCAAAAAUGAAAUUCUUUUAAGGAGGGGAGAUUGUGACACCCCGAAUAUUAGGAGGUUGUUUGUAAAGAAGAUACUAAAGUGUAUUUCUUUGAAUUUGAUUUAAAACCUUAUUUUGUUUUAAAAGACUAGAAACCCUAAUUUUAAUCACUGAAAUUGUAAAACCCUCACGUUUUUCUUAAAAAUUUCCUUUUAUUUGGAAAUUCAUUAUUUAUUAAAGUCCUACUACCCAAUCGUUCUACAAUAAGUGCAAAUAAAUCUAGAAAGUAGGGUUUCACUUUUGGUUUCAAGAUUGGAGCAAAAUUAGGGUUUUCGCGAUUUUUCGCCGGAUGAAUUUUCGGUACUGAGCAAGGAUCAAAUUUGGUGAUUAAAAGUGAAUUUUAAGUGAGAAAUAAUAUGUGAUUAGGGGCAAUGAUAUAGGAUUAGUGAAUAGGAAGUAAAAAUCCUAGUACGUGUAUUUUUAAGAAAAACGGUGCGAACCGACGGGUACCGUGCACUACCGAUUGAACGCACCACUUGACCACCACUUUCUUACCAUACAAGCUUAUUGAUAUUUGAGCAAAAUAUCUUCUUAAUUGUCAGCUGCCUUUGACCGAAAAUGGAGGCUAAAAUAACAAGGAAAAGGAAAGAGAAAAAUGAAAGGUGGUGGUGGCGACAAGUGUCGCCACCCUAGAGUUUCUUGACCAAGAGUUGGUUUUUCUUUUUAUCUCCAAAUUUUGCACUUUUCUCUUCAUUUUUUCUGCUGCUGGUAGACCAAUAGAGAGAGAGAAAGGGAGAGCAAAAGAAAACUUCUUUCUUCUUGAAUCUUAGCCAAAUCAAGUGAGAAAAUCGAUUUCCAAGCCGAUUAAAGUGUUAAUUGUGAGUUGGGAAGCUAGAGGAACUAGAAAUUUUCAAAGGAGGUGGAUUAUCACUCAUCCAAGCUUGUCUUUGAGGUAUUAAAUCUGAUCAUGGUCCUUGAUCUUUUAAAUCUUGCGUUAAGAUGUUAUUUAGUUUAAGUUUUGGCUUGAUUUCAAGAUGUGCAAGUGAUUGUGAUGAUUAUUGGAUGAAAUAAACAAGUUAGGGUUUUGGGGACUUGCUGCCAAACUUGAUGUAUGAUACAUAUAGGUUGUAUUUAAGGUUAUAUAAUGGGUUUUGGUAGUGUUGGAAGUAAGAAAUCAAGGAAGGUUGCAUUGAAUUCAAAAAAUUCCAGAUUUCUGGAAUUUCAGGAUUACAUUCUGUCCGAUUUUAAUACUCACAGUUAGAGGCAAAAUUAGGCUUGGCAAAAAACAUGAAAGUUGUAGAUAAUGGUAUUUUAUAGAAGCUUACAAAAUUUUAGCUCAAUCGGAGUAACGUAGCCCAUGAAAAGACCAAAAUACCCUCACUAUUUUAAGGUUUUUCCCAGUAGUCCGUUUGGUUAGUUUAUCCAGUUUAUGACGUUUAUUCACCAGAAUCCGUACUGAUUUAGCUUUUUGCCAAAACAUGAAAGUUUUAGUAUUCUGACUUAGCUUUUAAACGCCUCUAAGAACACCUUAAUCGGACCUUGGUAACCUUAGAUAUGACCAUUCCAGUGCAGAGCGGUUAAAUAGCCGACUAGUUAGAUUUUGGUUCUGUAAAUUGAGGAUUUUACUAGGUUGCAUUGGUAAAUGGACUAAGUGAUCUUCAUGAACAUUGUAGCCCUGUGUCUUAGCUUCGAAACGGUAUAAGUUGCGCCUCAAUCCGAUAAGCGUAGCCUCAGAUGUGUUAUUUCCGCAACCACACGUCAAAUCUGUCUUUUGCUAGGUUACAUUUCUGCACUUGUUAUCACUUUGAUUUUGUUCGUAUGAUUGUUAUGAGCCUAUGGAACGGCUAUAUACUUGAAUCUAUGAUAUGUAUGACUUUGGGAUUGGCUGCUGGAAAAUUAGGUAAACACAAAGGGCAUGCUGCCCAAAUUUACGCUCGAGAACUAUAAAAAUACACUUGCGACUUGGGUCGAGUUGAUAUGAAUAGUACUUGAAUCAUCUAGGGUACUUGAGUCUUCUUGUUUCGAGGUAUAUAAGUAAGGAUUUGGCCGAACUUGUACCCUUGAAAAAUGCAAUCAUGAUUGCUCGAAGUAUGUUUUCCUUGUACUUCCAACUCGCAUGACAAUUUCAAGUAUAAAUAUUACAAAGUUUUACUGUUUAAAAAGGCAAGAAAGUGUUUCACGACCACUCUCCAAGUGAAUUCCAAUUUCUUGAUUUUUAUUGAAUGAAACGUCUAAGUUUCGAAUCUUAGUCAUGUUUCAAAGUUCUCAAACUGAGUUUUAUCGCAGAUUUGGACUCCGAACCCGGAGUAUAACCUGAAAGUGACCAGUAAAGGCACUAUAUCUUGUGGUGAGUGCUUUCAAAUACUGAAUUGCACUAGAUACUUGAACUUGAUACGUGACCAAUAUGAGUGCAUGUUAUAUACGUGAAUUGAUAGGGCAAGAGUGUACUUUAUCGCACUUGCCCUUACGUGAUAUACUUGUUUAUUGAUUGCAAUUGACUUGAUAUACUUGUUUAUGAUGUGCGCACUUCCUGGAAUACCAGAAACCCUGUGACGAGUUACUCUAGUCGAGCCGGCAAGGGCUUGGUCGAUUGGGUAACGAACACUGGGUCUCUUGUUUUGUCGAGUGGAGUGAUAUCUCCUCGACUAAUCGGUAUACUCGAGUAUUACCACCCGUUUUUAUUGAGAAUUUUGGGCCCAGCAGGGGGUGUGAAUGGUGGACGGAGAGUAGUGUAAGUGGUGCUCUACUGGAUUGGUUCCUUUACUUGAAAGUUGAUGGAGUGUCAACUAUUACGUGAUCAAGCUCCUGAUGAUGAAAUGGGAAGUUGGCUCCUGAGAGCCAUCCGUAUCCUUAUGCUUUGGAAUGAUUAUUGUUUAUUGGAUUAUUGUUUCUUCUGAAAACUUUUACACUCGCUCAUUUUGAGAUUGCUACUUGAAGUGUUAUUGUUCACUUUUAUGAACUCUUCAUGCUCGUUACUUUGCUAUAUCGAAAACUUGUACUUAUAAAUAAUGGUCAAUUUGCUAUUUGGAACUUCACUGGGCUUUUAGCUCAUACCACGCUAUUUAUUUUCCUUACAGGGGGUACGAGCGAGGCGUGAGAGGUGUAAAGACUAGCGUAGUCUAGUUAUUUUUUAUUUUUGACUUUUGACUUGUACUCGCGCUAUUCCUCGAAUAAAAUGUUUUAUAUAUUGAGGCUUUGUACCUUGAUUUUCAUCAAUGUAAAUUCUAAACUUGAAUUGCGAUGUUAUUUAUGGUCCAUGAAUGAAUACACGUGAUACGAGUGAGUGAGUCCUGGCGAGAGUUGGGCAGGCGACCCGCCGAAACCUCUGGUUCGCCUUAGGGUGAGGUGGGGCCGUCACAGAUGGUAUCAGAGCUCCUAUUGAGCUCGUGCCGGGAGAGGAUUCUCGGACUGUGGGGAUUGACUUGUUAAGUGUGGAACAAUUGUCUAUUGUUGUGGACCUUAGAUAUGUAUGUUGGGUAGGAAUUUCUAAUAUGGGUGAUUUGCUCUUGAGCCUGGCCAGCUUGAGUGGUGAAUUAUCAUAUUUUCGGAUUCUUGUCCCCGAAUACCAAAGAGUGACACCUUUACGAUAAGUUGAGAUCUCGCGUAAUAUUGGGAUAAUUUUGGAUUGUGAAAGCAAAGGCAAGGGGAAUGCGAAUAGCCUGGACUUGUAAUAUAUUGAAGAUAUUCAUGGGAUUCAGGAUCCUUCUUAUUCACGUGUUUCGAGCCUUGAUUAAGUGUAGUGCCUGAACGAUACCUAGGGUUAAUGCUUUAUAAGUUAUGUGACUUGUUUUGAUUGAAUGUGUUGUAUUGCCUUGUUUUACGAUUUAGAGGGGUUUAUGAUUUACAUUAUUCUGUUUUGUGCUGUUUAUAUUUAUAUAGUUAUUUAGUGGCUAUAUUCUAUCAUUGAUUAGUUGAUUAUAUUGUUAUAGUUGAUUCGCUACGAACCAUGGAGGGUAGAAGAAGUCAAGCUAGGGGAACUAACCGAGGACGCGGUCCUAGUCGUAGCCGUGGGGUAGACAAGCCCAGGAACCGGUAUGAGAACCGAGAGAGGAAAGAGAGGCAACGGUUGAACCACAACCUGAACCCCAAGCUGCAGGGGGAGAUCAAGUGGCAACUGCCAUUCAGCAGAUGACUAACAUUCUGGCUCGGUUAGUGGAACAACAGGGUCAAGCCCCUGUACAUCAACCUUGGGACCCUAAUAAUGGGCAAGAUAGGGCCUUAGAGAGAUUCCAUAAAUUCUCUCCACCCAAAUUCCUAGGAGGGCCAGACCCGGAUGGGGCCGAGAAAUGGCUGGAGGCCAUGAUAAAUAUUUUUGCUGCCCUAAACUAUACGGAGGAGCAGCAAGUUCAAUUCGCUGUUUUCCAGUUCGAAAGGCCAGCUAGGGCUUGGUGGAACGUAGUGAGGGCCAAGUGGGAGAGAGAGGCGACUGCAUGGACCUGGUUAAAUUUCGUACGGGAAUUUAACGAAAAAUACCUUCCACCCAUCGUCCAGGAGAAGUGAGGGGAUGAUUUCAUUAAAUUCCGCCAGGGAAUGUUGAGUGUAACUGAGUAUGAGACUCAGUUUACAAAGUUGUCCAAAUUUGCCCCUGAACUGAUAGCUACGGAGCAAAGAAAAGUACGGAGGUUUGUGCAAGGGCAAAAUGUGGAUUUACAAGAAGCCUUAGCGGCAGCUCAAAUUAACACGUUUACGGAAGUUUUGGAGAAGGCCCAUCAAAUAGAAAUUGGUAGGGCACAAGUGAGGGCUUUUCAUGCAAAAAGGAGAGGUGCGCCUGGUGGAAGUCAUAGGCAAGGACAAGGUGAAUUGGAUAUGCCACCCUUUAAAAUAGGACGAGGAGAUGGUGGUGAGAAAACUUCAGGGAUGUCUAAGGAAAGUACUCCAAGCGGAGCUUCGCGUGGUUGGGGCCAAGCUAGAGGUGUCUCACAAGGAGGUCAGACCUAAACCCCUCAAGUAUCUUGUGGGUACUGUGGGAAGGCCAAUCAUGUGGAGAAUGAUUGUUGGCGAAAGGCAGGAAAAUGUUUAUGGUGUGGUAGUACCGAGCACCAACUUGCAACCUGUCCCCGUAGAUCACACCUAAACCCUGAACAAGCGAAUGUAAGAGGGAACCACUCAAGAGUGCCAGCUAGAGUGUACGCCUUGGAACAACAGACAUUACCUGAACCAUCGGAGAUAGUAGAAGGUACGAUGCGUGAUUUCUAUUGUUUAACUAAGUUUUGGCUAUAGUGAGACCUGAGAGCUAGAAACGGAUAUACAAGGAAAUACCCUAUGUUAUUUCGAAGUGCAUGUAUGAAUUUCGAGAACGAAAUUCUUUUAAGGAGGGGAGAUUGUGACACCCCGAAUAUUAGGAGGUUGUUUGUAAAGAAGAUACUAAAGUGUAUUUCUUUGAAUUUGAUUUAAAACCUUAUUUUGUUUUAAAAGACUAGAAACCCUAAUUUUAAUCACUGAAAUUGUAAAACCCUCAGGUUUUUCUUAAAAAUUCCUUUUAUUUGGAAAUUCAUUAUUUAUUAAAGUCCUACUACCCAAUCGUUCUACAAUAAGUGCAAAUAAACCUAGAAAGUAGGGUUUCACUUUUGGUUUCAAGAUUGGAGCAAAAUUAGGGUUUUCGCGAUUUUUCGCCGGAUGAAUUUUCGGUACUGAGCAAGGAUCAAAUUUCGUGAUUAAAAGUGAAUUUUAAGUGAGAAAUAAUAUGUGAUUAGGGGCAAUGAUAUACGAUUAGUGAAUAUGAAGUAAAAAUCCUAGUACGUGUGUUUUUAAGAAAAACGGUGCGAACCGACGGGUACCGUGCACUACCGAUUGAACGCACCACUUGACCACCACUUUCUUACCAUACAAGCUUAUUGAUAUUUGAGCAAAAUAUCUUCUUAAUUGCCAGCUGCCUUUGACCGAAAAUUGAGGCUAAAAUAACAAGGAAAAGGAAAGAGAAAAAUGAAAGGUGGUGGUGGCUACAAGUGUCGCCACCCUAGAGUUUCUUGACCAAGAGUUGGUUUUUCUUUUUAUCUCCAAAUUUUGCACUUUUCUCUUCAUUUUUUCUGCUGCUGGUAGACCAAUAGAGAGAGAGAAAGGGAGAGCAAAAGAAAACUUCUUUCUUCUUGAAUCUUAGCCAAAUCAAGUGAGAAAAUCGAUUUCCAAACCGAUUAAAGUGUUAAUUGUGAGUUGGGAAGCUAGAGGAACUAGAAAUUUUCAAAGGAGGUGGAUUAUCACUCAUCCAAGCUUGUCUUUGAGGUAUUAAAUCUGAUCAUGGUCCUUGAUCUUUUAAAUCUUGCGUUAAGAUGUUAUUUAGCUUAAGUUUUGGCUUGAUUUCAAGAUGUGCAAGUGAUUGUGAUGAUUAUUGGAUGAAAUAAACAAGUUAGGGUUUUGGGGACUUGCUGCCAAACUUGAUGUAUGAUACAUAUAGGUUGUAUUUAAGGUUAUAUAAGGGGUUUUGGUAGUGUUGGAAGUAAGAAAUCAAGGAAGGUUGCAUUGAAUUCAAAAAAUUCCAGAUUUCUGGAAUUUCAGGAUUACAUUCUGUCCGAUUUUAAUACUCAUAGUUAGAGGCAAAAUUAGGCUUGGCCUAAAACAUGAAAGUUGUAGAGAAUGGUAUUUUAUAGAGCUUACAAAAUUUCAGCUCAAUCGGAGUAACGUAGCCCAUGAAAAGACCAAAAUACCCUCACUAUUUUAAGGUUUUUCCCAGUAGUCCGUUUGGUUAGUUUAUCCAGUUUAUGACGUUUAUUCACCAGAAUCCGUACUGAUUUAGCUUUUUUCCAAAACAUGAAAGUUUUAGUAUUCUGACUUAGCUUUUAAACGCCUCAAAGAACACCUUAAUCGGACCUUGGUAACCUGAGAUAUGACCAUUCCAGUGCAGAGCGGUUAAAUAGCCGACUAGUUAGAUUUUGGUUCUGUAAAUUGAGGAUUUUACUAGGUUGCAUUGGAAAAUGGACUAAGUGAUCUUCAUGAACAUUGUAGCCCUGUGUCUUAGCUUCGAAACGGUAUAAGUUGCGUCUCAAUCCGAUAAGCGUAGCCUCGGAUGUGUUAUUUCCGCAACCACACGUCAAAUCUGUCUUUUGCUAGGUUACAUUUCUGCACUUGUUAUCACUUUGAUUUUGUUCGUAUGAUUGUUAUGAGCCUAUGGAACGGCUAUAUACUUGAAUCUAUGAUAUGUAUGACUUUGGGAUUGGCUGCUGGAAAAUUAGGUAAACACAAAGGGCAUGCUGCCCAAAUUUACGCUCGAGGACUAUAAAAAUACACUUGCGACUUGGGUCGAGUUGAUAUGAAUAGUACUUGAAUCAUCUAGGGUACUUGAGUCUUCUUGUUUCGAGGUAUAUAAGUAAGGAUUUGGCUGAACUUGUACCCUUGAAAAAUGCAAUCAUGAUUGCUCGAAGUAUGUUUUCCUUGUACUUCCAACUCGCAUGACAAUUUCAAGUAUAAAUAUUACAAAGUUUUACUGUUUAAAAAGGCAAGCAAGUGUUUCACGACUACUCUCCAAGUGAAUUCCAAUUUCUUGAUUUUUAUUGAAUGAAACGUCUAAGUUUCGAAUCUUAGUCAUGUUUCAAAGUUCUCAAACUGAGUUUUAUCGCAGAUUUGGACUCCGAACCCGGAGUAUAACCUGAAAGUGACCAGUAAAGGCACUAUAUCUUGUGGUGAGUGCUUUCAAAUACCGAAUUGCACUAGAUACUUGAACUUGAUACGUGACCAAUAUGAGUACAUGUUAUAUACGUGAAUUGAUAGGGCAAGAGUGUACUUUAUCGCACUUGCCCUUACGUGAUAUACUUUUUAUUGAUUGCAAUUGACUUGAUAUACUUGUUUAUGAUGUGCGCACUUCCUGGAAUUCCAGAAACCCUGUGGCGAGUUACUCUAGUCGAGCCGGCAAGGGCUUGGUCGAUUGGGUAACGAACCCUGGGUCUCUUGUUUUGUCGAGUGGAGUGAUAUCUCCUCGACUAAUCGGUAUACUCGAGUAUUACCACCCGUGUUUAUUGAGAAUUUUGGGCCCAGCAGGGGGUGUGAAUGGUGGACGGAGAGUAGUGUAAGUGGUGCUCUAUUGGAUUGGUUCCUUUACUUGAAAGUUGAUGGAGUGUCAACUAUUACGUGAUCAAGCUCCUGAUGAUGAAAUGGGAAGUUGGCUCCUGAGAGCCAUCCGUAUCCUUAUGCUUUGGAAUGAUUAUUGUUUAUUGGAUUAUUGUUUCUUCUGAAAACUUUUACACUCGCUCAUUUUGAGAUUGCUACUUGAAGUGUUAUUGUUCACUUUUAUGAACUCUUCAUGCUCGUUACUUUGCUAUAUCGAAAACUUGUACUUAUAAAUAAUGGUCAAUUUGCUAUUUGGAACUUCACUGGGCUUUUAGCUCAUACCACGCUAUUUAUUUUCCUUACAGGGGGUACGAGCGAGGCGUGAGAGGUGUAAAGACUAGCGUAGUCUAGUUGUUUUUGACUUUUGACUUGUACUCGCGCUAUUCCUCGAAUAAAAUGUUUUAUAUAUUGAGGCUUUGUACCUUGAUUUUCAUCAAUGUAAAUUCUAAACUUGAAUUGCGAUGUUAUUUAUGGUCCAUGAAUGAAUGCACGUGAUACGAGUGAGUGAGUCCUGGCGAGAGUUGGGCAGGCGACCCGCCGAAACCUCUGGUUCGCCUUAGGGUGAGGUGGGGCCGUCACAGAUGGUAUCAGAGCUCCUAUUGAGCUCGUGCCGGGAGAGGAUUCUCGGACUGUGGGGAUUGACUUGUUAAGUGUGGAACAAUUGUCUAUUGUUGUGGACCUUAGAUAUGUAUGUUGGGUAGGAAUUUCUAAUAUGGGUGAUUUGCUCUUGAGCCUGGCCAGCUUGAGUGGUGAAUUAUCAUAUUUUCGGAUUCUUGUCCCCGAAUACCAAAGAGUGACACCUUUACGAUAAGUUGAGAUCUCGCGUAAUAUUGGGAUAAUUUUGGAUUGUGAAAGCAAAGGCAAGGGGAAUGCGAAUAGCCUGGACUUGUAAUAUAUUGAAGAUAUUCAUGGGAUUCAGGAUCCUUCUUAUUCACGUGUUUCGAGCCUUGAUUAAGUGUAGUGCCUGAACGAUACCUAGGGUUAAUGCUUUAUAAGUUAUGUGACUUGUUUUGAUUGAAUGUGUUGUAUUGCCUUGUUUUACGAUUUAGAGGGGUUUAUGAUUUGCAUUAUUCUGUUUUGUGCUGUUUAUAUUUAUAUAGUUAUUUAGUGGCUAUAUUCUAUCAUUGAUUAGUUGAUUAUAUUGUUAUAGUUGAUUCGCUACGAACCAUGGAGGGUAGAAGAAGUCAAGUUAGGGAAACUAACCGAGGACGCGGUCCUAGUCGUAGCCGUGGGGGUAGACAAGCCCAGGAACCGGUACGAGAACCGAGAGAGGAAAGAGAGGCAACGGUUGAACCACAACCUGAACCCCAAGCUGCAGGGGGAGAUCAAGUGGCAACUGCCAUUCAGCAGAUGACUAACAUUCUGGCUCGGUUAGUGGAACAACAGGGUCAAGCCCCUGUACAUCAACCUUGGGACCCUAAUAAUGGGCAAGAUAGGGCCUUAGAGAGAUUCCAUAAGUUCUCUCCACCCAAAUUCCUAGGAGGGCCAGACCCGGAUGGGACCGAGAAAUGGCUGGAGGCCAUGAUAAAUAUUUUUGCUGCCCUAAACUAUACGGAGGAGCGGCAAGUUCAAUUCGCUGUUUUCCAGUUCGAAAGGCCAGCUAGGGCUUGGUGGAACGUAGUGAGGGCCAAGUGGGAGAGAGAGGCGACUGCAUGGACCUGGUUAAAUUUCGUACGGGAAUUUAACGAAAAAUACCUUUCACCCAUCGUCCAGGAGAAGCGAGAGGACGAUUUCAUUAAAUUCCGCCAGGGAAUGUUGAGUGUAACUGAGUAUGAGAUUCAGUUUACAAAGUUGUCCAAAUUUGCCCCUGAACUGAUAGCUACGGAGCAAAGAAAAGUACGGAGGUUUGUGCAAGGGCUAAAUGUGGAGUUACAAGAAGCCUUAGCGGCAGCUCAAAUUAACACGUUUACGGAGGUUUUGGAGAAGGCCCAACGAAUAGAAAUUGCUAGGGCACAAGUGAGGGCUUUUCAUGCAAAAAGGAGAGGUGCGCCUGGUGGAAGUCAUAGGCAAGGACAAGGUGAAUUAGAUAUGCCACCCUUUAAAAUAGGACGAGGAGAUGGUGGUGAGAAAACUUCAGGGAUGUCUAAGGAAAGUACUCCAAGGGGAGCUUCGCGUGGUUGGGGCCAAGCAAGAGGUGUCUCACAAGGAGGUCAGUCCUCAGCCCCUUAAGUAUCUUGUGGGUACUGUGGGAAGGCCAAUCAUGUGGAGAAUGAUUGUUGGCGAAAGGCAGGAAAAUGUUUAUGGUGUGGUAGUACCGAGCACCAACUUGCAACCUGUCCCCGUAGAUCACACCUAAACCCUGAACAAGCGAAUGUAAGAGGGAACCACUCAAGAGUGCCAGCUAGAGUGUACGCCUUGGAACAACAGACAUUACCUGAACCAUCGGAGAUAGUAGAAGGUACGAUGCGUGAUUUCUAUUGUUUAACUAAGUUUUGGCAAUAGUGAGACCUGAGAGUUAGAAACGGAUAUACAAGGAAAUACCCUAUGUUAUUUCGAAGUGCAUGUAUGAAUUUCGAGAACGAAAUUCUUUUAAGGAGGGGAGAUUGUGACACCCCGAAUAUUAGGAGGUUGUUUGUAAAGAAGAUACUAAAGUGUAUUUCUUUGGAUUUGUUUUAAAAGACUAGAAACCCUAAUUUUAAUCACUGAAAUUGUAAAACCCUCACUUUUUUCGUAAAAAUUUCCUUUUAUUUGGAAAUUCAUUAUUUAUUAAAGCCCUACUACCUAAUCGUUCUACAAUAAGUGCAAAUAAACCUAAAAAGUAGGAUUUCACUUUUGGUUUCAAGAUUGGAGCAAAAUUAGGGUUUUCGCGAUUUUUCGCCGGAUGAAUUUUCGGUACUGAGCAAGGAUCAAAUUUGGUGAUUAAAAGUGACUUUUAAGUGAGAAAUAAUAUGUGAUUAGGGGAAAUGAUAUAAGAUUAGUGAAUAGGAAGUAAAAAUCCUAGUACGUGUGUUUUUAAGAAAAACGGUGCGAACCGACGGGUACCGUGCACUACCGAUUGAACGCACCACUUGACCACCACUUUCUUACCAUACAAGCUUAUUGAUAUUUGAGCAAAAUAUCUUCUUAAUUGUCAGCUGCCUUUGACCGAAAAUUAAGGAUAAAAUAACAAGGAAAAGGAAAGAGAAAAAUGAAAGGUGGUGGUGGCGACACUCGUCGCCACCCUAGAGUUUCUUAACCAAGAGUUGGUUUUUCUUUUAUCUCCAACUUUUGCACUUUCCUCUUCUUUUUUUCUGCUGCUGGUUGACCAAAAGUGAGAGAGAGAGGGAGAGCAAAAGAAAACUUCUUUCUUCUUGAAUCUUAGCCAAAUCAAGUGAGAAAAUCGAUUUCCAAACCGAUUAAAGUGUUAAUUGUGAGUUGGGAAGCUAGAGGAACUAGAAAUUUUCAAAGGAGGUGGAUUAUCACUCAUCCAAGCUUAUCUUUGAUGUAUUAAAUCUGAUCAUGGUCCUUGAUCUUUUAAAUCUUGCGUUAAGAUGUUAUUUAGCUUAAGUUUUGGCUUGAUUUCAAGAUGUGCAAGUGAUUGUGAUGAUUAUUGGAUGAAAUAAACAAGUUAGGGUUUUGGGGACUUGCUGCCAAACUUGAUGUAUGAUACAUAUAGGUUGUAUUUAAGGUUAUAUAAGGGGUUUUGGUAGUGUUGGAAGUAAGAAAUCAAGGAAGGUUGCAUUGAAUUCAAAAAAUUCCAGAUUUCUGGAAUUUCAGGAUUACAUUCUGUCCGAUUUUAAUACUCAUAGUUAGAGGCAAAAUUAGGUUUGACCUAAAACAUAAAAGUUGUAGAGAAUAGUAUUUUAUAGGUGUUUACAAAAUUUCAGCUCAACCGGAGUAACGUAGCCCAUGAAAAGACCAAAAUACCCUCACUAUUUUAAGGUUUUUCCUAGUAGUCCGUUUGGUUUUAUGACGUUUAUUCACCAGGAUCCGUACUGAUUUAGCUUUUUGGAAAAACAUGAAAGUUUUAGUAUUCUGACUUAGCUUUUAAACGCCUCUAAGAACACCUUAAUCGGACCUUGGUAACCUGAGAUAUGACCAUUCCAGUGCAGAGCGGUUAAAUAGCCGACUAGUUAGAUUUUGGUUCUGUAAAAUGAGGAUUUUACUAGGUUGCAUUGGAAAAUGGACUAAGUCAAAUCUGUCUUUUGCUAGGUUACAUUUCUACACUUGUUAUCACUUUGAUUUUGUUCGUAUGGUUGUUAUGAGCCUAUGGAACGGCUAUAUACUUGAAUCUAUGAUAUGUAUUACUUUGGGAUUGGCUGCUGGAAAAUUAGGUAAACACAAAGGGCAUGCUGCCCAAAUUUACGCUCGAGGACUAUAAAAAUACACUUGCGACUUGGGUCAAGUUGAUAUGAAUAGUACUUGAACCAUCUAGGGUACUUGGGUCUUCUUGUUUCGAGGUAUAUAAGUAAGGAUUUGGCCGAACUUGUACCCUUGAGAAAUGCAAUCAUGAUUGCUCGAAAUAUGUUUUCCUUGUACUUCCAACUCGCAUGACAAUUUCAAGUAUAAAUAUUACAAAGUUUUACUGUUUAAAAAGGCAAGCAAGUGUUUCACGACUACUCUCCAAGUGAAUUCCAAUUUCUUGAUUUUUAUUGAAUGAAAUGUCUAAGUUUCGAAUCUUAGUCAUGUUUCAAAGUUCUCAAACUGAGUUUUAUCGCAAAUUUGGACUCCGAACCCGGAGUAUAACCUGAAAGUGACCAGUAAAGGCACUAUAUCUUGUGGUGAGUGCUUUCAAAUACCGAAUUGCACUAGAUACUUGAACUUGAUACGUGACCAAUAUGAGUACAUGUUAUAUACGUGAAUUGAUAGGGCAAGAGUGUACUUUAUCGCACUUGCCCUUACGUGAUAUACUUGUUUAUUGAUUGCAAUUGACUUGAUAUACUUGUUUAUGAUGUGCUCACUUCCUAGAAUUCCAGAAAUCCUGUGGCGAGUUACUCUAGUCGAGCCGGCAAAGGCUUGGUCGAUUGGGUAACGAACCCUGGGUCUCUUGUUUUGUCGAGUGGAGUGAUAUCUCCUCGACUAAUCGGUAUAUUCGAGUAUUACUACCCGUGUUUAUUGAGGAUUUUGGGCCCAGUAGGGGGUGUGAAUGGUGGACGGAGGGUAGUGUAAGUGGUGCUCUACUGGAUUGGUUCCUUUACUUGAAAGUUGACGGAGUGUCAACUAUUACGUGAUCAAGCUCCUGAUGAUGAAAUGGGAAGUUGGCUCCUGAGAGCCAUCCGUAUCCUUAUGCUUUGGAAUGAUUAUUGUUUAUUGGAUUAUUGUUUCUUUUGAAAACUUUUACACUCGCUCAUUUUGAGAUUGCUAUUUGAAGUGUUAUUGCUCACUUUUAUGAACUCUUCAUGCUCGUUACUUUGCUAUAUCGAAAACUUGUACUUAUAAAUAAUGGUCAAUUUGCUAUUUGGAACCUCACUGGGCUUUUAGCUCAUACCACGCUAUUUGUUUUCCUUACAGGGGGUACGAGCGAGGCGUGAGAGGUGUAAAGACUAGCGUAGUCUAGUUAUUUUUUACUUUUGACUUUUGACUUGUACUCACGCUAUUCCUCGAAUAAAAUGUUUUAUAUAUUGAGGCUUUGUACCUUGAUUUUCAUCAAUGUAAAUUCUAAGCUUGAAUUGCGAUGUUAUUUAUGGUCCAUGAAUGAAUGCACGUGAUACGAGUGAGUGAGUCCUGGCGAGAGUUGGGCAGGCGACCCGCCGAACCCUCUGGUUCGCCUUAGGGUGAGGUGGGGCCGUCACAGUGGAGCCAUGGCCGAUCGUAUAGAGGAAGUUUUGCUCGGGAAUGUACUUGGAGAGGCUGCACCUGCUGUGGAGGUGGAGAUUACACCGAUGGAGGAGGAGCCCGAAGAGGAGCCCGAAGAGGACCCUUCUGAAGCUGUAAGAUCUUCUAGUUCGGUCCACCUGUAUUAUAGACCUCUUGAUCUUUUGACUUUUGUUCAGGUCUUUGAAAGGGUGAAUCUCACUGUGAUGCCUUUUGUAUUUUGUGCAUUUACCCCUAUAUUUAGAGGCACUUGAAUGUCUAUGUCCUGUAUUUGAUAUUAUUGACUCGUUGUAUACACUCUUAACAUGUGACAUGACUUCUAAUCUAUAUAAAGAUCUAUACUUUGAUUUUAAAGUGUUCUUGCAAUCUGUAUUUGUUUUAAAUUUUUGUGCUUAAUUUUCCCUCUUUUAAUUAUGCUCUUCGAAUCUUGCUAUAUGGAUUGACGAGAACAUGAAAGGGGGCGUGGGCGUGAGUUUCGAUAACUCCGCACUCCCGAGAGAGGUUAGAGAUCUACGAUUGGUCCAAACCAAAACCCUAAGAACGAAGAGGGUGACCAAGUGGCUACGGCCCUUAACCGUAUAACCGAUGUUCUCGAGCGUUUAGCUGAGCGCCAAGGUCCUGAGCCAGUUAACCAACCUAGGAACCAAGAGAAGGGUGAGAAUAGAGCUCUAGAGCGAUUCUUGAAGUUCACUCCACCUAUGUUUCAUGGAGGGUCUGAUCCCGACGUAGCGAAAAAUUGGUUUGAAAAGAUGGUCGAGAUCUUUGUUGUUUUAGCUUAUACCUAGAAAAGGCAAGUGAAUUUUGCCAUUUUUCAACUUGGGGGAGCAACCCACUCGUGGUGGAACAUUGUUAGGGUGAAGUGGGAAAGAGAACAAACCCCUUGGAUUUUGGCAAGUUUUGAGAGGGAGUUCAAUGCCAAAUUCCUUCCGCCAAUGAUACAAGAAAAGAGGGAGGAUGACUUUAUUAAAUUGAAACAAGGGUUACUAAGCAUGGCAGAGUAUGAGAAGCAGUUCACUAAAUUUUUUAAAUUUGUGCAUGAACUUGUGGUCACAGAGUGAAAAAGGAUAAGAAAAUUUAUUCAUGAACUAAAUGUAGAAAUCCAAAAAUUUCUAAUAGUUGCCUAGAUCACAACUUUCACGGAAGUCUUGGAGAAGGCAUAGAGAGUAGAAAAUACUAAGUACCAAUCUAGAGUUUUUCACGCUAGAAAGAGGGGUUACCCAAGUAACGUCCCUGGAUCGUCCGAAAAGUCUACCCAACCACUUAAGAUGGGAAGUGGGGCUGGAAGAGUGAGAACGUCCGAAAAAUCAGUAGGAACUCCAUCAAGGGGAGCCCCGUCAAAAGGAAAUCAGGAUGGGCGAGGUCAGUAAAAAGUAAGUUUUCAAGUUAGUCAGGUCGUUACCCCUCUUGUGAUUUGUGAAUAUUGUAACAAGCCUAACCAUACUGAGGCUGAAUGAUGGAGAAAGCAAGAAAAAUGUUUGAUUUGUGGUAGUGCCGAGCACCAGAUUUCGAGUUGUCCUAAUGCCUCCAAGGAAGAAGGAAAUACCCAACAACCUGCUAGGUCUACUUCAAAACAGUCAAGUGCCGGAAGGAGCCAAUCAAAAGUGCCAGUUAGGGUUUACACCUUAGACAAUUAGCAAAUUUUAACCCAAUUGAAGUGGUGGAAGGUACGAUUCCCAUUUUUCAUCGCUUAACUAGAGUUUUAAUUGAUCUCGGGGCAACCCAUUUUUUCGUAGAUCCUAACUUUAUGAAGGGUGUAGAUGUAAAGUGUGAAUUAUUGCCUUUUGAUUUAGAAGUUAAGAUUCCUACGGGGAACCAAUGCCUGACUGCUAAUAAAAUUUAUAGGAAUUAUGAGAUUUGGGUUGGUGAGAGAACAUUGUUGACGGAUUUAAUGACUUUAACAAUUAAGGGGUAUGAUGUGAUACUAGGGAUGGAUUGGUUAGUUCGAUACCAUGUUCAAUUGGAUUGUAAGAUGAAUCUAAUAGAGUUGCACAUUCCUGGGGAAGCAAAUUUGAAAUUAGAUGUGAGAGGUAAACUAGCAUCGUCUGCUUUAAUCUCGGUGAUUCGAGCUAGAAAAUUAUUGAGUAGUAGAACUAAAGGAUAUCUAGUCUUUCGUAUCAAUACAUCUGGGAAUACGGUGAACUUGGAAAACGUGCCGGUAGUGAACAAGUUUUUUGAUGUCUUUUCCGAGAAAUUAGAGACGUUACCUCCGGAGAGGAAAAUAGUGUUUAAAAUUAAUGUGGCUCCGGGGACAACCCCUAUCUCUAAGACAUCUUACAGGAUGGCUCCAACUAAAUUAAAGAAAUUGAAGUUGCAAUUAUAAGAUUUAUUAGGAAAAAGUUUUAUCAAACAAAGUGACUCAUCAUAGGGAGCUCAAGUGUUUUUCGUUAAGAAGAAAUAUGUGAGUUUGAAACUUUGCGUAGAUUAUUGAGACUUGAAUGAUGUAACCAUUAGGAACAAAUACCCUCUGUCUCACAUAGAUGAACUAUUUGAUCAGUUGCAAGGGACAGUGGUAUUUUUCAAAUUAGAUUUGAGGCAAGGAUAUUACCAAUUGAUGAUUCUAGAAGCUGAUGUGCCUAAGACGGCUUUCAAUUCAAGAUAUGGGCACUUUGAAUUUGCAAUGAUGCCCUUUGGGUUAACUAAUGCGCCAGCAGCAUUUAUAGACUUGAUGCAUCGGGUUUUUAAGCCGUACUUGGAUCAAUUUGUGUUAGUAUACAUCGAUGACAUACUAGUGUAUUUUAAGUCUCGAGAAGAUCAUGAACGGCACUUGAGAAUAGUUUUGCAAACCCUGAGAGGGCACAAACUUUUUGCUAAGUUUAAUAAAUGUGAGUUUUGGUUGGAAGAAGUAGCUUUUUUAAGUCACAUAAUUUCUAAGAAAGGAAUUACUGUGGAUCCAACUAAGGUAGAAGCUGUUUCUAAGUGGAAACGACCAGAAAAUCCUACCAAAGUUCGGAGUUUCUUAGGGUUAGCCGAAUAUUACUGUCGGUUUAUCAAGAACGUUUCUAAAAUUGCCAAACCCUUAACUGAGUUGACUAAGAAGUAUGGUAAGUUUAUUUGGAAUUCUAAAUACGAGGAAGGGUUUCAAGAGUUGAAAAGGUGUUUGACCGAGACACCUGUGUUAACAUUGUCGAGCGGAGGAGAUGGAUUCGUGGUUUAUACAGAUGGCUCAAAGGAUGGUUUAGAGUGUGUAUUGAUGCAAAACGGGAGAGUGAUUGCGUAUGCCUCUCGUAAGUUGAAAUCUCAUGAACGGAAUUAUCCGACCCAUGACUUAGAGUUAGCGGCAGUAGUGCUUGCCUUGAAAAAGUGGAAACAUUAUUUAUAUAGAAUGACUUUCGUGAUUUUCACAGAUGACAAGAGUCUUAAGUAUUUGUUCUUCCAGAAAGAGUUAAAUUUGAGACAAUGUAAAUGGAUAGAAUUUUUGGAGAAUCAUGACUGUCCGCUUAACUAUCACCCCGAAAAAGGUAAUGUAGUGGCAGAUACUCUAAAUCGUAAAGUGCAAGUAGCCGAUUUAAUGGUGAAAGAAUGGCACAUGCUAGAAAAAAUUAGUGCUUGGAAUCCGCGUCUUGAGCCACAGAAGGUAAUCUUUGGAAAUAUUACUGUGAAAUCUACCUUGUUAGAUCGAAUCAAAGAAGUUCAAAAAGGAGAUCUUGAAGUGCAAAAAUGGAUUGAGAAAGUUCAAAAAGGGGAAAAGUUUGAUUUCAAUUUGGGGACUGAUGGAGUGUUAAAAUUUAGAAAUCGCCUAGUGGUACCCAAGGAUGAAGGUCUAAAGAAGAAAAUUUUGGAUGAAACUCACCGUUCUAAGUAUACGGUGCACCCUGAAGGUAAUAAGAUGCAUCAAAACUUUGUCAAGAGCAGGGACGUAAUUGCAAUUGGAGCAAGAGUUUUAGGGGUGUUAGUGUAAUUAGCUUAUGGAGCCAAAAAACUGUUAAAAGUUAGUUAUAACUGAAUCUAUUAAAAUCAAUUCAUUGCAUGGGAAUUAUGUGCCAAUUGGAUUCAGAUCCAUCAUUGAAGUUGUAUAAAUCCAAGACAAUGUAAUGAAUUGGACAACAAGAAAUACAAUCACAAUUUUUCCUCCCAAAUUCUUAUUUUCUCUCUCUCUCACCUCUUUCCUCCCUUUCUGUUCUUUCCUUCUUCAUUCAAAUUUUCCCUGAAUCUGCUGGUCACAUUUCCUUCUCAAUUCUACUUUGGACGGGCCUGACAAAUUGGUAUCAGAGCUGAUGAUUCUUCGGCAGCUCAGAGAUCAACCAAUGGCAGAGAGCACACGCUUCAAGACCUUAGAAGAUCAUCUCCGGAAGCAGGAACUCAAGUUGCAAGAAGUCAUGGAGGAUAUGAAGAACGUACAGCUGCAAGUAAUGGAAGAAAUGGUAGGCAGGGAUAUGAUCGCACUCAGCAUGGAGCAGAAGUUUGAGGCACUCAGUUCAAUGAUGAGGACACUACUGAGCAAGGAGAAGAGUGCAGAAGAAGAAGGCAAAGCUGGUCGAGAUCGUACACCAUUACUGCCCACACCCCCCAUCUAUCAGAGGCUGAACUUGGGAGCAGAUGAGAAAGCUAAAAGUUGCGAGUUCUUGGGUAAGAUUUCUGACUAUAAUCCUCCAAAAAUUGAGUUACAUAUGUUUAGUGGGGAAAAUCCUAGGGAAUGGAUCAGAAAAUGCAACAAGUACUUCUUGCUGAAUAAGGUAUCUGAGGAACAUAAAUUGUUGGUAGUAGAGAUGUUUUUAGAAGGUAGAGCUGAUAAUCGGUUCCAAGGAAUCAAAUUAGAAAAACCAAGGCUAACAUGGGGGGAAUUUGGGGAGCUGCUCUGUCAGAGAUUCAAAGGAUCAUGCUGUAGAGAUAUUGUAGAGGAAUUCAAUAAAUUGCAGCAGAUGAGUACAGUAGAGGUUUACCAAAAAAAAAAGUUUGAGGAGUUAAAGACCUUGAUGCUAAUUCAGAAUCCAAGCCUCAGUGAAGAAUACUUCAUUUCCAGUUUCACCAGUGGUCUCAAGGAGGGGAUUAAACCUAUGGUGAGAAUGAUCAAGCCAAACACUCUUUCUGGAGUUAUGGAGGUGGCUCAUUUGCAAGAACAGGCUCUCAGGUUACAAGGAAGGACAGUCAAGGAUGGCAACAAGGUGAUGGUUGAACCAAAGUUUGGGAUGUACAGGCAUCCAACCUCUGCCAAUGAAGGAAUCAGUACUUACAAGCUAUCACAGAACAACAUACCUAGGGUAGUUCCUAAAAUUCCAGACAAAAGUCCAGAAUUUAAGAGACUAUCCUCUUAGGAACUGCAGUUCAGAAGGAGUAAUGGACUGUGUUUAAGUGUGGGGAGAAAUUUGGGGUAGGACAUCAGUGCAGGAUGGAACACUUGAACCUUAUGUUGUAUGAAGAAGAGGAGGACACUGAAUUCCAGGAUGCUCAAGGGGAACAGGAUGAGCUGACUGGGAAUCCAGGAGAACCAAUUGAAAUUUCACUCAAUGAUCUAUCAGACUCACUCAGACGAACACUAUCCUGUUACAAGGACAGGUGGCAGGGGAACCUGUCAAGAUUUUGGUGGAUACAGGUAGCAGUGAUAGCUACAUCCAUCACAAGCUGGUGUCUGCACAAGGCAUUCCUUUUGAAUAUGUCAAGCCCUUCACUGUCACAAUGGGGGAUGGAAGCUUAGUAACCAGUGGAGCUCAGUGUCCAAAGGUCCUGUGGAAUGUUCAGAAUAAUAAAUUUUGCUUUGACCUUAGGAUUAUGGAAUUAGGUGAUUGGGAUCUUAUUUUGGGGGUAGAUUGGAUGCACAAUUACAGCCCCAUUACUUUUGAUUUUCAUCAACUAAAAAUCUCUAUGUUCCAUCAAAGAGAGGUGGUCACAUUGCAUGGAGUAGUUAAUGAUGCAACCAAGGAACUUAUUAGGAGGAAGGAUCUCAGAGGCUUUUUGCAAGAGAAGAGGAGGUGUAGUGUUAUUUCAGCACAAAGUAAAGAGGACACAGGGAAACAAGGAGUUCCAGGAUCAAUUACUGCAGUUUUGGAGCAAUUUUCAGAAGUAUUUCAGGAGCCUACUCAGUUGCCUCCCAAUAGGCCAUUGGAUCAUCAGAUUCCUCUAAAGCCAGGAGCACAAGCUUUUAAAAUGAAACCAUAUAGAUACCCUCACUCACAGAAAGCGGAGAUUGAAAAGCAAAUAGCAGAUAUGUUGAAGUCUGGAAUCAUCAAGCCAAGCAAUAGUCAUUAUGCUUCACCUGUGCUGUUGGUCAAGAAAAAGGAUAACACCUGGCAUUUUUGUGUGGAUUACAGGCAUCUAAAUGACCUGACAGUCAAGAACAGAUAUCAUAUCCCCAACAUUGAAGAACUGCUGGAUGAGCUCUAUGGAGCCAAGUUCUUCUCCAAAAUUGACCUGAGAUCAGGUUACGACCAGAUCAGGGUUAAGAUGGCAGAUACACACAAAACAGCCUUUCAGACUCAUCAGGGACACUUUGAGUUCCUAGUGAUGUCAUUUGGGCUCACGAAUGCACCAGCAACAUUUCAAGCAUUGAUGAAUUAGGUUUUUGAGCUAUUCUUGAGAAAGUUUGUCCUAGAAUUUUUUUAUGACAUUUUAAUCUACAGUGCUACCCUAGAUCUUCAUAA